UAGAUACAAGGUAUAAACUGGCCCAGAGCCUCCGGCAACAAUAGAAAUUUAGGUUAUCUGAUAACAAACAAGCUAAAUUACUUUGAGACUAACACAUGUUUACAAGGAUAAAACAAUUUAGGUUAUCUGAUAACAAACAAGCUAAAUUACUUUGAGACUAACACAUGUUUACAAGGAUAAAACACUGCCUAAGAGUGUGCAAACACUUGGAUUUGAUUGCAAUGAAAUUACUUCAACAAACAUCACUUGGGCCAAAUUGAAGUCACUGAUAUGCAAAUACUCCUGGCAACCAAUAUUACCUUCGCUAGAGUGUUCUCAAAGCUUGCCUCUUCUUCUUCAAUUAUAUCUUUAAUCUUCUUUUCAUUGUCCUUCAGCUCAGGAAACACAUCACCCAUCACUCGGACAAAAACAUCUACAAGGCUGUACAAGAAAGAUACAAAAUAAUGGCAUAUCAAAUACCAGCUUCAAGAACAUAGUUUAAAUUAGCUAGAAUCAUGUGUGACAUAGUUUCUUUACUUGUUGUCAUAUGACAUCUCUACAGUCAUCCUCGUAAGCCGUACAUUGCAUGUUUAGCAUCCCGAGUAAACAAAAGGCUAUGCAAAGUAUACCAUUAACGAAAAGGUACAGAAUACAACAGAUGCAUGUUACAGUUCUUACGAGCUAAAAAAUCCUUGCUUUGCCAUCAAUUUUUGAUGACCAAAGUGAACAGCACGUCUAAGUAUACGCCUUAGAACAUACUCUCUUCCCUCAUUUCCUACAACAAAACUCCUAUUAGAACAAGGAAACAUCAUUGUAUAACACAAAACAAAGCUCUGAAACAUUGUAAAAAUACUGCUAAACAACAUUCCUCGGUAGGGGCCCAUCUGAAAUCUAAAAAAAAUGGUUCGCAAUGAACUAAACCCACACAAAUUUAGCAUUUAUGACUUCAUAUUUAUAGGAAGGGCAUUAAUGCAUUUCGUCCUAAAACAGGAAAUGCAACUCAGGUCCCCAAACUAGUGAUUUUGACACAUGGAUGCCUGAACUAAAAUUAAUUAGUCAGGUUCAAAACAACUAGCCUCCGUAGAGUUGACUAGCCAAAACCGUAUGAGCUCACUAGGUUGAGAACCAUCAGCAAUAGCAAAAGAAAGGGCUCUUAUGUGAUCUGCAACAACCCUAUAUGCCAUAUCAACUUUCCCAACAUCAUCGAAUCCUACUUUACCAGAGUAUGGUUGAAUUCCAGCGCCUGCCAGAUGCAUUCAUAAUGCAUAAUGAAUUGGCAAUGAAUAUCAUUUACUUUAGGCAACAAUUUAUUGCUUCAGCAAAAUACUCUAGUCACAACUCGCAAGCACAAAAGAAGCUGCAAGUACGCAUCUGGGAAAAAUACCUUGUGGAUGGCAUCGAAUAAUGGCAUCAAUACAUCUGUGUCGUAAUUGCUCAUUUUAUUCUGAAGGAUAGAAGUUAAACGCUCAAAGCCCAUUCCGGUGUCAACGUGUUUUGCUGGCAAGGAUCUCAAAGUAGCGUCUGACUCCCUGUUGAACUGGGUAUUAAUAAAAUAGCCAAAUGUCAGUGCAUAGUAGAAGAGAUAAAAAGCAAAUAGGCGUGCACACACAUGAAACAGAGUAACUGGCAUGUUAACCUGAAUAAACACAAGAUUCCAUAUCUCAAUACAUGUAGGGUCAUCAUUAUUGACUAAUGAGGCUGCGUCACGGUUGUCAAUACGAUCAAAAUGAAUCUCUGUGCAUGGUCCACAAGGACCUGUGUCGCCCAUCUCCCAAAAGUUAUCCUGCUCAAAGAAUGCAUUGUUGUAAUACUCUUCUUGUUUAAUAGGGACAUUCAGAUAGCAGUAUAAGCCCAACAGAAACGAAGAUACAAGAUAAUAAUGUGUAAAACGGACAGGAAGGAGGUCGACCAAGAAACCAAGCAGAGCACAAGCAGAAUAGUACCUUGCAACCGAGAGGCAGAACUCUUUCAUUCAGUAGAUACUUGAACCAUAUGUCUUUUGACUCGGUAUCGGGAGCGAGACCAACCUUGUCAUCACCAUCAAAGUAUGUUGCAUAAAUCCUAUCAGUGGGCAAUUUGUAGACCUGCACAUACAUACAUACAUGCAUAUGAAAUAGAAAUUUCUAUCAACGGGCAAUUAUAUGUCACUCUUUCAUCAUCCUUACAUUUGAUUGAUUGAUUGAUUAAUUGAUUGAUUGAUAGCAAGAGUAGGUAGGUAGGUACCUGGGUGAGGAGUUGCCAUGCGUAUGCGAUGGCCCCGUCCUUGAAGUAGUCCCCGAAGGACCAGUUGCCGAGCAUCUCGAAGAAGGUGUGGUGGUAGGUGUCCUUGCCGACGUCGUCGAGGUCGUUAUGCUUGCCGCCGGCACGGAUGCACUUCUGGGUGUUGCAGGCGUGGCGCAGGUGGCCGAGCGGCGAGUCCGGGGCGGCGGUGCCGAGGAAGACCGGCUUGAACUGGUUCAUCCCGGCGUUGGCGAAGAGGAGAGUGGGGUCGUCCACGAGCACCACGGGGCUGGACGGCCACGGCAUGUGCGCCUUGGACUCGAAGAAGCCGAUGAAGGACUCCCGGACCUGGGCGGAGGGCCGGCCAUGGAUGCUCGUCGGAAGGAGGAGAGGUGGGCGGCGGCGGGCAGAACCCUAUCCCUAGCGCUUGGCUUGGGGUUGGGGUUGAGGAGCGCUGCAAGGAAAAUAUGAGGCAGGGAACGAAUGCCAAGUUUGUGUGGUAAUUUUAUUUUAUUUUGAAAAGAAAAAAUAGAAACCAUAUUUAAAAAUUUCAAAAAAAAUUGAAAAUAAUUCUGUGCAAACUUUUUUUUUUGCAUUACUCAACUCAUGGUGUCCAUACAUUGAGCGACAGCUAGCUCAACAGCAACAUCUGGACCAGAACCAACCCAAGUCAUGGUUCAUCCUUCUAAUUUAGCAAAUCUAGGCUAACUUUAUUUUGAGAGUGAUUUACAUGAGUAAUACAACAACCACGAAUCCCCAAAACAUACUUGAUCACCUUAACUAUCCAAGCAUAAAUAGAUUUGUCCAAAUCCCUCAAUUGGAUCAGUUUGACUGCAAGAAUAGAGUCCAUCUCCACAAUGGUAGAAAAGUCACUCCUCUCAAGUGCAGAUGAUAGCCCUUCCAUGCACGCACGCAGUUCAGUUGAUGAAAGAAAGAGCGUUUUUCUUCUCUGCUUCUUCAUUCGCUCGAUUUCCUUUUUUUCACCUUUUUAUUAAAAAACUAAAAACAUUUAUUUAAAAAUAAUAAUUUCCUUAAAAUUUUGAAAUGUUCAAAGUGAAAUAGAAAACUAUAAACAUUGUGUAAAAAAUUAUCACCCGCUGCUUAGCUUGAUUUGCAGGUAUGAGGCAGGGAACGCCAUACAUUUGGCCGGCCUUCGUUUUUCUUCUCCGCUUCUUCAUUCGCUCCAUUUUAUUUACAUUUAAAAAAUAUAUUCUAAAUACACUUAUUCCAAAAACACAGUAGAGUUUAACAAAUAAAAAAUGUUGAAAGUGAAAUAUAAAAGUAUAAACAUCAUGUACAAAAUUGUACUCUCUAUGAUCCAUAUUAAUUGUCACUGACUUAGUUUAAACUAAUAUAGACCAAAUGUAGCAUGAUAUAAAAAAUGUUUAUGGCAUUCAAAAAUAUGUUCACGUGUUUCAAAAAUAUAUACGUGACAUUUUUAGAAAAUGUCAUACAAUUUGGAAAGAAUGCUCACGUAAUUCAACAAAAUAAAUACUGCCUUUCAGAAAGAUGUACAUGACAAUUAAAAAAUGCUCACACACUCCAAAAAUAGGUUUAUGCCAAUUAAUAAAAAAUGUUCAAGAUGUGUAAAUUUUUACAGUGUGUAUUUAGAAAAAUGGACAUGUAUUGAGAAAGAAAUAAAAUCCAUAAAAAACACAUAAGACAUAAAACCAAAAAAAAAGAUGAAAAUUGGCCCAGGAAACACACAAGACGAAAAGGAAAAAAACUCUGCAGGAACCCGGUCCCGGGAACCCAUAUUGGGAAAACCCAUCUAGGGUCCGCCUACUUCAUACAGCAGGCGAGAAGGACAUAGUAAAGAUGACAUGCUUUUCUCAAAAAAACAGGUAAAAAUGACAUGCCAUUAAAAAUAAAAUUGCCAUGCUCUUAAUAGUUAUUAGAAUGAAUCAAGUCUCUUCUUUAUUAGAUGCCAUAUGCUAUUUAUACAAGGGAAAGGACACCACUGGAAAAGGUGUCUGAUCAGAGGAGGUGCCUGUUCGGCGAGAACCGACGCGGCCGUUUUACAACGGCCCGCGGUUAGUACAAGCAGGGAUUAAUCCCAUAAUUAACACAUGGUUAAUUAAUUCUAACACUCCCCCUAAUCAAUGCUUGAUCUUGUGAGCAGACGUCAUCUUGAUAAAGUUUCCUCCAAAAACCCUGUGGGGAAAAAUGAGGAUAGAGGUGUUUGAUAUGUUGCCAAAACUCCUUCAAACCCAGUAGGAAAAAUAAGGAGAAAAUGCCGUAACAUAUAAUGAUUAUUGUCUGUGUAACUCAAUAUGAGAAAAACCCAUAGAGUUUAGAGGACAUUAAAUAUGUCUAAUAUACUUUCUUAAAAACCCCGGUGGGGAAAACAGAAAAUAUGACAUAUGGUCUUGUGUUGAUAUUACCUCAUUAAAAACCUUUAUGAGAACCUAUAAAGUAAACUCAUGAAGGGAAAAAGAGUAUAAUAUGAUGCUUUCAAUAGGAACAAUUCAGGAAGAUACUCCCCCUGAUUCUUGCAUAUUCCGAAGUCGUUAUAUACCAAUUCCAUGAACACAUUUCUAGAACAUAGAAGUUGGUAGAGACCUGGUGAACAAAUCAGUCACAUGAUUUAACUUGCAAGAUAUGCAAUAUAGCGAUAUUGCUUAUUAUGUAACAUGUUUGCAUCCGGGCAACACAAGAAACAUUAUCCUUGAGAUAAUGGUUGGUGGAUGUAGCCAUAAGGUCUGUCUCGAAGACUCUUCAUGAGAGGGCUACCACACCUAGUAGGAACACUAAGCUUGUCUACGAUCUGAUAUAGUGGGAUCUCAUCGAUGUAUCCAAUGAUAUCGGUGUUCACAUUUCUGUGAAACUGAAAAACCAGGAAAAGAUGUUUGAUGCCUUGAAGAUAUCGAAAGAUAUUCUUGAGUACCAACCAAUUGUGUUUGGUGGAUCCAAUGGCAUUAAGGAACAUUGAGUCCCAAUAUUUCAUUUCUAUCAUCUCUUGGUCUAAAUAGAUCUUUCUCUACGUCUAGAGAAUGAACCACCAUGAGAGUUAUGGAUGUAUAAGACUUGUCCACAAUGAAUUUCUCCAAUAUAUUUUGGAUAUAGACAACAUAGUGUACCAAAAUGUAUGAGUGAAGGUGCUCAAGUUGUAGUAACGAGCGGUAUCUUGGUUUUACCCAAAUCCUUCAUUUAAACUCUGUCGUUUAGAUGAUUACAUGUAUCAUCAUUGCAGGAGUAAUCACUGUGUAUGACAGACAAACAUGGAUAACCAUCAUUGUAGGAGUAAUCCUUGUGGAAAGGAACUCACUAAGUCGGUUGUACCAAAUGUACCGACAACAAUAAGUCAUAUGGUGACUUGCUAAUUUUUACACAAUGUAUGUUGCAUUUUGUAUUUCGAUUCAGAAUUGAGAUUCCAUUGGAAAUCAAUCAUAUAUGUCUGAAUCUAGUGAGCCACAUGGAUAUGUGAUCACUACAUCUAUCAAUUGCAGAGAUAGAUGAUUUUGUACUGCCAAUGAUAUAAGUUAUCGAAAUGAGAUUCCACCUCUGGAGAAUAGUUAGGUAUCUGGGUAAACCCUUGUGCUACAAUACUUGCUCUUUGUUUACCACCUCGUUGUUCUCAAUUUUGUUUCCAGAAGAAAACUGGUCUAGGUAUUUCUUAUGAAUACCUUCCCAUUAUUGAGCAAGAUCAUUUCUUCCUAGAUUAUACCCUUUGCUUGAGUUCAGUCCGAGUGUUUUUCACACUUUGCCAUGGCCAUGGUCUUUGGACCUGAAUCAUGUGAAAGGUUUUGCAAUCUAGUUGAGAAAUGUAUGUUGACAAUUGUAGACAUCCGGUUAUAUGUUUCUCCAGAAUCUAUAUAUCAAUAUAGAGUUGAUGGAAAUAUCGUUACCCAAGGUGACUGCUCGCUAUUUCCCAAUGCGGCUAAGUCGGGUAUUCCAAUAUCCCGGUCAUUGUGUGCACUAUGACCUGGGUUGGUGGAGGAUUCCCGUCCACCGGGUGUAUACUACCCAUUAGGUGUCUGCCAACAUGAAGUUGACUUGCAUUUACUGAUUCACAGGCCUUGAUAUCCUUGCUUGCGAGAAGCUGAAUCCUGAUGUACUUCUGCCAUACAUCUCCCCCUGUUGCUUUGAACGGGGAGUGGAGUGGAUUUUGUUGGUACCUCCACUCUUUCAGGCAUACUUUGCAGGAUUGUAGGAUUGUGUGACACCUUUAUAGUCAGUAAAUGAAUCUGGCAGGUUAUUUGCAAUAUGUUGCAAAUCUUCUGAACACAUGGUUCAACUCUUUGAUUACGGGGAUAUGAGGCAGAAAUGUGUUGAACAUUCCACUAAUUUCCUGGCAUUCUUUAUGGUACUUGAAUUCUCCCCCUAAUGCCUGGAAAUAUUCCUCAUUGAAUCAACAUACUGGCCUUGAAUAACUCCCCAUGUGAGGGGCUUGAGGUAUUGACGGUAAUACAGUUAUUCCUCACAUAGAUCCCAACUAUAUGUUGAGGGGCCAAUGAUGUAUGUCGGGGUGAUGAUAUCGGUGUGUAACCAAAUUACCGCAGAUAGGAAAUACUUGGUAGAUUUCCACGUAUCAAAGAUAGAGGGGAAUAAAAUUAUGCAGUUUGGUCAUGAGCGUGUAAAACUCCAUGACUCCAACGUAAAGUUGGUAAGUUGCAAUUUCAAAGUAAAGAUCAUGCAAUGAGCUCAAUUUUUUGGAUGGGAUUCUACCAAACCAUUUCGAGUCUAGACAUUAGGACAAAUUACUAAACUUCAAUCCGAGGACCAUUGAAAAAGGCACUCAAGGAGAAUUCUGCAAAUGCUAUCCAUUCGAUUUGCUUGAAAUCGAUGUCAGGAUAAUGAGUCAAUGGUUUCGUGUGAAUAAAGCACACUUGAGACCAUCAUAUAGAUGUGUCUUUGGAAAAACCAUGGAUACCUGAAUAGUCUAGUCAAUGGUUGGGAAAAACCACUUACCUCGACUUGAUGCAUUCAAGGAGUCUGAGUGGUUCAGCGUAAACUUUAAGGUGCGCAAUCCUUAAAAUUAGCUUCUCUGUGUCAUAUGUAGUGCACACAAAAUCCAAAUAUUGUUAGAAUUUAGCAUCAUAAUAAUCAUAAAACCAAUGGAAUUGCUGAUAGUUUCGGUUUCAACCCAAUGUCUCGAUGACCAAAGGCGAGUAUGCCAAGUUUGUCAUGUACAAGAUGUUGGGUUUCGUAGUAAUUUCAAAAAAAUUCCUACGCACACGCAAGAUCAUGUGAUGCAUAUUAACGAGGGGGAGAGUAUUGUCUACGUACCCAACGCAGACCGACUGCGGAAGCGAUGACACGACGUAGAGGAAGUAGUCGUACGUCUUCACGAUCCAACCGAUCAAGCACUGAAACUACGGCACCUCCGAGUUCGAGCACACGUUCAGCUCGAUGACGAUCCCCGGACUCCGAUCCAGCAAAGUGUCGGGGAAGAGUUCCGUCAGCACGACGGCGUGGUGACGAUCUUGAUGAACUACAGCAGCAGGGCUUCGCCUAAACUCCGCUACAGUAUUAUCGAGGAAUAUGGUGGCAGGGGGCACCGCACACGGCUAAGGAACAGAUCACGUGGAUCAACUUGUGUGUUUCUGGGGUGCCUCUGCCUCAGUAUAUAAAGGAGCCAAGGGGGGAGAGGGGCGCCGGCCAGGGAGAGAGGCGCAGGAGGAGUCCUACUCCUUCCGGGAGUAGGACUCCCCUUCCAAUCCUAUUCCAACUAGGAUUCCCCGAGGGGGAAAGAGGGAGAGGGGUGGCCGGCCACCUCUCCUAGUCCUAAUAGGACUAGAGGAGGGGGGAGGUGCGCAGCCCCCUUGGGCUGCCCCUUUCUCCUUUCCACUAAGGCCCAUGAAGGCCCAUAUGGCUCCCGGGGGGUUCCGGUAACCCGGUAAAAUCCCGAUUUCACCCGGAACACUUCCGAUGUCCAAACAUAGGCUUCCAAUAUAUCAAUCUUUACGUCUCGACCAUUUCGAGACUCCUCGUCAUGUCCGUGAUCACAUCCGGGACUCCGAACAACCUUCGGUACAUCAAAAUGCAUAAACUCAUAAUGUAACUGUCAUCGUAACCUUAAGCGUGCGGACCCUACGGGUUCGAGAACAAUGUAGACAUGACCGAGACAUGUCCCCGGUCAAUAACCAAUAGCGGGACCUGGAUGCCCAUAUUGGCUCCUACAUAUUCUACGAAGAUCUUUAUCGGUCAGACCGCAUAACAACAUACGUUGUUCCCUUUGUCAUCGGUAUGUUACUUGCCCGAGAUUCGAUCGUCGGUAUCCAAUACCUAGUUCAAUCUCGUUACCGGCAAGUCUCUUUACUCGUUCCGUAAUACAUCAUCUCACAACUAACAUAUUAGUUGUAAUGCUUGCAAGGCUUAUGUGAUGUGUAUUACCAAGAGGGCCUAGAGAUACCUCUCCGACAAUCGGAGUGACAAAUCCUAAUCUCGAAAUACGCCAACCCAACAUCUACCUUUGGAGACACCUGUAAUGCUCCUUUAUAAUCACCCAGUUACGUUGUGACAUUUGGUAGCACCCAAAGUGUUCCUCCGGCAAACGGGAGUUGCAUAAUCUCAUAGUCAUAGGAACAUGUAUAAGUCAUGAAGAAAAGCAAUAGCAACAUACUAAACGAUCGGGUGCUAAGCUAAUGGAAUGGGUCAUGUCAAUCAGAUCAUUCGACUAAUGAUGUGACCUCGUUAAUCAAAUAACAACUCAUUGUUCAUGGUUAGGAAACAUAACCAUCUUUGAUUAACGAGCUAGUCAAGUAGAGGCAUACUAGUGACACUUUGUUUGUCUAUGUAUUCACACAUGUAUUAUGUUUCCGGUUAAUACAAUUCUAGCAUGAAUAAUAAACAUUUAUCAUGAUUAUAAGGAAAUAAAUAAUAACUUUAUUAUUGCCUCUAGGGCAUAUUUCCUUCAGUCUCCCACUUGCACUAGAGUCAAUAAUCUAGAUUACACUGUAAUGAUUCUAACACCCAUGGAGCUUUGGUGCUGAUCAUGUUUUGCUCGUGGAAGAGGCUUAGUCAACGGGUCUGCAACAUUCAGAUCCGUAUGUAUCUUGCAAAUCUCUAUGUCUCCCACCUGGACUAGAUCCCGGAUGGAAUUGAAGCGUCUCUUGAUGUGUUUGGUCCUUUUGUGAAAUCUGGAUUCCUUUGCCAAGGCAAUUGCACCAGUGUUGUCACAAAAGAUUUUCAUUGGACCCGAUGCACUAGGUAUGACACCUAGAUCGGAUAUGAACUCCUUCAUCCAGACUCCUUCAUUUGCUGCUUCCGAAGCAGCUAUGUACUCCGCUUCACAUGUAGAUUCCGCUACGAUGCUUUGUUUAGAACUGCACCAACUGACAGCUCCACCGUUUAAUGUAAACACGUAUCCGGUUUGCGAUUUAGAAUCGUCUGGAUCAGUGUCAAAGCUUGCAUCAACGUAACCUUUUACGGUGAGCUCUUUGUCACCUCCAUAUAUGAGAAACAUAUCCUUAGUCCUUUUCAGGUAUUUCAGGAUGUUCUUGACCGCUGUCCAGUGAUCCAUUCCUGGAUUACUUUGGUACCUCCCUGCUAAACUUAUAGCAAGGCACACAUCAGGUCUGGUACACAACAUUGCAUACAUGAUAGAUCCUAUGGCUGACGCAUAGGGAACAUCUUUCAUAUUCUCUCUACCUUCUGCAGUGGUCGGGCAUUGAGUCUUACUCAACUUCACACCUUGUAACACAGGCAAGAACCCUUUCUUUGUUUGAUCCAUUUUGAACUUUUUCAAAAUUUUGUCAAGGUAUGUGCUUUGUGAAAGUCCAAUUAAGCGUCUUGAUCUAUCUCUAUAGAUCCUAAUGCCUAAUAUGUAAGCAGCUUCACUAAGGUCUUUCAUUGCAAAACUUUUAUUCAAGUAUCCCUUUAUGCUAUCCAGAAAUUCUAUAUCAUUUCCAAUUAGUAAUAUGUCAUCCACAUAUAAUAUCAGAAAUGCUACAGAGCUCCCACUCACUUUCUUGUAAAUACAGGCUUCUCCGAAAGUCUGUAUAAAACCAAAUGCUUUGAUCACACUAUCAAAGCAUUUAUUCCAACUCCGAGAUGCUUGCACCAGUCCAUAAAUGGAUCGCUGGAGCUUGCACACUUUGUUAGCUCCUUUUGGAUCGACAAAACCUUCCGGUUGCAUCAUAUACAACUCUUCUUCCAGAAAUCUAUUCAGGAAUGCAGUUUUGACAUCCAUCUGCCAAAUUUUAUAAUCAUAAAAUGCGGCAAGCGCUAACAUGAUUCGGACGGACUUAAGCAUCGCUACGGGUGAGAAGGUCUCAUCGUAGUCAACCCCUUGAACUUGUCGAAAACCUUUCGCGACAAGUCGAGCUCUGUAGACAGUAACAUUACCAUCAGCGCCAGUCUUCUUCUUGAAGAUCCAUUUAUUCUCAAUUGCUUGCCGAUCAUCGGGCAAGUCAACCAAAGUCCAUACUUUGUUCUCAUACAUGGAUCCCAUCUCAGAUUUCAUGGCUUCAAGCCACUUUGCGGAAUCUGGGCUCACCAUCGCUUCUUCAUAGUUCGUAGGUUCAUCAUGAUCUAGUAGCAUGACUUCCAGAACUGGAUUACCGUACCACUCUGGUGCGGAUCUUACUCUGGUUGAUCUACGAGGUUCAGUAGUAUCUUGUUCUGAAGUUUCAUGAUCAUUAUCAUUAACUUCCUCACUUAUUGAUGUAGGUGUCGCAGAAACAAUUUUCUGUGAUGUACUACUUUCCAACAAGGGAGUAGGUACAGUUACCUCGUCAAGUUCUACUUUCCUCCCACUCACUUCUUCCGAGAGAAACUCCUUCUCAAGAAAGUUUCCGAAUUUAGCAACAAAAGUCUUGCCUUCGGAUCUAUGAUAGAAGGUGUAUCCAAUAGUUUCCUUUGGAUAUCCUAUGAAGACACAUUUCUCCGAUUUGGGUUCGAGCUUAUCAGGUUGAAGCUUUUUCACAUAAGCAUCGCAGCCCCAAACUUUCAGAAACGACAACUUUGGUUUCUUGCCAAACCAUAGUUCAUAAGGCGUCGUCUCAACAGAUUUUGAUGGUGCCCUAUUUAACGUGAAUGCGGCCGUCUCUAAAGCAUAACCCCAAGAUGAUAGCGGUAAAUUAGUAAGAGGCAUCAUAGAUCGCACCAUAUCUAGUAAAGUAUGAUUACGACGUUCGGACACACCAUUACGCCGUGGUGUUCCGGGUGGCGUGAGUUGCGAAACUAUUCCGCAGUUUUUCAAAUGUACACCAAACUCGUAACUCAAAUAUUCUCCUCCACGAUCAGAUCGUAGAAACUUUAUUUUCUUGUUACGAUGAUUUUCAACUUCACUCUGAAAUUCUUUGAACUUUUCAAAUGUUUCAGAUUUAUGUUUCAUUAAGUAGAUAUACCCAUAUCUGCUUAAAUCAUCUGUGAAGGUGAGAAAAUAACGAUAUCCGCCACGAGCCUCAAUAUUCAUCGGACCACAUACAUCGGUAUGUAUGAUUUCCAACAAAUCUGUUGCUCUCUCCAUAGUACCGGAGAACGGUGUUUUAGUCAUCUUGCCCAUGAGGCACGGUUCGCAAGUACCAAGUGAUUCAUAAUCAAGUGGUUCCAAAAGUCCAUCAGUAUGGAGUUUCUUCAUGCGCUUUAUACCGAUAUGACCUAAACGACAGUGCCACAAAUAAGUUGCACUUUCAUUAUCAACUCUGCAUCUUUUGGCUUCAACAUUAUGAAUAUGUGUAUUACUACUACCGAGAUUCAAUAAGAAUAGACCACUCUUCAAGGGUGCAUGACCAUAAAAGAUAUUACUCAUAUAAAUAGAACAACCAUUAUUCUCUGAUUUAAAUGAAUAACCGUCUCGCAUUAAAUAAGAUCCAGAUAUAAUGUUCAUGCUCAACGCUGGCACCAAAUAACAAUUAUUUAGGUCUAAUAUUAAUCCCGAAGGUAGAUGUAGAGGUAGCGUGCCGACCGCGAUCACAUCGACUUUGGAACCGUUUCCCACGCGCAUCGUCACCUCGUCCUUAGCCAAUCUUCGCUUAAUCCGUAGCCCCUGUUUCGAGUUGCAAAUAUUAGCAACAGAACCAGUAUCAAAUACCCAGGUGCUACUGCGAGCAUUAGUAAGGUACACAUCAAUAACAUGUAUAUCACAUAUACCUUUGUUCACUUUGCCAUCCUUCUUAUCCGCCAAAUACUUGGGGCAGUUCCGCUUCCAGUGACCAGUCUGCUUGCAGUAGAAGCACUCAGUUUAGGCUUAGGUCCAGACUUGGGUUUCUUCUCUUGAGCGGCAACUGGCUUGCCGUUCUUCUUGAAGUUCCCCUUCUUCUUUCCUUUGCCCUUUUUCUUGAAACUAGUGGUCUUGUUGACCAUCAACACUUGAUGCUCUUUCUUGAUUUCUACCUCCGCAGCUUUCAGCAUCGCGAAGAGCUCGGGAAUAGUCUUGUUCAUCCCUUGCAUAUUAUAGUUCAUCACGAAGCUCUUGUAGCUUGGUGGCAGUGAUUGGAGAAUUCUGUCAAUGACGCAAUCAUCCGGAAGAUUAACUCCCAAUUGAAUCAAGUGAUUAUUAUACCCACACAUUUUGAGUAUAUGCUCACUAACAGAACUGUUCUCCUCCAUCUUGCAGCUACAGAGCUUAUUGGAGACUUCAUAUCUCUCAAUUCGGGCAUUUGCUUGAAAUAUUAACUUUAACUCCUGGAACAUCUCAUAUGCUCCAUGACGUUCAAAACGUCGUUGAAGUCCCGAUUCUAAGCCGUAAAGCAUGGCACACAGAACUAUCGAGUAGUCAUCAGCUUUGCUCUGCCAGACGUUCAUAACAUCUGGUGUUGCUCCAGCAGCAGGCCUGGCACCCAGCGGUGCUUCCAGGACGUAAUUCUUCUGUGCAGCAAUGAGGAUAAUCCUCAAGUUACGGACCCAGUCCGUGUAAUUGCUACCAUCAUCUUUCAACUUUGCUUUCUCAAGGAACGCAUUAAAAUUCAACGGAACAACAGCACGAGCCAUCUAUCUACAAUCAACAUAAACAAGCAAGAUACUAUCAGGUACUAAGUUCAUGAUAAAUUUAAGUUCAAUUAAUCAUAUUACUUAAGAACUCCCACUUAGAUAGACAUCCCUCUAAUCCUCUAAGUGGUCACGUGAUCCAAAUCAACUAAACCAUGUUCGAUCAUCACGUGAGAUGGAGUAGUUUCAUCGGUGAACAUCAUUAUGUUGAUCAUAUCUACUAUAUGAUUCACGCUCGACCUUUCGGUCUCCGUGUUCCGAGGCCAUAUCUGUAUAUGCUUGGCUCGUCAAGUAUAACCUGAGUAUUCCGCGUGCGCAACUGUUUUGCACCCGUUGUAUUUGAACGUAGAGCCUAUCACACCCGAUCAUCACGUGGUGUCUCAGCACGAAGAACUUUCGCAACGGUGCAUACUCAGGGAGAACACUUCUUGAUAAUUUAGUGAGAGAUCAUCUUAUAAUGCUACCGUCAAUCAAAGCAAGAUAAGAUGCAUAAAAAGAUAAACAUCACAUGCAAUCAAUAUAAGUGAUAUGAUAUGGCCAUCAUCAUCUUGUGCCUGUGAUCUCCAUCUCCGAAGCACCGUCAUGAUCACCAUCGUCACCGGCGCGACACCUUGAUCUCCAUCGUAGCAUCGUUGUUGUCUUGCCAAUCUUAUGCUUCCACGACUAUCAGUAUCGUUUAGUAAUAAAGUAAAGCAUUACAUCGCGAUUGCAUUGCAUACAAUAAAGCGACAACCAUAUGGCUCCUGCCAGUUGCCGAUAACUUGGUUACAAAACAUGAUCAUCUCAUACAAUAAAAUUUAGCAUCAUGCCUUGACCAUAUCACAUCACAACAUGCCCUGCAAAAACAAGUUAGACGUCCUCUACUUUGUUGUUGCAUGUUUUACGUGGCUGCUAUGGGCUUAAAUAAGAACCAAUCUCACCUACGCAUCAAAACCACAACGAUAGUUUGUCAAAUAGACUCUGUUUUAACCUUCGCAAGGACCGGGCGUAGCCAUACUUGGUUCAACUAAAGUCGGAGAGACAGUCGCCCGCAAGCCAUCUCUGUGCAAAGCACGUCGAGGGAACCGGUCUCGCGUAAGCGUACGCGUAAGGUUGGUCCGGGUCGUCUCGUCCAACAAUACCGCCGAACCAAAGUAUGACAUGCUGGUAGGCAGUAUGACUUGUAUCGUCCACAACUCACUUGUGUUCUACUCGUGCAUAUAACAUCGACAUAAAUAACCUGGCUCGGAUACCACUGUUGGGUUUCGUAGUAAUUUCAAAAAAUUUCCUACGCACACGCAAGAUCAUGUGAUGCAUAGCAACGAGGGGGAGAGUAUUGUCUACGUACCCAACGCAGACCGACUACGGAAGCGAUGACACGACGUAGAGGAAGUAGUCGUACGUCUUCACGAUCCAACCGAUCAAGCACCGAAACUACGACACCUCCGAGUUCGAGCACACGUUCAGCUCGAUGACGAUCCCCGGACUCCGAUCCAGCAAAGUGUCGGGGAAGAGUUCCGUCAGCACGAUGGCGUGGUGACGAUCUUGAUGAACUACAGCAGCAGGGCUUCGCUUAAACUCCGCUACAGUAUUAUCGAGGAAUAUGGUGGCAGGGGCACCUCACACGGCUAAGGAACAAAUCACGUGGAUCAACUUGUGUGUUUCUGGGGUGCCUCUGCCUUAGUAUAUAAAGGAGCCAAGGGGGGAGAGGGGCGCCGGCCAGGGAGAGAGGCGCAGGAGGAGUCCUACUCCUUCCGGGAGUAGGACUCCCCUUCCAAUCCUAUUCCAACUAGGAUUCCCCGAGGGGGAAAGAGGGAGAGGGGUGGCCGGCCACCUCUCCUAGUCCUAAUAGGACUAGAGGAGGGGGGAGGUGCGCAGCCCCCUUGGGCUGCCCCUUUCUCCUUUCCACUAAGGCCCAUGAAGGCCCAUAUGGCUCCCAGGGGGUUCCGGUAACCUCCCGGUAACCCAGUAAAAUCCCGAUUUCACCCGAAACACUUCCGAUGUCCAAACAUAGGCUUCCAAUAUAUCAAUCUUUACGUCUCGACCAUUUCGAGACUCCUCGUCAUGUCCGUGAUCACAUCCGGGACUCCGAACAACCUUCGGUACAUCAAAAUGCAUAAACUCAUAAUGAAACUGUCAUCGUAACCUUAAGCGUGCGGACCCUACGGGUUCGAGAACAAUGUAGACAUGACCGAGACACGUCCCCGGUCAAUAACCAAUAGCGGGACCUGGAUGCCCAUAUUGGCUCCUACAUAUUCUACGAAGAUCUUUAUCGGUCAGACCGCAUAACAACAUACGUUGUUCCCUUUGUCAUCGGUAUGUUACUUGCCCGAGAUUCGAUCGUCGGUAUCCAAUACCUAGUUCAAUCUCGUUACCGGCAAGUCUCUUUACUCGUUCCGUAAUACAUCAUCUCACAACUAACAUAUUAGUUGUAAUGCUUGCAAGGCUUAUGUGAUGUGUAUUACCGAGAGGGCCCAGAGAUACCUCUCCGACAAUCGGAGUGACAAAUCCUAAUCUCGAAAUACGCCAACCCAACAUCUACCUUUGGAGACACCUGUAAUACUCCUUUAUAAUCACCCAGUUACGUUGUGACGUUUGGUAGCACCCAAAGUGUUCCUCCGGCAAACGGGAGUUGCAUAAUCUCAUAGUCAUAGGAACAUGUAUAAGUCAUGAAGAAAAGCAAUAGCAACAUACUAAACGAUCGGGUGCUAAGCUAAUGGAAUGGGUCAUGUCAAUCAGAUCAUUCGACUAAUGAUGUGACCUCGUUAAUCAAAUAACAACUCAUUGUUCAUGGUUAGGAAACAUAACCAUCUUUGAUUAACGAGCUAGUCAAGUAGAGGCAUACUAGUGACACUUUGUUUGUCUAUGUAUUCACACAUGUAUUAUGUUUCCGGUUAAUACAAUUCUAGCAUGAAUAAUAAACAUUUAUCAUGAUUAUAAGGAAAUAAAUAAUAACUUUAUUAUUGCCUCUAGGGCAUAUUUCCUUCACAAGACACUCUGAAAAACUAUCUCGUACGAACCAUAUGCUACGGGUUGUGUCGUAUGUGUAGUACAAUCCAGAUGAUACACAGAGAAUGUGCUUGCCAUAUCCGUUGCAUAUAGUAAAGAGAAAUUAUUUCUCUUUGUUGUCAUCAUAAGUUUCGCUAUGGAAACUAUUUUGACGGAUACCUCCAUAGUUUAGUAGGGUACGAAUUGAACCUGAGAAGCAAUAAAGCAUCCCGACGUUACUCGAGUACCCACAGGGAUAGUAAAUAUGACUCAGGUUGAGCCAACAAAUACUUCAUCACGUCUAGUGAUUUUAAAAUAUCCCUUUUCUCUCAACGAGAGUGGAAAUAGUUCACUUCCCUGAGUAUGGAGUUCGUGGUGCAUAUGUCCACAAGGCACAUAUGAUCUUUCAUCAGAUUGACCCCCGUAGAAAUCUAUAUAUAGAUUUGAAGAUUCUCAAUAUGAAAAUCACUCAGAUAUAUAGAAUACAUACAAAUGUGUUGUACCAAAGUGCUGAUACAAUAUAUUGUGAUACACAAUAUAUGAUGAUAACAAUAAUCAUGUUCGUAUUAGAACAUCAAAAAUGGACAUAGAUUAACAGAUCACUAAGGAGAUUGAGGGACUAAAUGUAGUCUCCAAACAUGUCAGUUGAUGCAUAUCCAACCUUCAUGUUCUCCAUGCUCAUAGGGUCCCGUGACAGCUGGAUAGUCAUUUUAUUGCUCGGUUCUAGAAGAACAUCAUGCAAACAAUUGACUUUCAUGAUGGUGUCAGGUUGAAGGUUUGAAGUGAGCUUCAAACCUUUACCCUUGAGGUAAUUUGUGUCCCGGUGGCGUGGCUUAGAUUACACGCGCUAUCCCAUGAGAGGCAAGACUGAUCUUGAUGUCCAUGACCCACUUAAGCAAGUUCUGGCCAUUGAGGGCAAGAGCCUCAAAUUACUUAGCCAUCAAUUACUUAAAGGGGCAAACCAGAGAUUAUUAAUUUACGAGUAGUAAAUUAAAGACCAUCAUGGUUAGUGUUGUAAUGAAUUUUGCAAAAUUGAUGGGUAUUUCAAGAAGUUAUCUUGAAACCAUUAGUGUGAACAUCAAAUUGCUAAGUAUGACAUCUUGAAGAUAAUCUUCGAAAGGGAGUAGAUCUCGCAGCACUAGGGAGUAUAAUCUGAUACUCACUCCUAAUGCCUUAUGUCAUGACUUAGUAAAAUGCAUGGGAGUGCACAAUGUUGUGCAAUCAUAAUGUCAAAUAUGACAAAAUAUAGGCUUUAUCAGUAGUCAUCAAUAAUCUGCGUAGGCAGUAGAUCCAUAUGACUACCUUGUGAUCCCAAGCAUCAUUUUGACGAAUCACUUUGAAUUUUGCAUUUGUAUUUGCAAGGAAUUGAAAAUCUCAAUUGCAAAUAGAAGUAUUAAUCUCGACAUGUGUUUAACAUGGAAAUAGAUACAUCAUCGAAAUAUUUUACUCAACGGAGAAACAGUACUGUAGAGGUACUGAAUUUAUCUUUGCAAGAGAUGAGAAAUCUCAAUUGCAAAUGAACGUAAUUAAUCUCAACACGUGGUAAACGUGGAAAUAUAUUACAUCAACUUAAUAUCUGGAAUACAUCUCGGUACUCAACAGAUACACACUACUAUCGUAAUGAAUAGUAAUGAUGUUGCAAACUUGAUGUUCAAGUGAAAAACUUGAAUUGUAUGGACCUCAAAUUAAAAUGAGAUGAUCUUGUAUCAAGUUGCAAGAUAAUUCAGCAAGGUGAAUUAAUAAUUUGCGAGAGAAAAUUGAUCUCAAUUGCAAUGAGAUUGUUUUGCGAGAAAAUGAUAAUUCUCAAUCGCAAAUCUAUAUUGUUGUGCGAGGAAACUUAAUCUCAAUCGCGGAAAGCUUGUUCUAGAAUUUUAGAGCGUAGAUUCACUCAUUUUGCUCCGUAUGUAGUCACUUGUUGAAACCUCUAGAAAGACAAGUAUUUAGGAACGGAGGGAGUAGUACUGUUAGCAUUGUUCAAAAUUAGCCUGGACCACUGUUUUACCCAUUUUGCAAAUUUCGCAAAAACAGGGACCUGCAUGCAAAAAUGGCAAAGGGAUAAGGUUGCCUCUACUCUCUCUCCUGUGCGGUUCCGCGUUGGGGAUUUUUCUACCGCCGUCUCGAGCGGCCUCGAGGGCUCGCCGGAGAAAGGAGAGGGAGGAUCUUGCCGUGCCGGAAGUCGCCGUCGCAGGGCGCUGGAAAGCGCCGUCACGGGCUUGAGACGCCCAGACGCGGCCGCUUCGGGCUGUGCGGGAGGCCGCCCGGUCGCUAUGUCUUGCCGCGACGUGCCGCCGGAGAGCGUCGUUGGUGGCGGCAGGACUCAACGCGGAGGUGUGAUCCGGCGGCGCGGCAGGAGACGAAGCCGCUGGAGCCGGCGUCUUGGUCCAGCGGGAACUGAAACCAAGCGAUGUCUCUUGCCGUGGAUGCCUUCGUCCUUCGUCAAGCGUAAGGCAAAAUUCUGUUCAUGGUAAAGCAAAUUUGUGUAGCCAUGAAGAAAAUUGGAAAAGUAGCACCUUGUUUCUCUGUAGCAAUUAGAUGAAGUUGGUACUCCAAUUUGCGUGGUGCUUGACUCCAGUCUCCGAUUCUCUUCCCAUCUUGGAGUUUAUUCGUCGGAUUUGCUGGCGCUCUCCAUCGGGGACGCUGCUAUUCGCCCCGUUCUUCUCCAGUGGCAUCUCUCUCGGGAGAGUUGUGCGCCUGUUUUCUCACACGCGCAGCGAGCGUGUUGGAGUUGUGUCGAAUAUACUGUACAAGGUAGGUUACAAUUGGACUUGUAGUAGUAUUGUGUGUAGACAGGGUAGGAGUUGUGUCUUAAUAGGACACCUGUAUCCUAGACCUCUCAUAUAUAUCGGGGGUAGACACACGAUGUAAUCUAUGCCAACAUAAUAGCACGGGCACGCGGGGAAGCCGGCGGCAUGUGCCGGCGGCAUGUGCCGGCGCCCGGGCGGCCGGGGUGCGGUAUUAUAGCGGUGUCAUGAGGAGGAGCGCCCGUAGUCAUGCCCCGGGGAUGUAGCCAUAUCGGUGAACCUCGUUAACAAAUCUCGGUGUCGUGCCUCGUGUGAUUGCUUGGUCCUCGGUAGAUCGACGGAGCGCCUCGGAUUUAUUCUAACAAGUGGUAUCGUGAGCAAGGUUCAAAGAGGUCGUGGAUUGCAGAGGAGAUUGUGGUUGUGGAAAAGGUCGAUGACAGGCAGCGCGAUUGGGUGGCAGCGGAUGUUGCGGGCAGUUUUCAUGUCGCGGAGAAGUCUCGGCCAGUAUAGCAAUAGCGGCACUAACCGGAAGCAGUCGGGAAGCUACAGGGCAGCGGUAUCGCAGCAGCAGUUGGUGUCAGCGGAGUCGAUCGAUCCAGAUCGGUCCUGGCGGCGCUUGUGGCAACCCUAGGCGAGAACGGAUUACAGCGUUGGCGUUCUCGCGCUCGAUCCGGUCGAGCGGGGCGGCAGACGUAUGCGCGCGGUUGCCUGUGACGUGGACAAGUCAAGGCCAAGGCCGCCUAGUGGGCUGGGCCAGCGGCGUCUGGGCGGCGAUGCAAGCCUGCAGGGCCAGGCCCAAGCGAUGGGCGGUUGGUGACUUGUGGUGUUCAGGCGUGCGCGUGCGUUGAGCGCAAGGGAGCUGUGUAGUGCUUUGGAGCCGAAGGAAUCAAGACAUCGUGAGGUUUGUUGUUUGAAAAAAAAGAGCAAGUCCCAAGGCGCAUAGUGUGCAGGAGCAUUGAAGUGGAGUAAAAGGGAAUUGAUACAUACAUGCUAAAGGUACACGAAAGGUUGCAGGAAUCUUGUGCACUGGAUAAGCUUGAUUAUGAUCUGCUCCUCGUCUGAGAAUAAGGUGCUCCAAGGGAAAUCGAUGGUCAAUUGGUUUAUUGGAUGCAAAGGUUUUUCAGAACUGUGUGCGAGGCCAGAAGUAAUUGUGAAGCUGUCAACAUUGUGGGCACAAGUUUGAAGGGGACUUGGAGCAUGCAGAGCCACGCGGGCGACGUGCGUAUAUGGCUCGGAGGAGUCUGGAGCACGUCGUGAUACAGAUCAUGCAUACACAGGGCGUCAAGUUAUGCACGGAGAUGUGCGGGGCAGACACGACGCAGGGUGGAGCAUGGUUGCAGUCGGUUAAUUUCGGCUGGGUCGGACUGGACUGUCUGAUGGAUCGACGGGGAUGCCGAUCAAAGCAGAAGAUGGCGGUGAUUUCAGCGACGACGACAUAGGAGCGUGAUGCUGAUGGUGGCCAAUUUCUGGGAUGUGGAAACACGUGGUGCAUGCCUGAGGGCUUGUGCGGCUUCGACAGACUAUGGCGCAGGGUUGAUUCAAGAUGGUGCACACAUCAGAGAGCUUGAAGUCGACAGGGCGCAAGGUAGCAUAGCGCAGCUACAUGGAGUCAUGUUGAAGGUGGAGCUGGAGUCUGAUGGAUGACUACACUCUGAGCUGAUGGAGGGGCUACGGUGUAAAUGCAUGGAGAGUCGGAGCCUAUUUCAGCGGGAUAGCGAGAGACACGUGGAUCGGACUGGGUACCAGUGGUCUGAUGGUGACGUGAUACUUGGCAUCGGUCGGUGAUGAUCAGUGGUUCUCUACAGUGGGGGUUGAGGCAGUGGGGGCUAGCUACCCGGGAGACUCGACCAGGACAGCAGAGGCUCGACGCGGUGAUAGCGGCGAGGCGUGCGGUAAGCACGGGACACAGCAACAGGCCAAGGCACUGGUGGUCAGACAUGUGGUCAGGCAAGUUCUGCAGGGGUGCUGAAGCAGUGUUGACGAGUAUCAGAUUCGAGUUGGUGACUGGGUCUAUCGGUGCCGGUUGAUGGACAAGAGUUGACCAUGGAGAAUCUGAGAAAGUGGCAGGAAGUCUGGAAUUGUCAAAACAGAAAGUACAUGGCCGUAUAUUCUGUGGUGUUCAGUGCACAUGGUAAAGUGCGGAUGACAAAUACAGAAGGAGGCGGAGUGCUAUAGCUGUGAGACAUGCCAGAGACUAUCCGGAAGAAGGGUGAGACUGUUGGGUUUCGUAGUAAUUUCAAAAAAUUUCCUACGCACACGCAAGAUCAUGUGAUGCAUAGCAACGAGAGGGAGAGUAUUGUCUACGUACCCAACGCAGACCGACUGCGGAAGCGAUGACACGACGUAGAGGAAGUAGUCGUACGUCUUCAUGAUCCAACCGAUCAAGCACCGAAACUACGACACCUCCGAGUUCGAGCACACUUUCAGCUCGAUGACGAUCCCCGGACUCCGAUCCAGCAAAGUGUCGGGGAAGAGUUCCGUCAGCACGACGGCGUGGUGAUGAUCUUGAUGAACUACAGCAGCAGGGCUUCGCCUAAACACCGCUACAGUAUUAUCGAGGAAUAUGGUGGCAGGGGGCACCGCACACGGCUAAGGAACAGAUCACGUGGAUCAACUUGUGUCUUCUAGGGUGCCUCUACCUCAGUAUAUAAAGGCGCCAAGGGGGGAGAGGGGCGCCGGCCAGGGAGAGAGGUGCAGGAGGAGUCCUACUCCUUCCGGGAGUAGGACUCCCCCCCAAUCCUAUUCCAACUAGGAUUCCCCGAGGGGGAAAGAGGGAGAGGGGUGGCCGGCCACCUCUCCUAGUCCUAAUAGGACUAGAGGAGGGGGGAGGUGCGCAGCCCCCUUGGGCUGCCCCUUUCUCCUUUCCACUAAGGCCCAUGAAGGCCCAUAUGGCUCCCGGGGGUUCCGGUAACCCGGUAAAAUCCCGAUUUCACCCGGAACACUUCCGAUGUCCAAACAUAGGCUUUCAAUAUAUCAAUCUUUACGUCUCGACCAUUUCGAGACUCCUCGUCAUGUCCGUGAUCACAUCCGGGACUCCGAACAACCUUCGGUACAUCAAAAUGCAUAAACUCAUAAUGAAACUGUCAUCGUAACCUUAAGCGUGCGGACCCUACGGGUUCGAGAACAAUGUAGACAUGACCGAGACACGUCUUCGGUCAAUAACCAAUAGCGGGACCUGGAUGCCCAUAUUGGCUCCUACAUAUUCUACGAAGAUCUUUAUCGGUCAGACCGCAUAACAACAUACGUUGUUCCCUUUGUCAUCGGUAUGUUACUUGCCCGAGAUUCGAUCGUCGGUAUCCAAUACCUAGUUCAAUCUCGUUACCGGCAAGUCUCUUUACUCGUUCCAUAAUACAUCAUCUCACAACUAACAUAUUAGUUGUAAUGCUUGCAAGGCUUAUGUGAUGUGUAUUACCGAGAGGGCCCAGAGAUACCUCUCCGACAAUCGGAGUGACAAAUCCUAAUCUCGAAAUACGCCAACCCAACAUCUACCUUUGGAGACACCUGUAAUGCUCCUUUAUAAUCACCCAGUUACGUUGUGACGUUUGGUAGCACCCAAAGUGUUCCUCCGGUAAACGGGAGCUGCAUAAUCUCAUAGUCAUAAGAACAUGUAUAAGUCAUGAAGAAAGCAAUAGCAACAUACUAAACGAUCGGGUGCUAAGCUAAUAGAAUGGGUCAUGUCAAUCAGAUCAUUCGACUAAUGAUGUGACCUCGUUAAUCAAAUAACAACUCAUUGUUCAUGGUUAGGAAACAUAACCAUCUUUGAUUAACGAGCUAGUCAAGUAGAGGCAUACUAGUGACACUUUGUUUGUCUAUGUAUUCACACAUGUAUUAUGUUUCCGGUUAAUACAAUUCUAGCAUGAAUAAUAAACAUUUAUCAUGAUUAUAAGGAAAUAAAUAAUAACUUUAUUAUUGCCUCUAGGGCAUAUUUCCUUCAGUCUCCCACUUGCACUAGAGUCAAUAAUCUAGAUUACACUGUAAUGAUUCUAACACCCAUGGAGCUUUGGUGCUGAUCAUGUUUUGGUCGUGGAAGAGGCUUAGUCAACGGGUCUGCAACAUUCAGAUCCGUAUGUAUCUUGCAAAUCUCUAUGUCUCCCACCUGGACUAGAUCCUGGAUGGAAUUGAAGCGUCUCUUGAUGUGUUUGGUCCUUUUGUGAAAUCUGGAUUCCUUUGCCAAGGCAAUUGCACCAGUGUUGUCACAAAAGAUUUUCAUUGGACCCGAUGCACUAGGUAUGACACCUAGAUCGGAUAUGAACUCCUUCAUCCAGACUCCUUCAUUUGCUGCUUCCGAAGCAGCUAUGUACUCCGCUUCACAUGUAGAUCCCUCUACGACGCUUUGUUUAGAACUGCACCAACUGACAGCUCCACCGUUUAAUGUAAACACGUAUCCGGUUUGCGAUUUAGAAUCGUCCAGAUCAGUGUCAAAGCUUGCAUCAACGUAACCUUUUACGGUGAGCUCUUUGUCACCUCCAUAUACGAGAAACAUAUCCUUAGUCCUUUUCAGGUAUUUCAGGAUGUUCUUGACCGCUGUCCAGUGAUCCAUUCCUGGAUUACUUUGGUACCUCCCUGCUAAACUUAUAGCAAGGCACACAUCAGGUCUGGUACACAGCAUUGCAUACAUGAUAGAGCCUAUGGCUGAUGCAUAGGGAACAUCUUUCAUAUUCUCUCUAUCUUCUACAGUGGUCGGGCAUUGAGUCUUACUCAACUUCACACCUUGUAACACAGGCAAGAAUCCUUUCUUUGCUUGAUCCAUUUUGAACUUCUUCAAAAUUUUGUCAAGGUAUGUGCUUUGUGAAAGUCCAAUUAAGCGUCUUGAUCUAUCUCUAUAGAUCUUAAUGCCUAAUAUGUAAGCAGCUUCACCGAGGUCUUUCAUUGAAAAACUUUUAUUCAAGUAUCCCUUUAUGCUAUCCAGAAAUUCUAUAUCAUUUCCAAUUAGUAAUAUGUCAUCCACAUAUAAUAUCAGAAAUGCUACAGAGCUCCCACUCACUUUCUUGUAAAUACAGGCUUCUCCGAAAGUCUGUAUAAAACUAAAUGCUUUGAUCACACUAUCAAAACGUUUAUUCCAACUCUGAGAGGCUUGCACCAGUCCAUAAAUGGAUCGCUGGAGUUUGCACACUUUGUUAGCUCCCUUUGGAUCGACAAAACCUUCUGGUUGCAUCAUGUACAACUCUUCUUCCAGAAAUCCAUUCAGGAAUGCAGUUUUUACAUCCAUCUGCCAAAUUUCAUAAUCAUAAAAUGCGGCAAUUGGUAACAUGAUUCGGACGGACUUAAGCAUCGCUACAGGUGAGAAGGUCUCAUCGUAGUCAAUCCCUUGAACUUGUCGAAAACCUUUCGCGACAAGUCGAGCUUUGUAGACAGUAACAUUACCAUCAGCGUCAGUCUUCUUCUUGAAGAUCCAUUUAUUCUCAAUUGCUUGCCGAUCAUCAGGCAAGUCAACCAAAGUCCAUACUUUGUCUCAUACAUGGAUCCCAUCUCAGAUUUCAUGGCUUCAAGCCACUUUGCGGAAUCUGGGCUCACCAUCGCUUCUUCAUAGUUCGUAGGUUCAUCAUGAUCUAGUAGCAUGACUUCCAGAACUGGAUUACCAUACCACUCUGGUGCGGAUCUUACUCUGGUUGAUCUACGAGGUUCAGUAGUGUCUUGUUCUGAAGUUUCAUGAUCAUUAUCAUUAACUUCCUCACUUAUUGGUGUAGGUGUCGCAGAAACAAUUUUCCGUGAUGUACUACUUUCCAACAAGGGAGUAGGUACAAUUACCUCGUCAAGUUCUACUUUCCUCCCACUCACUUCUUUCGAGAGAAACUCCUUCUCAAGAAAGUUUCCGAAUUUAGCAACAAAAGUCUUGCUUUCGGAUCUGUGAUAGAAGGUGUAUCCAAUAGUUUCCUUUGGAUAUCCUAUGAAGACACAUUUCUCCGAUUUGGGUUCGAGCUUAUCAGGUUGAAGCUUUUUCACAUAAGCAUCGCAGCCCCAAACUUUCAGAAACGACAACUUUGGUUUCUUGCCAAACCAUAGUUCAUAAGGCGUCGUAUCAACGUAUUUUGAUGGUGCCCUAUUUAACGUGAAUGCGGCCGUCUCUAAAGCAUAACCCCAAAAUGAUAGCGGUAAAUCAGUAAGAGACAUCAUAGAUCGCACCAUAUCUAGUAAAGUACGAUUAUGACGUUCGGACACACCAUUACGCUGUGGUGUUCCGGGUGGCGUGAGUUGCGAAACUAUUCCACAGUUUUUCAAAUGUACACCAAACUCGUAACUCAAAUAUUCUCCUCCACGAUCAGAUCGUAGAAACUUUAUUUUCUUGUUACGAUGAUUUUCAACUUCACUCUGAAAUUCUUUGAACUUUUCAAAUGUUUCAGAUUUAUGUUUCAUUAAGUAGAUAUACCCAUAUCUGCUUAAAUCAUCUGUGAAGGUGAGAAAAUAACGAUAUCCGCCACGAGCCUCAAUAUUCAUCGGACCACAUACAUCGGUAUGUAUGAUUUCCAACAAAUCUGUUGCUCUCUCCAUAGUACCGGAGAACGGUGUUUCAGUCAUCUUGCCCAUGAGGCAUGGUUCGCAAGUACCAAGUGAUUCAUAAUCAAGUGGUUCCAAAAGUCCAUCAGUAUGAAGUUUCUUCAUGCGCUUUAUACCGAUAUGACCUAAACGACAGUGCCACAAAUAAGUUGCACUUUCAUUAUCAACUCUGCAUCUUUUGGCUUCAACAUUAUGAAUAUGUGUAUUACUACUAUCGAGAUUCAAUAAGAAUAGACCACUCUUCAAGGGUGCAUGAUCAUAAAAGAUAUUACUCAUAUAAAUAGAACAAUCAUUAUUCUCUGAUUUAAAUGAAUAACCGUCUCGCAUCAAACAAGAUCCAGAUAUAAUGUUCAUGCUUAACGCUGGCACCAAAUAACAAUUAUUUAGGUCUAAUAUUAAUCCCGAAGGUAGAUGUAGAGGUAGCGUGCCGACCGCGAUCACAUCGACUUUGGAACCGUUUCCCACGCGCAUCGUCACCUCGUCCUUAGCCAAUCUUCGCUUAAUCCGUAGCCCCUGUUUCGAGUUGCAAAUAUUAGCAACAGAACCAGUAUCAAAUACCCAGGUGCUACUGCGAGCAUUAGUAAGGUACACAUCAAUAACAUGUAUAUCACAUAUACCUUUGUUCACUUUGCCAUCCUUCUUAUCCGCCAAAUACUUGGGGCAGUUCCGCUUCCAGUGACCAGUCUGCUUGCAGUAGAAGCACUCAGUUUCAGGCUUAGGUCCAGACUUGGGUUUCUUCUCUUGAGCAACAACUGGCUUGCCGUUCUUCUUGAAAUUCCCCUUCUUCUUUCCUUUGCCCUUUUUCUUGAAACUAGUGGUCUUGUUGACCAUCAACACUUGAUGCUCUUUCUUGAUUUCUACCUCCGCAGCUUUCAGCAUCGCGAAGAGCUCGGGAAUAGUCUUGUUCAUCCCUUGCAUAUUAUAGUUCAUCACGAAGCUCUUGUAGCUUGGUGGCAGUGAUUGGAGAAUUCUAUCAAUGACGCAAUCAUCCGGAAGAUUAACUCCCAAUUGAAUCAAGUGAUUAUUAUACCCAGACAUUUUGAGUAUAUGCUCACUAGCAGAACUGUUCUCCUCCAUCUUGCAGCUAUAGAACUUAUUGGAGACUUCAUAUCUCUCAAUUCGGGCAUUUGCUUGAAAUAUUAACUUCAACUCCUGGAACAUCUCAUAUGCUCCAUGACGUUCAAAACGUCGUUGAAGUCCCGAUUCUAAGCCGUAAAGCAUGGCACACUGAACUAUCGAGUAGUCAUCAGCUUUGCUCUGCCAGACGUUCAUAACAUCUGGUGUUGCUCCAGCAGCAGGCCUGGCACCCAGCGGUGCUUCCAGGACGUAAUUCUUCUGUGCAGCAAUGAGGAUAAUCCUCAAGUUACGGACCCAGUCCGUGUAAUUGCUACCAUCAUCUUUCAACUUUGCUUUCUCAAGGAACGCAUUAAAAUUCAACGGAACAACAGCACGAGCCAUCUAUCUACAAUCAACAUAAACAAGCAAGAUACUAUCAGGUACUAAGUUCAUGAUAAAUUUAAGUUCAAUUAAUCAUAUUACUUAAGAACUCCCACUUAGAUAGACAUCCCUCUAAUCCUCUAAGUGAUCACGUGAUCCAAAUCAACUAAACCAUGUCCGAUCAUCACGUGAGAUGGAGUAGUUUCAUCGGUGAACAUCAUUAUGUUGAUCAUAUCUACUAUAUGAUUCACGCUCGACCUUUCGGACUCCGUGUUUCGAGGCCAUAUCUGUAUAUGCUUGGCUCGUCAAGUAUAACCUGAGUAUUCCGCAUGCGCAACUGUUUUGCACCCGUUGUAUUUGAACGUAGAGCCUAUCACACCCGAUCAUCACGUGGUGUCUCAGCACGAAGAACUUUCGCAACGGUGCAUACUCAGGGAGAACACUUCUUGAUAAUUUAGUGAGAGAUCAUCUUAUAAUGCUACCGUCAAUCAAAGCAAGAUAAGAUGCAUAAAAAGAUAAACAUCACAUGCAAUCAAUAUAAGUGAUAUGAUAUGGCCAUCAUCAUCUUGUGCCUGUGAUCUCCAUCUCCGAAGCACCGUCAUGAUCACCAUCGUCACCGGCGCGACACCUUGAUCUCCAUUGUAGCAUCGUUGUCGUCUCGCUAAUCUUAUGCUUCCACGACUAUCACUACCGUUUAGUAAUAAGGUAAAGCAUUACAUCGCGAUUGCAUUGCAUACAAUAAAGCGACAACCAUAUGGCUCCUGCCAGUUGCCGAUAACUUGGUUACAAAACAUGAUCAUCUCAUACAAUAAAAUUCAGCAUCAUGCCUUGACCAUAUCACAUCACAACAUGCCCUGCAAAAACAAGUUAGACGUCCUCUACUUUGUUGUUGCAUGUUUUACGUGGCUGCUACGGGCUUAAGUAAGAACCAAUCUCACCUACGCAUCAAAACCACAACUAUAGUUUGUCAAAUAGACUCCGUUUUAACCUUCGCAAGGACCGGGCGUAGCCAUACUUGGUUCAACUAAAGUUGGAGAGACAGUCGCCCGCAAGCCACCUGUGUGCAAAGCACGUCGGGAGAACCGGUCUCGCGUAAGCGUACGCGUAAGGUUGGUCCGGGUCGUCUCGUCCAACAAUACCGCCGAACCAAAGUAUGACAUGCUGGUAGGUAGUAUGACUUGUAUCAUCCACAACUCACUUGUGUUCUACUCGUGCAUAUAACAUCAACAUAAAUAACCUAGGCUCGGAUACCACUAUUGGGUUUCGUAGUAAUUUCAAAAAAUUCCUACGCACACGCAAGAUCAUGUGAUGCAUAGCAACGAGAGGGAGAGUAUUGUCUACGUACCCAACGCAGACCGACUCCGGAAGCGAUGACACGACGUAGAGGAAGUAGUCGUACGUCUUCACGAUCCAACCGAUCAAGCACCGAAACUACGGCACCUCCGAGUUCGAGCACACGUUCAGCUCGAUGACGAUCCCCGGACUCCGAUCCAGAAAAGUGUCGGGGAAGAGUUCCGUCAGCACGACGGCGUGGUGAUGAUCUUGAUGAACUACAGCAGCAGGGCUUCGCCUAAACACCACUACAGUAUUAUCGAGGAAUAUGGUGGCAGGGGGCACCGCACACGGCUAAGGAACAUAUCACGUGGAUCAACUUGUGUCUUCUAGGGUGCCUCUACCUCAGUAUAUAAAGGAGCCAAGGGGGGAGAGGGGCGCCGGCCAGGGAGAGAGGCGCAGGAGGAGUCCUACUCCUUCCGGGAGUAGGACUCCCCCCCCAAUCCUAUUCCAACUAGGAUUCCCCGAGGGGGAAAGAGGGAGAGGGGUGGCCGGCCACCUCUCCUAGUCCUAAUAGGACUAGAGGAGGGGGGAGGUGCGCAGCCCCCUUGGGCUGCCCCUUUCUCCUUUCCACUAAGGCCCAUGAAGGCCCAUAUGGCUCCCGGGGGGUUCCGGUAACCUCCCGGUAACCCGGUAAAAUCCCGAUUUCACCCGGAACACUUCCUAUGUCCAAACAUAGGCUUCCAAUAUAUCAAUCUUUACGUCUCGACCAUUUCGAGACUCCUCGUCAUGUCCGUGAUCACAUUCGGGACUCCGAACAACCUUCGGUACAUCAAAAUGCAUAAACUCAUAAUGAAACUGUCAUCGUAACCUUAAGCGUGCGGACCCUACGGGUUCGAGAACAAUGUAGACAUGACCGAGACACGUCUCUGGUAAAUAACCAAUAGCGUGACCUGGAUGCCCAUAUUGGCUCCUACAUAUUCUACGAAGAUCUUUAUCGGUCAGACCGCAUAACAACAUACGUUGUUCCCUUUGUCAUCGGUAUGUUAUUUGCCCGAGAUUCGAUCAUCGGUAUCCAAUACCUAGUUCAAUCUCGUUACCGGCAAGUCUCUUUACUUGUUCCGUAAUACAUCAUCUCACAACUAACAUAUUAGUUGUAAUGCUUGCAAGGCUUAUGUGAUGUGUAUUACCGAGAGGGCCCAGAGAUACCUCUCCGACAAUCGGAGUGACAAAUCCUAAUCUCGAAAUAUGCCAACCCAACAUCUACCUUUGGAGACACCUGUAAUGCUCCUUUAUAAUCACCCAGUUACGUUGUGACGUUUGGUAGCACCCAAAGUGUUCCUCCGGUAAACGGGAGUUGCAUAAUCUCAUAGUCAUAAGAACAUGUAUAAGUCAUGAAGAAAGCAAUAGCAACAUACUAAACGAUCGGGUGCUAAGCUAAUGGAAUGGGUCAUGUCAAUCAGAUCAUUCGACUAAUGAUGUGACCUCGUUAAUCAAAUAACAACUCAUUGUUCAUGGUUAGGAAACAUAACCAUCUUUGAUUAACGAGCUAGUCAAGUAGAGGCAUACUAGUGACACUUUGUUUGUCUAUGUAUUCACACAUGUAUUAUGUUUCCGGUUAAUACAAUUCUAGCAUGAAUAAUAAACAUUUAUCAUGAUUAUAAGGAAAUAAAUAAUAACUUUAUUAUUGCCUCUAGGGCAUAUUUCCUUCAGAGACAACUGCAAAUUUGACUCAGGGUGAUACAGAGCGACGGUGAAAUUCCUUCAAGUUUCAGACAGAUGGUCAAGAAAGAGCUGUGAUGUUGAGUUCAGCUAACUCUUAUAUGUGGCGUCCAAUACGUGAGUUGUUCACUUUCACGCAGACAGUGGUCAGUGUGUGAUGGCGUUGAACGGAUUCUCCAGAAGUUGGGAGCACGGACUAGAGUAACAAGGAACUUAAUUUUGCUCGAGUGUUGACUGUGGUCAAGAAAAGGAGGGACUACAAGUUGCAGAUGGAGUCACAUGGAGUCUGGGAGUAGCAGCGGUGCUCAUAGCGUAACUCAAGUCCAAUGUACAUGGAAGUUUGACGCAUGGACAAAUCCAGGGCGGUGGAGUAUAUUCGCCAAGGUGGAGUUUGUUAGAGUUGUGUCGAAUAUAUUGUACAAGGUAGGUUACGAUUGGACUUGUAGUAGUACUGUGUGUAGACAGGGUAGGAGUUGUGUCCUAAUAGGACACCUGUAUCCUAGACCUCUCAUAUAUAUCGGGGGUAGACACACGAUGUAACCUAUGCCAACAUAAUAGCACGGGCACGCGGGGGAGCCGGCGGCAUGUGCCGGCGCCCGGGCGGCCGGGGUGCGGUAUUGUAGCGGUGUCAUGGGGAGGAGCGCCCGUAGUCAUGCCCCGGGGAUGUAGCCAUAUCGGUGAACCUCGUUAACAAAUCUCGGUGUCGUGCCUCGUGUGAUUGCUUGGUCCUUGGUAAAUCGACGGAGCGCCUCGGAUUUAUUCUAACAGAGCGGAUGGCUGGACGAGAGUCGUGGCCUCGGACGCCACCGCCCGGGAAGUGCUCUCCAUGCACAUCCGCCUGGAUGCGGCCUGGACGUGCGCCAAAGCCGUCGUAGGCAGGGCGCCGCUAGAGUUGUCACGCGGGAGCGUGCUGAUAACGUAUUAGAAUGAAUCAAGUCUCUUCUUUAUUAGAUGCCAUCUGCUAUUUAUACAAGGAAAAGGACACCACUGGAAAAGGUGUCUGUUCAGAGGAGGUGCCUAUUCGGCGGGAACCGACGCGGCCGUUUUACAACGGCCUGCGGUUAGUACAAGCAGGGAUUAAUCCCAUAAUUAACACAUGGUUAAUUAAUUCUAACAAUAGUAAAGCUGCCAUGUUUUGAAUAAUGAGAUCUCCAUGUUAUUCAUAAUAAAAUUGCCAUGUGGAAAAGUAGGGAAAAAAUCCCAAAUUCGCCAAGAAAAUUGAUUAAAAAUCCCAUCGUUUGCCACAAUAACAUUACAAAAUGACUUAAAAUUGCCCUGUUUGAAAGACAAAAAGUUAUGAAUUAUCCCCAUCAUGAGAUUUUUCUUCUUCGGAAAAUUUUGCCAUGUGUACAAAAUACCUUGGCGUGUGAACAUUAAAAAAAUUAUAAAUCUGGCGUGUUUUUUUUUUAAUUGGCAUGUACCUAAAAACAAAAAAAAGUUGCAUAUUUUUGCCACAUAGUAAAAAUGUGGAGUGUUUGGAUAGGAUUGUGUUGGCCUUUCUUUUAUUUAGCAAACAACCUUUUUUUUCUGUUUUGCGAGGGUUUAGGAACUCAGACAUGAGUAGCCAACAUUGUAACGCCAUGUGCGUAUUUCUUUUCCAUAUGGGGAAGUAGUCUUCGGCCGUUGUUUGAGGAAUUGUAUUUUGGCUUAUGGAGCGUUUGUUGGGCGGAGCGUGUGUAGCAAGGAACGUCGCCAACUUUUGGCUGAAGGAACCAGGCGUUUUGUUAUAUCCUUGUCGCCACACCAUCUUCAUCUCCAUCCUUACUCACAUUAUUAAUUCAAUUCUAUAUAUAUACUACUCCCUCUCUAAAGAAAUGAUAAUCCAACGUUCUUAUGUUUCUUUAUUUACGGAGGAACUACUACUUGCCAAACCGGUUAGUGUAAAAAUAAUCAUCACUUUAUAUGUACAAGGUGAUGUUUUGUUUAUGGUAUUUGCAAAGCUUUAAUCAUGGACACUCACAGAUCCCUCCGUUCCUAAAUAUACAAAGUUUUAAGAGAUUUCACUAGGAAACUACAUACAGAGCAAAAUGAGUGAAUCCACAUUCUAAAGUAUGUCUAUAUUCAUCCGGAUGUAGUACCUCUUAAAAGACUUAAAUUUAGGAUUUCUUUUCUAACAUACUAUAUUCUUUUGGCAUACAUUCCCCAAAAAGAGCGAAUACCUCCAUGCGACUGUACAGCAAAACACAGAAUGGAUGUAUCUCACAAAAAAAAACUGAAAGUAAUUGCAAGUUGUACCCUACUAGCACAGAAUGAGAAAACACUACCCAAGAUACAUAUCAUUUAAAAUCCAUCAAUAACACAUCCAAACAUAAAGGAGGAUCCAAGAAAUACAUGGCAACAUUUGAUUCUAAACUGUUUGCCACGCCCCUAAGAAAUACUCAUCACAACAGCCUAGAGCUUGCUGAUAAGUCUACUCAUUAGAAUCACGGAAACGAACCGGGGUCUCCAACACAUUGGUGACCAGCUGGACCAUCCACGGGUGACGCACCCGAAGCCAGGCAAUGUCGCAAUUAUAUUUGAGUACAUGAUCAGCAGUAUCCUCUAGCACUAAGCUCAGCUCUUCGACUAAGGCUGAGACCAGAUCCUCCUCGGCAAGCAAUACGCCCAAGGCAUCCUUAAAGCACUUACUCAGAUGUAAGAGCGUAAUUGCUGAGUUCUUCAUGAGUAGGAGGGCUUCCAGGGCGCCCCGUUCCAGCUUGGCCUCCUGAACCAUGAGCUGGGGCAACACAUCAUGCUCGAGCUUUUGGAUUUCCAGCGACAAGCCUGCCACGACCGAGAGGGAAUCCAGCUCCGGGCAUGCCCAGGACCUCGACUCCAUGAUCAGCGGGCAGAGGAGUGCAUACGACUUGCGCGCUAUGCACACCGACUCCAGAGAGACAAGAUUCACAAGCAUGGACUUAUUGGAGUGGCCCAGCUCAUCGGCGCGAGCCUGCAGGUCUUGGAUGUGGGCAUGGGAGUGGAUUUUGUAGACCAUCAUUUCCUUUUGCCGGACUGCAGCAGAAGAGUUGCUGCUACCAGCUGGUACAAACAGCACAAACAGAGGAGGAUUUAAUGUCAGGAAGAGACCAUACAACACCAAUCCAAGCUUCUACUUAAUUAGUUAGGACAGCAUCAUAUUUGCAUUGUGCGACAGAAUAGUUAUUAAUAUGAAGUGAAAGCAAUUCAACCAUGUAUACUGAUAGGCAACUAAACAAAAUGAAUGAAUAACCAAAACAGAAAAAUAAUUAACAGAGGGAAUAUAAUAUAAUUUGGUUCAAAGUAGAUAGAGAUCCCAUCAUUCAUUGUAUUAUUGUGAGCAAGAAAAUUGCAUCUCCAGAAUUAAUGCCUCACCAUCAAAGGAAACAAUAAACUAAACAGCUGGGAAAUAAAAAAUUGCAUCCCAUGUGCAAGGGCAUAGUGAGGACAGAAAACCAAACCAGCAUUUACAGUCCUCAAGAAGAAGACUAGAGAUUGGUUGGCAAAAGAUACAUCAUCAUUGGCAAAUAUUAGUAACACAUAUAAUAAAUAAACCCAAACGAUAACCAAAUACCUAUCCAAACAACAGAGCUGGAAAGCAGCACAUACGACUACAACAUUAAUCAGCAGCUGCACGUCAAGUGCUGUGCAUAAAUAUUUUAGGAUCCCAAAAAAUAUUGUUACCUAUCCAAACAGAGCUAGAACAUGAAUAUGCAACAAAUCUACUACGCUCAAACACAGUUGAUAAAUUUUUUUAACAUUCUGGCAUAAACUGAAAUCAAACAACAUAGCAUGAACUCCAUCCAAAUUAAUAUUCGAUUUCUAGCUUGAUUUUGUUGUUUUUCCUCCUAAUUCGAAAUUUCCCCACCAAAAAUAGCCAAAAAUUUUAUUUUUUUUGUGAUUUGUUGGCAUGAUGAAGUUUUGUUUAUUUUGAUCCAUGGAUUUGCUUGGUUUCAAGUGGAUCUAGCAUUUCCCCAAGUUUCCCAAUCUUUCAUCCACAAAAUCCCUCCAAUUUUGCCCCAGAAAUCAUCAAUUUCCGCCCAAAAUCGCGACAUGCACAAUUGAGAAACCAAAAUCUGAAGCAAACCCUAACUAAAACGUCAGAUUGAUUCCUUAUUACGGAUAAUCGAACAAACCCUAACUAGGUGGUGUUACCAAACAAACCCUAACUAAUUAAUAAUUAAAUCCUAUCCUAGUCGAGGUAGGUUCCUCAUACGAAUAGAAUAGGAUACAAGACGGCGCUGGCUGGAUCCGAGACCUAUGAACCCGCGCCGCGCCGCGCCUACCAACCACAAUCGGAACGAGCAACUCCGGAGGGAGACCACGCUGGCUGGAUCCGAGACCUACGAACCAGACACUACCAACCAAUCGGAACAAACUCCAAGCUGAUCGGGAUGUACAAGNNNNNNNNNNNNNNNNNNNNNNNNNNNNNNNNNNNNNNNNNNNNNNNNNNNNNNNNNNNNNNNNNNNNNNNNNNNNNNNNNNNNNNNNNNNNNNNNNNNNNNNNNNNNNNNNNNNNNNNNNNNNNNNNNNNNNNNNNNNNNNNNNNNNNNNNNNNNNNNNNNNNNNNNNNNNNNNNNNNNNNNNNNNNNNNNNNNNNNNNNNNNNNNNNNNNNNNNNNNNNNNNNNNNNNNNNNNNNNNNNNNNNNNNNNNNNNNNNNNNNNNNNNNNNNNNNNNNNNNNNNNNNNNNNNNNNNNNNNNNNNNNNNNNNNNNNNNNNNNNNNNNNNNNNNNNNNNNNNNNNNNNNNNNNNNNNNNNNNNNNNNNNNNNNNNNNNNNNNNNNNNNNNNNNNNNNNNNNNNNNNNNNNNNNNNCAAGAGGGGUAAAAGCACAGAGAUCCCUAGGGCUGCCGUAUCCGCCUCGCAUUCUCUGAUUCUUUUUUACCAAUUUAUUUACGGAAACACUAACCCCACAUGUGUGGGCGUCUGCAUCUCGCCCACACGCGCUAAUCAUCGUUGAUUUGCAGUGCGUGAAUCUUACAAGAAUCAGCCGGCAUCUUUCGUGCCACGUAGGCAUAGCGAGGCGGGUGCUGGUGGUAGAGCGUUCGCCCGAACGUGUGGCAUUUGACGCUUUUGCCCGGACGAGUUAUCCAUUCGCAGCUCCACCGCUUUUUCCAACCCAUUCCCCUCCCCACUGCCUUCUCUCCUCGUCACUCUCGCCACUCCCCACUCCAAUCUCCAUCACCGCGCGGGACCUUGCCGACCGCCUCCGCUUCGCCGAGGUUGGUGGGGGAGGCCGGUUCCUGUUGCUGUUUCCAGAGACGACGACGGCGGGAAGCAGAGAUUGCGCCUCAAGGUCUCCAACCGCCGUGCUGGAGAGUUGGUUGGGCGCGCGCGGCGGCAGGCCGGGAGUCGACACAUCGCCGUCCGCCUCCACAUCAUCGAGGUUGGAGGGGGAGGCCGGGGACCAGCUGGUCGUCGUUGACGACGGGCAUAUUCAUGGUGCCCUGGCGCAUCUGCAGCUCCGCCGAUCUGCAUCACGCGCCGGACCCGAUGGCCAUGGAAUGGCAGCUCACGCGCCUCCGCCUCUGUCUAUAGGUACUCGCCGGCCUCUGCUCAUCUUCUACUUGCCUGCUCUGAAGCAACGCCACCCUCACCCCUCCAUCCUUGGAUUCUUACUCACCAGUCGGCAAUCCUGUUGUUGGUCGCUCGCAUCAUCGGCGUGAGGAGCGGGGAUCCUGGCUCGCCAGCGUUAGGCGCGGCAGCCUGUCAAUGGAGGCUUGCAACACGCCUGGCGCGAGCGUCGUGGUAGCGGGUCGGUGCUCCCGCCUGCGUGCUCCAUGCCGUUCAUGCUCCAACCAGCCCAAAGACACGGAUCUAGUGCAGAUCCACGGCGGCGUAUCAGCGGCGGGCUGCUAGGUAAGUGAGUUCCAUGACUCCAUCCGUCAUUUGUUUCCGGCGACUGGCAGAGGUGGCAGUUAUGGCUUUGGGGAGAGCGUGGGUAGCGGACUGUUCGUGUUAGCCAAUCCUUUGGUGUGUGGUAGAGCAGUAGCAUGACAUUUUUCUGAUAAAUCACACUUUCUAGAUGUCUAGGUCCUCUGACUCACAAACAUGGCAAAUUCUAUCAUGUGUGUGUGGCAACUUACAUCCACUGAGCCAUGGUUACUUUUUAUGUCAUUUUUGCCAUGUUUCAUCACAACUAUCCUUUUGAAAUUACUCCCACAACAUUAAAACUGUAUGAAAAUGGCAACCAUGAUUAAGCUCAGAUGUUGUUCAUCAAUUUCCAUGGCUACAAUCGUUAAGCUCAGAUGAUGUCUAUCUCUACUGUUUUUUGGCACUUUUAUUUAUAUUGACAAUGGCAAAUUAUUUUUUCACCGACCAUGCGAAAUUCACAAAUGGCUAGACGGCAAUAUGACCAUGCCAAAUUCGUUUGUAAUUUUUCAAUGAAAACUGAAAUGCUAUACAUUGUGCAAUAUGCUUUGACAUUGCAAUUUUAUUGGAUUUAGCAUGGCAAAUUACCUUACGAAACAUGGCAUUUUUAUUACAUUGACCAUUGUGAACUUUAUUAGCUUUUUCUAAUUGCCGUGUGAGUAGUACUGACCAUGGCAAAUUUGAAACAGUUACUGAAGUUCGUCUUCAAUUACUACAAACUUAUUUUAGCUAUGUUUUCUGUUAUGGCAAUUGCAAGUAAGUUUUCCUGUUAGCUGUAAACUAUUCAUGGCAUUUCGUUUCUCAUGUUCUUGCCAUGCUUGUUUUUUUAAGUUAUCGCACUAUGUGUACAUAGCAUGCCAAUUUUCUGCACUUGAUCACAUAGCAAGUUUAGAAAUUGUUCCCGUGACCCAUUUUUUCAAAGUUUGCCAUGGCAGAAAUGUCAUGUUUAUCUGCCAUGGCAAAUUUAGGUUUUUUUAACAUGCCCACGACAAUCUUUUAUGCUUUUGUUUCUUACUUAACGACGACAAAUUUAGUUUGUUGAUAAUGGCAAAUUUAGUUUAUUGCCAUGGCAAAUUUAGUGUAGCGACCCGACCUCAGAUGGUCAAGUCUCUGUGCUUCCGUGUCAUCCCUGGAUCGGUAAUGCUGACACACACAGUACUCGAAGGCUUUAUAACAGAGUAUCAAUCACACACUUAUUACAUCGAAUGUCCCAAAAGAGAACUUAUUACAAAAAUAUGGCUUAAGGCCAUCUAAUGCGAUAACAGCGGAAGGCUUGGAAGAUAAAGUGAGUCCAUCAACUCCAACGGCAUAGCUGAGCUGCACGGCAACAACCUACGAACCUUACUCCUCGUCUGAAAAGUCUGCAACAUAAUACGUUGCAGUCCGAGAACGGGUCAGCACAUGGAAUAUGCUGGCAAUGUAACACAAAAGAGCAAUAACAGAAUAAUGCUACCACUACAUGCAUAUUUGGCUGGUGGAAAGCUCUAUGGUUACAAUUUUUACGAAAAGCCAAUUUUUCCCUACUACAAAGGAAUCAGUUUUAAUUUAACUAUCAUGGUAGUUGAAACAUCAUUUGAGAAGGUAACCCCAACUCAAUGAUCCCAAUUAAAAAUACUUAACAACCCAACAAGAUUAAUUAAGAGUGUUGAGAUACAUGCGAAUACUCAAGUACUAGAUACUCAGAAUUGUCCAUAACCGGGGACACGGCUAACCAUGAUUAGAUUGUACACUCUGCAGAGGUUUGCGCACUUUUCCCCGCAAGACUCGAUCGCCUCCGUUAAUUUCUCGCACUACAUGGUGUUUGAGAGACGGAUGACUGAGACACAGUCUUUAAGAAGCAUUAACCCUCUACUCCGGGCAGACCAUACCAAACAUACAAACCCACUACCUGCUGAUCCACCUCUUCAAGAGCUUCACGCAACUUACUCAACUAUGCUAGAGCCCAUAAUAGCUUGCGGCUGCACACGGAAGUUUCUAGCAUGAAUAGACUCGGUUCCCUUUGAGCCUGGGUGGCGGUCCAUAGGAGAAUCACACGGUAACCCCGGGAUUUCCAAAAAUAAAACAGGCAAUAGCUGGAUACCCCAGGUGCCUCAAUCCACCCAGAUGUGUAUUAAAGUUGCCACCUUAAGUAAACCAUUAAUUAACAAUCUCACAUCUGUCAUGGAUAUCACUCAAACCCAAUCCACGUCUACGAGCAUAGCAUGGCAAUAUAAGCAUAACGUAGAAGUAACUCCCAAGGGUUUGAUAAUAAAACAGGUAAUAGGUUCUACCUCAGCAACUACUUCCCAAUACCCACAUGUUAAAGGCAUCCUAAUCAUGCAAUGUUUGAGGACUGAAACUAGUGCAUAAAAACUGGGUAUGAGAAGAGUAUGAUCAAUGUGUUACUUGCCUUGCUGACGAUCCGUGAAUCCUAGAGACUCGUAGUAACACGCUUCGCACUCCGGGAAUUCUAUCGCAAGCAAACAAUAACAUACAUAAGCAACAAUCAAAGAUGCACAAGUAGAACUCCAAAUAAAAUAGUUUGACCGGGAGUUCAACUUAAGAACUCCGGUUUGCAAAAAGAAUCAAAUCAAACGGAGCAACGAAACUCAAACGGCAAAAGAAACAACUUCGUUUUACUAAUCUGGAUCUAAGUCAAAUUUUACAGAAGAAAAAUCUUGUUUGAGUUGAUUAUUCGGAAACAGGGUUUCGAGAUGAAACUCCAGGCGCUUGAAUCGCCUGAUUCCGAUAAACGAGCGAAAAGAUAAACAGGUUUAAACAUCGGAUCAGAAAUCGCGAUCGGAAUAACUGCGGAAUAAAUCCGAUAAAAAGAAAAAUGCCGAACGGCUAAACGAACGAGCGUUCGUUAGCAGAAACUAAACGGUGAACACGUUCGUUAGAACGAACGGACGAACGAACUUUCGCUAAGUAAAUAAACCGAAGAAAUAAACCGAUCUAUAUAAAAAAAUGAACUAGGGUUUUCAAAAAAAACCGAAGUGUUUUCUUAAAAAAAACGGCGGCGGGGUCGGGUACCUCCGGCGGGGUUCCGGGGCUUGGGGAGGGCGCGGGGUGGCGGUGGGAGGCGGCGGCGGCGCUAGGGCGACGGCGGCGACUCGGCGGCGGCGGAUCGGGGCUCGGCUCCGGNNNNNNNNNNCGGACUCCCCUCGGCGUCUGUGCGGCGCACGGCGGUGCACGCGGGGAAGGCGGCGGCGGCUGGCGGCUGGGCUGGCCUGCUCGGCUGUUCCUUUGGCCCAGUCGGGCGCGAGGUUUUUAAAAAAAAAACAUUCUGCCGAAAGAAAAAUUCCUAGAAAAAUAAAUAAAAUCUAAAAAUUCCAAAACAAGUUUUCUCCGUCUAAAUAAAAUAUUUAGAACAAGAUGAACUUUUCUUGGCCCCUAAAAUGCAAUUUUUAAAACAUGCAAAAAAUUUCUAGGGCAAAUAAAAAUCCCGAAUAAACUCCGAUAAAAUCCAAAAAUGAUGUUAACAUUUUUCCUCCGAUAUUUCCAUUGUUUUGGAGAAGUCAUAUUAUCUCCCCUCAUUUAUUAUUUUAGAAAGAAAUAUUUCCGGAGAGAAAAUAAUUAAAAUCAAAUCCUCGUCUUCACUAUUUGAUAAAAAUUUCAAAUACGAAAAUUAGAAAAUCCCCAACUCUCUCCGAAGGUCCUUGAGUUGCUUAGGAUCUCGAGGAUUGCAAACGAAAAGCAAUUGAAUAUGAUAUGCAUGGAUGACCUAUGUAUAACAUGCCAAAUUGGAAAUUUGGGAUGUUACAAACCUACCCCCCCUUAAGAUGAAUCUCGCCCUCGAGAUUCGGGUUGGCUAGAAAAUAGGUGCGGAUGGUCCUUGCGAAUAUCCUCUUCUCGCUCCCAGGUGGCUUCCUCCUCAGUAUGAUGACUCCACUGAACUUUGCAAAACUUGAUCACCUUGUUGCGAGUGACUCGGCUAUCAAACUCAAGAAUCUUUACUGGCUUCUCCUCAUAGGUCAGAUUAUUAUCCAGAUGAAUAGCCUCCAAAGGUACUGUAUCAUUCAACGGUAUAUCGGCCAUCUCAGCAUGGCACUUCUUCAGCUGUGAUACGUGAAACACAUCGUGAACUCCUGACAAUCCUUCUGGUAACUCCAGCUUGUAGGCAACUUCUCCCAUCCGUUCCAAAAUACGAUACGGUCCUUCAAAUCUUGGGGGUAACUUUCCCUUAACUCCAAAACGUUUUACUCCCCUCAAGGGUGAUACUCAUAGAUAAGCUCUGUCUCCAAUUUCAUAGGUUACUUCCUUGCGUUUUGAAUCUACGUAACUCUUCUGUCUGGACUGAGCAAUCUUUAGUCUGUCUCUGAUCAGUUUAACCUUCUCCUCUGAUUCUUUGAUCAAAUCUGGUCCAAAUAACUGACAGUCUCCUACCUCGUCCCACAUCAAGGGCAUUCUACAUCUGCGUCCAUACAGGGCUUCGAAUGGUGCCAUCUUCAAACUGGCCUGGUAGCUAUUGUUAUAAGAAAACUCUGCGUAUGGAAAAUUGUCAUCCCAACUAGAUCUAUAAUCUAGCGCACAGGCUCUCAACAUGUCCUCCAGAGUCUGAUUGACUCUCUCUGUCUGCCCAUUUGUCUGUGGGUGAAAAGCGGUACUGAACUCCAAUCGGGUACCCAAAGUCUGGUGUAGCUGAUGCCAAAACUUUGAAGUAAACUGGGUUCCUCUAUCUGAUACGAUGCUCCUCAGAACUCCAUGUAAACAUACGAUCCUGGUCAUAUAUAUUUUGGCCAACUUUGCACUUGUAUACGUUGUUUUCACCGGGAUGAACUGAGCUACCUUAGUCAAUCGAUCCACAACUACCCAUAUCGAAUCAUAUCCUGCCUUGGUUCUGGGUAAUCCGGUAAUAAAGUCCAUACCAAGUUUGUCCCACUUCCAUUCGGGUAUUGGCAUAGGCUGUAACAGUCCUGCUGGCUUCUGAUGUUCUGCCUUCACUCUCUGACAUACAUCGCAUACGGCUACAUACUCGGCAGUAUCCUUCUUCAUUCCAGUCCACCAGAAACGUUCCUUCAAGUCCAGAUACAUCUUGGUGUUUUGGGGGUGAAUCGAGUAUGGUGAGUCAUGGGCCUCCUGAAGUAUCAACUUCGUGAUCUCCGAAUUGUUGGGCACAUAAAUUCGGUCCUCAAACCACAAGGUAUCGUGCUCAUCCUUGCGAAAACCUUUGGCUUUACCUUCGCCCAUCCUCUCUCUUAUCUCAGCAAUCUCUUUGUCUUCCUUCUGAGCUUCUCGAAUCUUGUCCAACAGCGUCGACUGAACCUCCAUUGCUGCAAGAAAACCUCUUGGAACAAUCUCCAACCGAAGUUCCAUGAUCUCCGCAGCUAACUCUUUUGGCAUUCCCUUGCUCACAAGAACAUUAGCAUAACUCUUCCGGCUCAAACGUCUGCUACGACAUUGGCUUUUCCUGGAUGAUAUUGUAGCUUCAUAUCGUAAUCCUUUAUAAGUUCUAACCAUCUCCUCUGUCUGAGGUUCAACUCUUUCUGUGUGAAAAUGUACUUCAAGCUCAUAUGAUUCGUGUACACAUCACAAUGGUUUCCAAUAAGAUAAUGUCUCCAGGUCUUUAGCGCAUGCACUACGGCAGCUAACUCCAAAUCAUGCGUGGCAUAGUUCAACUCGUGUGGCUUCAGUUGUCGUGAGGCAUACGAAACAACUUUUCCUUCCUGCAUAAGCACACAUCCAAGUCCCAAGCGAGAGGCGUCACAAUAUACUUGAAACUCCUUAUGUAUAUCUGGCAAGGUCAGCACUGGGGCUGUAGUCAAUCGCUCCUUCAGCUCUUGAAAACUUGUCUCGCACUCCUCCGUCCAUUUGAACUUAGUAUCCUUCUUUAACAAUUCAGUCAUUGGUCUAGCAAUCUUGGAAAAAUUCUCAAUGAAUCUCCGAUAAUAUCCUGCCAGUCCAAGGAAACUGCGGAUCUCGCCAACUGAAGUGGGUGCCAACCAUUCAGUGACCGACUGAACCUUACUGGGAUCCACUGCUAUACCCUCUCCGGAUAUAACAUGCCCAAGAAAUCCAACUUCUUUCAACCAAAACUCGCACUUGCUGAAUUUGGCGUAUAACUGGUGUUCCCUGAGUUUCUCGAGAACCAAACGCAAGUGUUCCGCGUGCUCCUCUUCGUCCUUCGAGUAUAUCAUAAUAUCAUCAAUGAAUACCACAACAAACUUGUCCAAAUACUCCAUGAACACCUUGUUCAUCAUAAUCAUGAAAUAGGCAGGGGCGUUAGUCAGUCCAAAUGACAUGACCGUAUACUCAUAUAAUCCAUACCGUGUGGUAAACGCUGUCUUGGGUAUAUACUUCUCUCGGAUCUUCAACUGAUGGUAUCCCGAUCAUAGAUCAAUCUUUGAAAACACCUUAGCUCCUUGUAACUGAUCAAACAAAUCAUUAAUCAUCGAUAAGGGAUACUUGUUCUUUAUCGUUACUUUAUUCAGAGCUUGGUAAUCAACAACCAUCCUCAGGGAUUUAUCCUUCUUCUCCACCAAAAGUACUGGGGCUCCCCAAGGUGACGAGCUUCUACGAAUGUAACCUUUCUCCAAAAACUCAUUAAUCUGCUUCUUAAUUUCCUCCAGGUCAUUUGCUGGCAUCCGAUAGGGUCUCUUGGAUAUCGGCCCUGUUCUUGGCAAUAGCUCUAUCAAAAACUCGAUGUCUCUGUCCGGUGGCAUACCUGGUAACUCUUCGGGGAAAACAUCCGGAAAAUCCUUUACUACAGGUACUUCCUCCUGUACAACUCCCGUGAGGGCGUUUACUUGGCUCCUCCUAGGCACAUGCCUAGAUACAUACUUAAUCCUUUUUCCCUCCGGGGUGGUAAGAUAAAUGGACUUACUAGCACAAUCAAUACUUCCUCCAUACUUUGACAUCCAGUCCAUACCUAAUAUCACAUCCAAUCCUUGCGACUCCAAGAUAAUAAGGUCAGACGGAAAUACAUGUGUGCCAAUGAUUAGGGGUAUCUGGGUGCACCAUCUGCUAGCCAUAUACUCUGCUCCCGGCGAGCUCACUAAGAGGGGUGUCCUAAGGGUUUGGGUUGGUAACUUAAACUUUUCCACAAAUCCCCUUGAUAUGUAUGAAUGUGAUGCACUAGUAUCGAAAAGAACAAUAGCGGUAAAUGACUGAACCAAAAACUUACCUAUUACCGCGUCCGGCUGCUCUUCAACUUCCUCCACGUUAACGUGGUUCACUUGUCCUUUGUUGAAUGGAUUGGGCUUCUUCCCUGUGCUCCCAUUUCCAUUUCCAUUCUUUCCUUCAGAGCAGUCAUUGGCAUAGUGCCCUGUCUUCCCGCACUUGUAGCAAACAACUUGGCUUAAGUCCCUCUUUGCGGGUGUAGAUGGGUUAGAGCGGUUCUGAUUAUUGUUGGCUCCACUCCCAUUCCCGUUCUUCGCACCAUUAUGGGUAUGCGAUCCUCCUCCAGCAUGGUUAUGAACUCCAUGGUUAUGAACAAGUCCUCCCAAGUUCGGGGUUAAGCGGGGCUUCUGGUGAGCUCCUGAGUUGUUUUUCCCUUGUCCAUACUUCCUCUUACGAUUAUCAAUCUGCUGCUGCUUCCCUUCAAUCAUUAAGGCCUUAUCUACCAACUCCUAAUAGUUGUUGAAGGUUGCUACCAUCAACUUCAUACUCAUCUCAUCAUUCAGCCCUUCCAUAAACUUCUCCUGCUUCGCGGCAUCUGUGGCCACAUCAUUAGGGGCAUAACGUGAUAACUUGCUAAACUCAUCCACGUACUGGCCAAUAGUACAGUUCCCCUGGUGUAGAUUGCGAAACUCACGCUUCUUCAUCUGCAUAGCUCCAGUCGAGACAUGGGCGGUGCGAAAAGCCUGCUGAAACUGAGCCCAUGUGACAGUGUCGAUAGGAUAGGUGGCUGUGAAAUUCUCCCACCAUGCUGCUGCAGGUCCAUCCAGUUGGUGUGCGGCAAAACGCACCUUCUCAGUGUCUGUGCAUCCUGUGGUGGUUAACUCCCUUCCAAUACGACGUAGCCAAUCAUCUGCAACUAUUGGCUCAAUGCUACUGGAGAACACCAGCGGCUGUAACCUUAAGAAACGGGCAAGGUUAUCCACUGGCGGCGGGUUGUUGUUGGCAUUGUUGUUAUUGGCAUUGCCCUGGUUCUGAACUAGCAAUUGCAUCAAGGCAUUCUGCUGCUGGAUCAACUGGGUGAUCUCCGGUGGGAAAACAAAAUCGGGGUCUCUUCGCGGAGGCAUCUGAUGGGUUUAGAUGGAAGAGAUUAGAAUAGAAAAAGAUCUAGGGGAGAAACACUACCCAUAUGUAUAUGAGGCAAACACACGCAUUCAUUCAAUCAAUCAAGCAAGGGCAUACAAAACGGUCUAGGACUAUCGCAAAAGUGCUCACUACUACUAGUUACAUGGGGGAAAUACUAUUAUCAUAUGGUGGUCAUCUAGAAAUUUUGAUCGGUGGAACACUCCAUGAUGUCUGCUCCAGCUUCAUCUUCGUAGUCAUCAUCACUUGAAUCUGAAUCAGUGUCGUCGAUGAUGAUGUAGUUGUCUGGACGAAUGGGGUCUUCUCUCGGAAUUGGUCCUCCCAUAAAAUUCCGAUCUUCUCAACUAGGUCGUCAUUCUUCUCCAAUAGGGUCUUGAUUUCCUCCUCAUAUCCAUCGCGCGUGGACUUAAGUUCUUCCUCCAUCUCGAUGAUCCUAGUUUUCGCCUUCUUCAACUCGAUCAUGUCUAGACGUCGAAUGUGCUGGUUUUGCUCCUGGAUAAAGGCUGCGACAGAUCUAUCCUUCCUGGUGCUGAUCAUCUCCCAUUGUUCAUCUCGGUGCCCACAUAUUUGAUAGGUGGUAUCCUCAAGUUCCUUGUUGUAGAUUUCUCCAAUGCGUCCCAUGGUAAUAUGAGCUGCCAUACUCUUGCCGAGGCUCCAAGUGGGUGCUUCGAAAGAAAACUCUAUGGGUUUAGAAUUUGGCGAGAACGUUCUUCCCGAAACUCGUACUUGAAUCAUCCGGCGCUCUUCUUCCGGUAGAGUGGCGUUGUACGUCCCAGUGAAGCUUGGUAUUCCAAUAUUCAAGUACCUAGUGACUUCCUUCAAGUGGCGUCCAAAAGGUGUGUAUUCAUCCGGUUGCGCAAACUUGUUCUUCAUCUCCUUCAUCCUAAAGAGUGGAAAAAGAAGAGGAGUCAGAAAUGAGAAGAGAAGUGUGACCUACGGUUUAUCUUAGUGGUCGUCUCCUACACUCAGCGUGUGCUCUGAUACCAUCUUGUAGCGACCCGACCUCAGAUGGUCAAGUCUCUGUGCUUCCGUGUCAUCCCUGGAUCGGUAAUGCUGACACACACAGUACUCGAAGGCUUUAUAACAGAGUAGCAAUCACACACUUAUUACAUCGAAUGUCUCAAAAGAGAACUGAUUACAAAAAUAUGGCUUAAGGCCAUCUAAUGCGAUAACAGCGGAAGGCUUGGAAGAUAAAGUGAGUCCAUCAACUCCAACGGCAUAGCUGAGAUGCACAACAACGACCUACGAACCUUACUCCUCGUCUGAAAAGUCUGCAACAUAAUACGUUGCAGUCCGAGAAUGGGUCAGCACAUGGAAUAUGCUGGCAAUGUAACACAAAAGAGCAAUAACAGAAUAAUGCUACCACUACAUGCAUAUUUGGCUGGUGGAAAGCUCUAUGGUUACAAUUUUUGCGAAAAGCCAAUUUUUCCCUACUACAAAGGAAUCAGUUUUAAUUUAACUAUCAUGGUAGUUGAAACAUCAUUUGAGAAGGUAACCCCAACUCAAUGAUCCCAAUUAAAAAUACUUAACAACCCAGCAAGAUUAAUUAAGAGUGUUGAGAUACAUGCGAAUACUCAAGUACUAGAUACUCAGAAUUGUCCAUAACCGGGGACACGGCUAACCAUGAUUAGAUUUUACACUCUGCAGAGGUUUGCACACUUUUCCCCGCAAGACUCGAUCGCCUCCAUUGAUUUCUCGCACUACAUGGUGUUUGAGAGACGGAUGACCGAGACACAGUCUUUAAGAAGCAUUAACCCUCUACUCCGGGCAGACCAUACCAAACAUACAAACCCACUACCUGCUGAUCCACCUCUUCAAGAGCUUCACGCAACUUACUCAACUAUGCUAGAGCCCAUAAUAGCUUGCGGCUGCACACGGAAGUUUCUAGCAUGAAUAGACUCAGUUCCCUUUGAGCCUGGGUGGCGGUCCAUAGGAGAAUCACACGGUAACCCCGGGAUUUCCAAAAAUAAAACAGGCAAUAGCUGGAUACCCCAGGUGCCUCAAUCCACCCAGAUGUGUAUUAAAGUUGCCACCUCAAGUAAACCAUUAAUUAACAAUCUCACAUCUGUCAUGGAUAUCACUCAAACCCAAUCCACGUCUACGAGCAUAGCAUGGCAAUAUAAGCAUAACGUAGAAGUAACUCCCAAGGGUUUGAUAAUAAAACAGGUAAUAGGUUCUACCUCAGCAACUACUUCCCAAUACCCACAUGUUAAAGGCAUCCUAAUCAUGCAAUGUUUGAGGACUGAAACUAGUGCAUAAAAACUGGGUAUGAGAAGAGUAUGAUCAAUGUGUUACUUGCCUUGCUGACGAUCCGUGAAUCCUAGAGACUCGUAGUAACACGCUUCGCACUCCGGGAAUUCUAUCGCAAGCAAACAAUAACAUACAUAAGCAACAAUCAAAGAUGCACAAGUAGAACUCCAAAUAAAAUAGUUUGACCGGGAGUUCAACUUAAGAACUCCGGUUUGCAAAAAGAAUCAAAUCAAACGGAGCAACGAAACUCAAACGGCAAAAGAAACAACUUCAUUUUACUAAUCUGGAUCUAAGUCAAAUUUUACAGAAGAAAAAUCUUGUUUGAGUUGAUUAUUCGGAAAGAGGGUUUCGAGAUGAAACUCCAGGCGCUUGAAUCGCCUGAUUCCGAUAAACGAGCGAAAAGAUAAACAGGUUUAAACAUCGGAUCAGAAAUCGCGAUCGGAAUAACCGCGGAAUAAAUCCGAUAAAAAGAAAAACGACGAACGGCUAAACGAACGAGCGUUCGUUAGCAGAAACUAAACGGUGAACACGUUCGUUAGAACAAACGGACGAACGAACUUUUGCUAAGUAAAUAAACCGAAGAAAUAAACCGAUCUAUAUAAAAAAACGAACUAGGGUUUUCAAAAAAAAUCGAAGUGUUUUCUUAAAAAAAACGGCGGCGGGGUCGGGUACCUCCGGCGGGGUUCCGGGGCUUGGGGAGGGCGCGGGGUGGCGGUGGGAGGCGGCGGCGGCGCUAGGGCGACGGCGGCGACUCGGCNNNNNNNNNNNNNNNNNNNNNNNNNNNNNNNNNNNNNNNNNNNNNNNNNNNNNNNNNNNNNNNNNNNNNNNNNNNNNNNNNNNNNNNNNNNNNNNNNNNNNNNNNNNNNNNNNNNNNNNNNNNNNNNNNNNNNNNNNNNNNNNNNNNNNNNNNNNNNNNNNNNNNNNNNNNNNNNNNNNNNNNNNNNNNNNNNNNNNNNNNNNNNNNNNNNNNNNNNNNNNNNNNNNNNNNNNNNNNNNNNNNNNNNNNNNNNNNNNNNNNNNNNNNNNNNNNNNNNNNNNNNNNNNNNNNNNNNNNNNNNNNNNNNNNNNNNNNNNNNNNNNNNNNNNNNNNNNNNNNNNNNNNNNNNNNNNNNNNNNNNNNNNNNNNNNNNNNNNNNNNNNNNNNNNNNNNNNNNNNNNNNNNNNNNNNNNNNNNNNNNNNNNNNNNNNNNNNNNNNNNNNNNNNNNNNNNNNNNNNNNNNNNNNNNNNGAGGCGGCGGGGCGGCGGUAUUUAAGGAGGGGGGAGCUGCUCCGGCUUGGGGAAGGGGGCGCCUGGGGCGGAGUCCGGCUCGGACUCCCCUCGGCGUCUGUGCGGCGCACGGCGGUGCACGCGGGGAAGGCGGCGGCGGCUGGCGGCUGGGCCGGCCUGCUCGGCUGGGCCUUUGGCUCAGUCGGGCGCGAGGUUUUUUUUUUAAACAUUCUGCCGAAAGAAAAAUUCCUAGAAAAAUAAAUAAAAUCAAAAAAUUCCAAAACAAGUUUUCUCCGUCUAAAUAAAAUAUUUAGAACAAGAUGAACUUUUCUUGGCCCCUAAAAUGCAAUUUUUAAAACAUGCAAAAAAUUUCUAGGGCAAAUAAAAAUCCCGAAUAAACUUCGAUAAAAUUCAAAAAUGAUGUUAACAUUUUUCCUCCGAUAUUUCCAUUGUUUUGGAGAAGUCAUAUUAUCUCCCCUCAUUUAUUAUUUUAGAAAGAAAUAUUUCCGGAGAGAAAAUAAUUAAAAUCAAAUCCUCGUCUUCACUAUUUGAUAAAAAUUUCAAAUACGAAAAUUAGAAAAUCCCCAACUCUCUCCGAAGGUCCUUGAGUUGCUUAGGAUCUCGAGGAUUGCAAACGAAAAGCAAUUGAAUAUGAUAUGCAUGGAUGACCUAUGUAUAACAUGCCAAAUUGGAAAUUUGGGAUGUUACAUUUAGUUUAUUGGUCACUGCAAAACUGAUUUUAUUUGAUCAUGUCAAAUUUAGUUUAUUUGGUCCAUGGUCAAUUUAGUUUACUAGUCAUGGCAAUUUUUUUUCAAAUCAUGGCAAAUUUUAAUUUAUGUGAUUUUUGCCAUGGCAAGUUUUGAAACGAAUAUGCCAUGGCACUUUUUCUUGUUCAUACUUGAUUUUCAACUUUUUUUCACACACGACAAAUUCAUCGUUCAAACACACAGCAAUUCUUGAUACGAAUUUGCCAUGGCAAGUUUUGGUACGAAUCUAGCGUGGCAAAUUUAGUUUACAAAUUUCUUCUUCAUUUUUUUUGAUUUUCAACUUUUUGUGUUUUUUACACACACGACAAAUUCAUCAUACCAAACACAUGGCAAUUCUUGAUACAAAUCUGCCAUGCCAAGUUCUGAUGCAAAUUUGGUUUAUUGAUCAUGGCAAAUUUUAGUUUCUUGGUUCAUGGCAAAUUUAGUUUACAAAUCAUGGCAUAUUCAUUUUAUUGAUCAUGGCAAAUUUAGUUUUCAAAUCAUGGCAAUCUAGUUUACAUAUGAAUCUGCCAUGGCAAUUUUUCUUGUUCCUGACAAAUUUAGUUAGUUUUGUCGUGGCAAGUUUUGAUGCGAAUCUGCCAUGAUAUUUUUUCUUGUUUAUACUUGAUUUUCAACUUUUUUGUGUUUUUUUCACACACGGCAAAUUCAUCAUUCAAACACAUGACAAUUCUUGAUACGAAUUUUGCCAUGGCAAGUUUUUGUACAAAUCUGCCAUGGCAAUUUUCUUGUUCAUUUUUUUAUUUUCAACUUUUGUUUGUUUUUUACACACACAGAAAAUUCAUCAUACAGGAACACAAUUUUCUUGAUACAAAUCUGCCAUGCCAAGUUUUGAUACAAAUUUGGUUUAUUGAUCAUGACAAAUUUUACUUCAUUGCUUCAUGGCAAAUUUAGUUUAUUGAUCAUGGCAGGUUUAGUUUUCAAAUCAUGGAAAUUUAGUUUACAUGAUUUUUUCUGUCAUGGCAAGUUUCAAUAUGAAUCUGCCAUGCCAAUUUAGCUUACGUGAAUUUCUCGUGGCGAGUUUUGAUAUGAAUCUUUCUUGUUCAUACUUCAUUUUCAACUUUUUAUUUUUUUUUCACACAUGGCAAAUUCAUCGUACAAAUACACGGCAAUUCUUGAUACAAAUUUGCCAUGUCAAGUUUCUUGUUUCAUACUUGAAUCUCCAAUUUUUAUGUUUUUCACACAUGAUAAAUUCAUCAUACAAAACAUGGCAAUUCUUUGAUACCAAUCUGCCAUGGAAAAUCUCUUUUGUUCAUACUUGAUUUUUCAACAUUUUGUGUUUUUUCUCACGCACGGCAAAAAAUCUCCUUGAAAACACUACAAUUUAAAUUGCCAUUGUAUUUUUAUCUUUUUGUUGUCCUGACAAUUUUUUUUUCACAUGAAUUUUUCAACUAUUUGUUUUUUUCACAUGGCAAUAUUGAUUUUUUUGUCAUGGCAGAUUUGCCACAUUUCAUUUGAGGGGAUUAAAUAUGUGUUUAUAUACCUUUUUCCAUUGUUAAAAACAAUAUAAUGGCAAAUAGUUUUGUCAAACUUGAAUGGCAAUUUUUCUGCUUUUUUCAGUAGCUGAGAAAAAUCUGGGCUUUUUGUCACAAAAAAAAACAAAAUCUGGGCCUUUUCAUUUAAUUUGUUGUCAGUGGGCUUUUUGUUCUUUUUUCACAUGGAAAAGGGCCUGGUGUGAUCGAGGCAUGUGGGGCUGUGGGUUUAGCUUGACGAACGAAUUCGUGCAGGGAAUCGACCCCUCGUACUGAACGAGUCGUGUGGUAGGGCGCUCCUCAUGCCACACGUGUGGGCUGUUGUAAUAUUCGCCCACACAUGGCCGUGUGGGCUACCUGCUGGAUAUGCCACACAGGGCCGUGUGGGCGGGUGUCCAUUGUGCCACACGUGUGGCAGUUAUCGGCGUCCUUUAUUUAUUAGGACGCAGAUAAUGGCUGGGCAUCGAUCGAACAAAGUAGUAGUAUUUUUUAUUUUAUUUUUGAGGGGUGAAAGCCACUUAACUUAAAUAACAACAAGGUCUGGGAUACAAAUAAUGUCAGGUAAGAUAGAAAGCCAAAUAUGGCGGCCAAAAGCUAAAGUAGUCGCUGCUUUUGAAAGCUUGUGACCUUCAAGAUUCAUCUCCCGCUUCUCAUGGAUGUAAUCAACUGACGUGAAAAAGUCUUGCAUCCUUUGCUUAAUAUCUUGGAUCGUUACUGCUGAGGGUCCCUUGUAUUCACCCUUUAGAUGUGUGAUCGUUGCCAUACAGUCUGUAUCAACAACAAUUCGCUAGACAGCCCAAAUCAGCAGCCAAAGAUAAGGCCUCCAAGCUCGCCAUUGCUUCUAGGAUUUCUGGAUCGACCAAGUCCUCAAAAGUUAUAGCAGAAGCGCCCACCCUCGUCUCGACAGAUUACUGCCAAAGCCCCCCUAUCGCUGUUUCUUGUAAGUGCAUCUAGUGCCCCUUAGUGAUUUUGGUGUAUUGAAGACUUAUAGGUUAAGGGACUAAUGCAUUUAUGAGUGUACACAUGUCUAUAAGUCUAUGAGGAGUUUGAUAUUUACAGAGAAAGUCGACCCCUAAAAAUGAAGUUCUUCGACUGAAGACUUUGCAUUUCUGAAGACUUUCUGAAGACUUUGAAAGUGAAGAAAUUGGUGUGACCUUGAAGACUUGGUAUUCAUUCGAGGAACAUGAAGCGUGAAGACUUUUGUUUUCGUGGUUUCAUUUUCUCUUUCUUGAGUCAUAGGAAACAUCAUACUGUUAAAGGGGGUCGAGGAAAUACUAAGGAAAAAUUUCCAAGUGAUGCUCAACUCAAAAUCCUACACCUACCAAUCCCUUCGAGUGAAGUCAUUGGAAAUCUCAUACAGUUCAGUCAUAUUCUUUAGUGACAGAGACGAAGUUCUUCUGGUCUCUGAGGAAUUUGUUCUGACUGAGGAGUUAGGAAUUUGCUAGUGCGGAUUGCCUACACAGUGAGGAACAUGAUAGCCUUGAGGAAUUUGAACCUUAAAUUUCCGACCGUUGCUGUGCUAUGCGCCAGCUGUCCCAAAAUAUCUACCCACCUAAGGGUCAUAUCACUGAAGGGCAUUUAUGUCUUAUCAUGUCGGGCUGCUCCCUAGGCUAUAAAUAGCCGCCCCCUACAACCACUAGCUGGUUGGCUGCUCUGAGAGAAACUGACGCAUAGCACCCAGCCACCCACCCCCUCCCCCCCAAAAAAGGACGACGACAAUAUAAGUUCGCGCUUCCACGUUUCGGAUUGAAAUAUCUGGCGGCCCCAAUUCCAGCCCUGCAAAAUCUGUCUUAUCCACCGUCCCCUUCCGCACCCAGAUUGCUCAAAUCCCUAAUUCGCCGCCAACCCUCGAAUCGCCCCUCGUCUCGUCUCUUUCCCCACCGUUCCCCACCUCUGUGCCGGACGACGACGACGAAGACGACGGUCGCGCUUCACCACCGCACCGGAGCUACCUCAUCUACGCCCUCGUCCACCACACCGGGUGGUCCACCGACAACGUCGGCCGCCUCACGUCGACGUGCCUCACAGACACCGAGUUCCACCGCAUCAGGUGCGCUUCACCGACGCCAUCUCCCAGCUCACCGGGGUUACUUCACAGAGCACAUCGUCGCACCUCCGCCCCCCGAGGCCGUUGGGGCUUCACCAACGGUCUCAUCCACCGCAUCGUAGCGCUCCGCUGCCACUCAAGAUCUGCAUCCGUGCGCGGCCAGCCAACGCCAGCGAAUCACCCUCAACGGCUCUGAAGUGACCCGCACUCUAGCUAGGCGAGCAUGCCCAAACGCCGACCCGAACUAGGUAUCCACACAUCACUCCCUUGUGCACUGUUCCGAUGAUGUUUGGAUAUCCUUUCACCGCUCUCUUAGCUUACACGCCUAUGCAACUCUGACUUUAACUCUUAUUUCUUCUGGAGAUAUCAUCUGAAACAAGCAAAUCCAUUUUUUAGCAAAGCAUGAUGGUGCUACGGGAUCUGGUACACAUCCUGCACACCCGUAUAACCUUGUAAGUAUCUGUCCUCCGGUACAAAAUCAAGGUCGAUUCCUCUUAUUUGAUCAACCAUUCGCCGUGUGAAAAAUGCAGAGGGGGAUGCAAGGAGCACAAGGCCUGCACAUCCAAGCAAGUGGUAACAUGGACUUGUACAUGGACCAUCCCAAGCGCAAGCAGAGCUGCAGUGAGCCUAUACAACGAGCUAGCGUAAGUCCCUGCAUUUCAUUUAAUUCGUACUAGCAUUCGUGUUUGAUUUGUGUGCAGUGGCUGAUUCACGAAUUCAAGUUACCAGGGGCGAACAUUUAACUUAAAAAAUACGAAGGCACUUGCACUCCGGAAAUCAACAUAACUUGAGAAAUGUGAAGCUACAUGCACUUUGAAAACCAGCUAAUGAUCCAAAGUAGUUUAGAUUAUAAACACUAAAUGAUGCAAGCACCAAAAAACACAAAAUGCAACAUGGUGUACAAGGACUACAAACAUGGUCAGUACCUGCUUGAAUUAUUCGUUCUCUGGCUGAAAAUAUCGAAGUGUAAUUGCACGUAUAACCAGUGCGCAAACUACAUAUCAAUAUAUCUAUCCUGCACAAGUAUGCCAAUAGUUUCAAACAACAGAUUAGAAAAGUAUUUAUGCUAUGUUGUCAUGAUACAGGGACUUUCUGGUAGACGGCCUCGAUGUUUCCUCAAGCUAUGAAAAUGCACUAUAAUUUGCUUGUCAUCAAUGCCUGCAAAUCUCUGUCUCUCUCAACAUAGUAGAUCAUCGUUAGACAGUAAAUCCUUCAAUGAGCUUGCAAAAUGCUUGCAUUAGAUCCCUCAUUAGACACUAUAUGUUCAUCACUAGGAGUAUGUAAAAUGUUUGCAUCAAAUCCUUCAUUAGCAGUCUGUUCGUUAGACACUUCAGGCUCAAGAACAACAUGAGCUUGUAUGUUUGCAUCGGAAACUUGAUUAGAUACAUCAGAUUCAGUCAGUUCAGUAUUGAUUGGGGAGUUGUAAAAUAAGUAGAAAUUGGUUUCAUUUUCUCAUAGAUUCCCUACAUACAAGCAGUUUUACAACACCGUCAGGUUUAACUAUUGGCCAGAAAUUGAAGAGUUGAAUUAGAUAUAAUCAGGGAUAUGAUGUACCUGCUCGUUACACAUGCUACUCUUGCAAGCUGCGACUGUCUGUUUGCGCAAGCUCGAUGCCAUGCUUGUGCUGCCGCCGCUGCCUCCCACGCAGGCUACACCCAGGGUUGGAUCUUCAUCUUCUUGUCCUUCCGUUCGCUUGAAGCCCGGCGACCGCCCUCCAACGAGGGUGCGAGAAAGUGUUGUGUCGGUCUGUCCAGCGGCAGCUAGGUUAGGAGCGAACUAGACUGGAGGCUGGAGCGAAUGAAUUGGGAUUUUUCCUGCUGUCGAUCAAUAUGGGAGGCGCUCGUUUGGGCCGCGAGCCUGCUAUAGGGCCUGGCUUGCACUUUUGUUAUUGGCCCAUCCAAAUUGAAACAUUUUUCUUCAUUUUUUACAUUGCCUGCUCGUGCGUUCGGACGAACAAAACUAGCAUGGGCCAACCUGGACGACUCAAACUUGGUGCACACUUUCCAGCCACCUGAGGCGGCCGUCCAUACCAGCCCCUAUGGUGGCGUCGCCCCUUUUUGCGUGUAUGAUUGGAUAGUGAAAAAUAUUCUAGUGACGCUUUUGAUUUACCCACGGAAUGGUUGAAUUGCUUGUUUCUAUGAACUGAGUUUGCCAAUAAUGUGAAGGAUGUCAGUCUUUUCAUCCUAUUGUAGAUUGCUUAGAUCUCAAUAUGCCAAAAGUAAUCGCAUGAAAUAUACAGUAAAAGCCAGUGUGAUGUGUUUGGCUACAACUAGUCUGACUACACGUCCUCAUAUAACAUAUCAAGGACGCACCAUCUUACCAGAUUAACCAUUCGACUUACCCAUGCAGUGUGGGAAGAAAGAAGUACUGGGACUGUGUAUCCAAGCAAUUGAUGCCAUGGACUCCUUCAUACAACCUUGUAAGCGAAAAAGAAGUUGCAGUGUGCCUGUACAAAGAACUAGCGUAAGUUCAGUUACCUGCUUCUCGGAAUUUUAGUUAGCCACUUAUUGCAAAAUUGUUCAAUUAUGUUGCUUGGCUUAAUUUAGUUUACUACUGAUUACAUAAUGGCACAGCCUGUUAAUCAUAUUGUAGACUGCGCCUAUCUAUGUGUUUGAUACUUACUGUUAAGAAUUACUUGUUUGCCUUAACUUAAAUAUCUACUUGUUUGUUUAACUGCUUUGCUGCUGCAACAGCGGGUUACAAUGAUGUUAAUAACUACUUUUCAGCAUCCAAUUGAAACUCUUUAAGUCCUUUUUUGUUUAACUGGUUUGCUGUUAUAACUCCCAGUUGAGAUGUUUUGCUAACUUCAACUUUUCUGAAUCCAAUCGGAACUUUAAUGGCAAAACAGGUUAGCCCAAGAUCAAAGAGCGAGGUCCCCAUGGACGUUGCAUCAUCCCACAGCAGUGGCACCAACCCAAUCGUGCAUUAUGAAUUGCCAACUGCUGAUGCUCUAGAGGCUAAACUAGUGGUAGAAAGAGAUUCUGCUUCUGCACUUAGAGAUGAAGUUGACAUGUUGAUGAAGCAAACAGCACAAUCACAAGCAGUGAUCAAGACAACCAUUAAAUAUUUGGUGAAUUUCAAAACGAAGCAAGCUGAGACUGACCAGAUUGUUAAGGUCCUGAAGGAAAAAAAGAAAAUUAAAUUCCUACUUGGUAAAUCAUAGGUGAAAUGUUAUUUCCAUAGUUGAAUAACCUUUGUGUUGUAUGUUCAUGUAAUCAAUCAAACCAUUUGUUUUAGAGAUCAUGUAAUAAUUGUUUUUUUGGUUUGUAAUUUUAUUUGAGCACAAGUCUGUAUUAAUUGAUAAGACUCGGAGACAUUUCAUUUGGAUUGCUGUGCCAGACCUACAAAUAUGCCAAUCGGGCUGAAUGUGCAUUUAGCAAUAGUAGUAGUAUAGAUGGACCAUAAGUGGCACGCAUCGGAAAGGGCUAAGAUGCUGGCUAAAAAAAGGAUGUUGUUGUAGCAAAAAAAAGUACAGCGGCCUGGCUUAUAUAUGUUAGUUGAUAUUAUUGAUCCAUAUACUCUAUAAGUGUUUAUAUGUUUGUUAGUUCUGUACAUUCUUGGUUGAUUGACUCGGUAUUUGAAUCUUGAUACAUCGCUUGUGUACAUAUCUAAAUGGGAGUACACAUUAUGCUGCGUAUGACAUUUGAGUUGGACAUGAAGUGUUCCAAAUAUUCGAAUUCACCUUAAACUGGAUUCUAGUUUCUGAAUUUGAGUAUCGGCAUUUGUAAACCAUAUUCAUAUAUGACAGUGGAAUACAUCUUUGUUGUCCUUUUGAAGAUAUAUAAAAACACAUAGAAUGAUUUAUAAAGAUUCAUAUAGGAAUACAAAAUGGAUUCAAAUUUAGUUGCCAGGGUAAAUGUGGAUGCUUAUUGUCCCAAAAUUCGAAAGAAGCAGCAAAAUGUACACUCCCACGUUGGCUGCCCAAAGCCAAGUGUUUGGGAGAUGGAAAUUACUGUCUACCCAUUACACGGACAAUCCAUCGGCCCGAUUUCCACUGCUCUAAAUAGGGGUAGGUUAGUAACUUCAAUUAGACGUGACACGACCGCCUCUGAGCCCAUUCCGACAUGGUGGGUGUCAAACAUGGGCGGCAAAACUCAUUUGAUUCAAGCUCGUCUGAAAGACCUCUGUUUCUCCCUCCAUUCCCCAUUCAUACACGGUGGGCGGCAAAACAAACUCGACUCGGCCGAAAUCGAUGUAGGCAAAUAUUUUCAAUAGGGCCAGGUUUGUAACUUCACUCAGACGUGACACAAUCGCCCUACAUGUCAGCCCCGUUCAUACACCGUGGGCGCCAACCACCCUAUCCUCGCCCGAAAUCGCUCUGGGCAAAUAUUGGCGAGAUGCGAAAUUACCGUCCUAUCCCCAACCAACGAGACGUCCAAAUUUUAAACGGGGGCUAAGUUCGUAACUUUCCCAUAUUUCAGACAGGCGCGUCCCAAAAACAUGGUUCCCUGUACCUCUCCAUCCAUUUUCCCAUUCAUACACCGUCCGCGCUAGAACACCCCAUCCCCACACCAGCCUCCGUCUGCCACCCCAUCCAUCGCCGUCGUCCUCCACCACAUCCAUCGCCACCGUCCUCCACCUUGCCGGAGCGCCUACCAGGACAUUUUCGUCCACUGCUAGAGAUGGACAUUUCUCAUCCACGGCGACGGACCAAUAGCCUUGCACCGCGUCCUCUCGCUUCGUCGGCGCCGUCGUCCUCUUUGCCGGGGCCUCUCACACGACCUUCUCUUCCAUCGCAACGGGAGUUAUCCCCCGAUGCACCCGUCUACCGUUGCAGAUCUGCUUCAACGCCACCGACAGCCAUCGCACCCCCGAUGCCUACACGGCGCCACAAGAGAGGUGGUACUUCAUAUCUCCUCAACUUUUUGAUCUCAACCAAAAAAUAGAUCUUAACUUGGUUACUCUACUUUCUUUUCAGCUCUUGGAAUUUAGUUCUUAGUUCGAAGCAAACAAUGGAUGCUAAAUAUCAUUUCUCCGGUUUGCAGCUUCAAAUCUGCCAUGGCACAGCCAUAAUACAGUUUAAUUGAUCAUGCUUAGGGUUUAAUUGAUCAUGUUGGUUCCGUGGUGGUUUGUUUAACAGAAAUCGGAGGGGAAACCCUCUUUUGCUAAAAAAUAUGCUUAGAGUUUCCCCCUUUUAUGAUCACUAUACGAUCAGAAUACAUACUUCGUGUCAUAAUAACACUGCUCCACCCAUCAAGCUAAACAAGCUUAGUUGUUCAAAUACGAAUCUGAUAUUAUUAAAAUAGAGUUGUUUAAUUGGUUAGCUAAAUGUUCCUAAAUUAGUCUCGAAAAUGCAUGUUCGCCGCUCGGGUGUGUAUCUCUACAGGGUGCCCACGGUGGGCCGGCCCACCCUGGGAUUUUGGGUCGUCCUAGGCCCCGAUUCCCCUCUGUUCUGCUGCGCGCUUCCAAUCUCUACUCGCCCCCAGCCGCCUGCCUCGCAGGCGACUUGCCGUCCCUGGACGGCAUGACUCUAGGAGGAGACGCCGGACUAACAGGAGGCCAGGAGCCGCUUGCCCAACUGCCCGGGCUCGCCGCCGUGCCUACCUUCCCAGUCCGUUCAGGGCUCAGGCGUGCAGCACCCACCAAGCCAACCCGAUUUAUCCUGAGAUACGUCCUCAACACUCAGCAGCCACUCCUCAUCACCCAUUUUCUAAUUGAUUCAUUACUCAUUAGGCAGGACUGUCAUUAGGGUUUGUUGUGUGCUCAGUGCUACCUACACUUAAUGGUUCAGAUAUAUUUCGGUAAUCUUUAGUACCUCUAAAGUUCACAGGGUUUUCAAAAUUCCGGCCCUCGGAACAGAAACUAGUCAUUUUGGAUUGUUGGUCGUAGUGACAUUGACCCAGAUUACUACUGCAAGCCAGGUUUGUUGAAAAUUUUACUUGUCUUUCUUACUCAGUCGAUAUAAUAUCCAAUUAUUCACGUUGAUUAAUUGCAAACAAUAAGUGCUAGACAAACUUCUUCAUUCAGAUUUUGGACGGUCUCUUACUGCAGUUACAAUUCUGCAUACUUGUCCUAGUAAGCUCACAAGUAAAUGAUUGAUUCACUACAUCUAUGCUUGCCUUGUCAUAUUUGUUGUCAAUAUUCUUUUAGGGUGGACCACCCUAUUUCUAAAUACUGGAACCGUAGACAUGAGUGAAUAGAAUUUCUCUAUGUGAUCUCUUCCAUCAUGUGUGGGUAACGAACACUGCAUUCUAUAGAAAGAAAGUGUCAUUUCCAGCUUUUACAUAGGUUUCGAUCUUUUACAUGGAAUACAAUCUGCCUACUUGCUUUGUGUCUCACUACCAACACUCCACCCUUGAAGCUAAACAUUACGCCACUCAUAAUCGGUUAGUUUAUUUGUUCAAAUACGAAUUUCAUAUGAUUCUAAUGUUCCUACUUCAGUUUUGAAAUGUGUGUCUGCCUGUUAUAGAGACAUAAGGGGUUUGUAUUUCUGUGUGUGGUCUGGUCAGCACGGUUGGGGAGGUGAACUUUGCAUAUGUAGGGGUUUAUAGGGAGACACUCUCCGAGUUGAAUCCGCAAUGCAUUCCAUAGAUAAUCUGACUACUUUUUAUCUUUUCAUGAAUCUCAGAUUCUGAACAGCAUCAUAAUGAUUAUGAGCUUGCGCGCAUGAAAAGAAUAAAGCAGAACAAUGCCAUGGUUGUCAAACUUGGCAUUAAGGGACUGAAAUCAAGUCUGGAUGCAAUGCAAUGCAAAUGCUCUCACCUACAGAUUCAUGCUCAGAAUAUGAUCCUAACAGUGAUUCUGAGCUAGAGGGAGACCUAAGUCAAUGUAGCUCCCUAGUGGAGGAGUCAGAGGAAGAUGCCCUAUCUUAUUCACCCAUCAAGGUACUUUCUCUAACUUUCCAAGGUUACAUUGCUCGCACAUAUCUUGCAACUGAUGCUUUGCAUUGCUUCUACUUUGUUGAACUGCCAUUAGCCUAGUUUACACAUCGUGUAUGUGAAUACGCCCUGCCUAUCCAUUUUCAGUACAUAUUCCAUCUGUCAUCAUACCAUAUUUAUCCAUUCAAAUGUUGUUCUUGUGUAUCAAACGUUCAAAAGGAAGAGGGCGAUUGCUGAUCGUGAAGGAGCACAAGCAAAGUAUUUGGAAAAGGUAGUGGCACCUGAUAAAUCAAAUAGCCCAUUAGGUGUAGUUGCAAUAUCACCUGACCCACAAAAUACCCCAACUCUAGCAGACUCUAGCCCUACUACACUGGUCAUUUUUGAUGCCCCAACUUAGCAGACCCCAACUGCAGCAAACAGUAUGAUUAUGCGAGUUGACAUAGCACCAGCUGUACGACGCAAAACCCCCAUUCCAGCAAAGAGUACACCAAAUCCAAUUGCCAAAUCCCUUUUCGAACCAGAGAGAACCCCAAUUGUAGCAAAUAGGACCCCUGUUCCAUUUCUUCCUAGUUUAGAAGAUGAAGCUUAUGUUAUUGUCAGGAACUUUGUGCGCAUCUUUCCUUCAUGGAAAGAUUACACCGCAGACACAGAAAAAUUUCCAGUCUUCCUCCGCAUCUUAUGCGUAAGUAAUGUACUAAUGUUAUUUAUGGUCAUUACUACAUAUGUUUCUGCUGACAGAAGACACAAGAUUUCAUUCUUUUAAAUAGGCGAGGAGCAAACUGGAUUGUGAUGACGAGCAAGGGUUGAUUGCACUUUUCAAGCACUCGUUGUGAAGUAUCAUUCCUACCUGAGGCAAGUGCACUUCGAUGGCAAGCCUCUGAACGAAAUUUCUGUAAAGUCUCCGGUGCUACAUUUAUCCGACGAUGACUGGAAUAAUCUUGUUACACAUUGGUCUCGGCUGCAGCGUAAGGUACUGUCUAUGAUAUCACAUCAUAAUUUGAACUACAUUUCUGCAUUUGCCUUAAUGUCUCACUUGUACGAAAACUGUUAGCAGAAGAACAUUCGUUCUCAAGGGACCACAGAAUCUCGCAACUAUACUGCACAUUGCAUUGCUCUUGUGAGUACAUCUUGCCCUGUAUGACCAUACUUACUUUCAUAGUUGUUUGAUUAUGUAGCAUCACUGCACAUGUUUGCCUCGUAAUCGUCCAUUUGGUGGACAUUAUAAGAUCCGUAUGGACUCUUACAUAAAUUUAUAAUCAACCCAAUGCUUUUGAAGAGGUUUAGCUCUGCAGUCCUCUUGUAAGGACUGAACGUGGUCUAUCACUGUACUUACAUUAACAGCUACUCCCUCCAUCCCAUAAUAUAAGAACAUUUUGUACAGUACACCAGUGUUCAAAACACUCUUGUAUUAUGGGAAGAGGGAUUGGUUCAUUUUGUAGCAUUCUGCAUCUUAUCUCCCUCGCCCACCAUUUACUAAAAAAGACCAGAUCUAUAUUUAAUCUUACCAACAAGUAGAAUGCACAGACAAUGCCAGUGCAGAAGUGUAGACCAUUGCUCUUGUCAGUACAUUUUGUCCUGUAACGCUUGUACUUCCAGAUAAGAUGUAGCAUCAAUCUGCAUCUUAUCUUCAUUAUCCUCUAUCCCUUCCAGUAUUAUCAUAUCUAUAAUUACUCUCUACAAAAUGUAGAGUACAGGUAAUGCUUAUGAAGAAGAUUCUAUGCUGAAAUUCUUGAGUUAUCCUUCCCUUGACAUGGAGAAGGGCAUUAUAAAGCCGGUGUUAACUGUUAAUGUAAGUCAGUCCUUCUAAAGCCUUUAUCCUCAACUGCUGUUUAAUUUGCUCAUACUCCCUAUCAUUUACUGCUGUUACCAGGCCGAAACAUAUCUCGGGCCUUAGUUGGCCCACUGAUAUCAUGGGCCUUUAAGAGGCCGAAAGCUUAGCACAGGCAUCAACGAGCCGAAUUACGCAACAGGCCUUUAACAGGCCCAAAGUCACGUUGGGCUUAACUAUUACCACCUUUUGCACGGGCCGUUAGUGGGCCCGAUGUCCCGUCGGACCAUAUAUGGCCCAUGGGCAGCACAGGCCAUUCCCAGGCCGAAAGCCACACCGGGCUGAAAUGGGCCCAUGUCUACAUCAGGCCUCUAACAGGCCGAAAGUCACUGGGCUGUAGUUGGGCCCAAAUAUUCGGUGAACAAUUAACGGGCCAGAUCUGGCUUUGGGCCGCAAAUGGGCCCAAAUAUUGGGCGAACAAUUAACGGGCCAAAUCUGGCUUCGGGCCGUAAAUGAGCCCAAAUAUUGGGCGAACAAUUAACAGGCCAGAUCUGGCUUCGGGCCGUAAAUGGGCCUUUAUUAAGCAGGCCGUUAUUGGGCUGGCCCACUAGUACCUGAUUAAGUUCUACGGGCCUUUGACUGGGUCGGCCUUUUUAACCUAUAUGGGCCUCUGUUGGGCCCAACCACGUGUCGACGUAUCAUAGGCAUGUCUCCUCCAAUGGACGGGCGACAUCUGGCCCACUGACGAGCUGACAGGUGUUCCCUUCGGCCAAUCAGAAUUUUACACGUGGAAAUUUCCCAUUGGUCAGGGCUGUUAAUGGGUUAUCGGAUCCAAAAUCCGACCCGAUAGCUUAACGGUGUUCCGUUACGGUGGGUGCCACGUGUCAGUCACCCUUGACGAAAGCACUUCUGUGACACGCGAUUUAUCGUCAUGGAAGUGGACACUUCCGUGAUGAUAAUUUUGGUAAUGUCAUGGAACACUUCUACGACAGCACAUGUAUGACUAUCUUGAUUCUGCCAUAAAUUUGUCAUGGAUGUACAUGCAUGAAAAAAAUGCUACCUACUGUGACAAACACGUAUCAUCACGGAAGUGUAUUUUUUUGUAGUGUUGGCGCGCAUUGUAUUUUGAUUGUUUAUCUUUGCGUGAAGGUCGGGGGCGCGCGAUGGUUAACUCCUACCAACUUCCCCCUAGGAGCAUGCGUAGUAGUACUUUGCUUCGAGGGCUAAUAAACUUUUGCAACAAGUAUAUGAGUUCUUUAUGACUAAUGUGAGUCCAUGGAUUAUACGCACUCUCACCCUUCCAUCAUUGCUAGCCUCUUCGGUACCGUGCAUUGCCCUUUCUCACCUCGAGAGUUGGUGCAAACUUCGCCGGUGCAUCCAAACCUCGUGAUAUGAUACACUCUAUCACACAUAAGCCUCCUUGUAUCUUCCUCAAAACAGCCACCAUACCUACCUAUCAUGGCAUUUCCAUAGUCAUUCCGAGAUAUAUUGCCAUGCAACUUCCAUCAUCAUCAUCAUAUACAUGACUUGAGCAUUCAUUGUCAUAUUGCUUUGCAUGAUCAUAAGACAGCUAGCAUGAUGUUUUCAUGGCUUGUCCGUUUUUUGAUUUCAUUGCUACGCUAGAUCAUUGCACAUCCCGGUACACCGGCUGAGGCAUUCAUAUAGAGUCACAUCUUUGUUCUAGUAUCGAGUUGUAAGUAAAUAAAAGUGUGAUGGUCAUCAUUAUUAGAACAUUGUCCCAUGUGAGGUUAUCAAAAUAAAAGUGGCCAAAGAAGCCUGCAAAAAAAGAAAAAAAAGAAAAAAAGAAAAAAAAUGAGAGAAAAGAGAGAAGGGACAAUGUUACUAUCCUUUUACCACACUUGUGCUUCAGAGUAGCACCAUGUUCUUCAUAUAGAGAGUCUCUUGAGUUAUCAUUUUCAUAUACUAGUGGGAAUUUUCAUUAUAGAACUUGGCUUGUAUAUUCCAACGAUGGGCUUCCUCAAAUUCCCUAGGUCUUCAUGAGCAAGCAAGUUGGAUGCACACCCACUUAGUUUCAGUUUGAGCUUCCAUACACUUAUAGCUCUAGUGCAUCUGUUGCAUGGCAAUCCCUACUCCUCGCAUUGACAUCAAUUGAUGGGCAUCUCCAUAGCCCGUUGAUUAGCCGCAUCGAUGUGAGACUUUCUCCCUUUUUCUCUUCUCCACACAACCUCCACCAUCAUACUCUAUUCCACCUAUAGUGCUAUAUCCAUGGCUUGCGCUCAUGUAUUGCGUGAGGGUUGAAAAAGCUGAAGCACGUUAAAAAGUAUGAACCAAUUGCUUGGCUAAAACCAGGAUAGGCAUGAGGGGUACCAUGUGUUAAGAAAAGGGAGCAUACAAGACUAUAUGAUUUUGUAGGGAUAGCAUUCUUUAGCAUUGAUAUUUUGAAAGACAUGAUUGUUUGUUGAGAUGCCUGACUAUUAUUGUUUUUAUGUCAAAUGAUAGACUAUUGCUUUGAAUCACUCAUGUCUUAAUAUUCAUGCCAUGAUUAGAUAUAUGAUCAAGAUUAUGCUAGGUAGCAUUCCACAUCAAAAUUUUUCUUUUUUAUCAUUUACCUACUCGAGGACGAGCAGGAAUUAAGCUUGGGGAUGCUGAUACGUCUCCGCCGUAUCUAUAAUUUUUGACUGUUCCAUGCCAAUAUUAGACAAUUUUCAUAUACUUUUGGCAACUUUUUAUACUAUUUUUGGGACUAACAUAUUGAUCCAGUGCCCAGUGCCAGUUCCUGUUUGUUGCAUGUUUUUUGUUUUGCAGAAAAUCCAUAUCAAACGGAGUCCAAACGGGAUAAAAACUGACGGAGAUUUUUUUGUAAUAUUUACGAUUUUUGGGAAGAAGAAUCAACGCGAGACGAUGCCCGAGGGGGCCACGAGGCAGGGGGCGCCCCAGGGGGCCAGGCGCACCUUGGGCCCUCCUGGCCACCCCGUAAGGUGUUUGGUGCCCUUCUUUCGCCGUAAGAAAGCUAAUUUCUGGAUAGAGAUCGUGUCCAAAAUUCAGCCCAAUCGGAGUUACGGAUCUCCGGGAAUUUAAGAAACAGUGAAGGGCCAUAAUCAGGAGCGCAGAAACAGAGAGAGACAGAGAGACAUAUCCAAUCUCGGAGGGGCUCUCGCCCCUCCCAUGCCAUGGAGACCAAGGACCAGAGGGAGAACCCUUCUCCCACCUAGGGAGAAGUCCAAGGAAGAAGGAUAAGGAGGGGGGCUCUCUCCCCCUCGCUUCCGGUGGCACCGGAACGCCGCUGGGGCCAUCAUCGUCAUCGCAAUCUUCACCAACAACUUCACCGCCGUCAUCACCAACUCUUCCCCCCUCUAUGCAGCAGUGUAUCCCUGUUUUUACUCGCUGUAAUCUCUACUUAAACAUGGUGCUCAAUGCUAUAUAUUAUUUUCCCAAUGAUGUGUGGCUAUCCUAUGAUGUUUGAGUAGAUCCGUUUUGUCCUAUGGGUUAAUUAAUGAUCGUGAUUGGUUUGAGUUGCAUGUUUUAUUAUUGGUGCUGUCCUAUGGUGCUCUCUGUGUCGCGCAAGCAUGAGGGAUCCCCUCUGUAGGGUUUGCAAUAUGUUCAUGAUUUGCUUAUGGUGGAUGGCGUGAGUGAUAGAAGCACAUACCCGAGUAAGUAGGUUGUUUGUGUAUGGGAGUAAAGAGGACUUGAUGCCUUAUAAUGCUAUGGUUGGGUUUUACCUUAAUGAUCUUUAGUAGUUGCGUACGCUUGCUAGAGUUCCAAUUAUAAGUGCAUAUGAUCCAAGUAGAGAAAGUAUGUUAGCUUAUGCCUCUCCCUCAAAUAAAAUUGCAAUAAUGAUUAUCGGUCUAGUUAUAGAUUGCCUAGGGACAAAUAACUUUCUCGUGACAAAAAGCUCUCUACUAAAACUAAUUUAGUUGUGUCUUUAUCUAAACAGCCCCUACUUUUUAUUUAUGCGCUCUUCAUUAUCUUGCAAACUUAUCCAAAAACACCUACAAAGUACUUCUAGUUUCAUACUUGUUCUAGUUAAAGGGAACGUUAAGCGUGCGUAGAGUUGUAUCGGUGGUCGAUAGAACUUGAGGGAAUAUUUGUUCUACCUUUAGCUCCUCGUUGGGUUCGACACUCUUACUUAUUGAAAGAGGCUACAAUUGAUCCCCUAUACUUGUGGGUUAUCAAGCACCGCACGAUUGAACCCAAAGCUAAGCACUUCUCCCAUUGCAAGAAAGAUUAAUCUAGUAGGCCAAACCAAACUGAUAAUUCGAAGAGACUUGCAAAGAUAACCAAUCAUACAUAAAAGAAUUCAGAGGAGAUUCAAAUAUUAUUCAUAGAUAAUCUUGAUCAUAAACCCACAAUUCAACGGAUCUCGACAAACACACCGCAAAAUAAGAUUACAUCGAAUAGAUCUCCAAGAGAAACGAGGAGAACUUUGUAUUGAGAUCCAAAGAGAGAGAAGAAGCCAUCUAGCUAAUAACUAUGGACCCGAAGGUCUGAGAUAAACUACUCACACAUCAUCGGAGAGGCUAUGGUGUUGGUGUCGAAGCCCUCCAUGAUCAAUGCCCCCUCCGGCAGAGUGCCGGAAAAGGCCCCAAGAUGGGAUCUCACGGGUACAGAAGGUUGGGGUGGUGGAAAUAGGGUUUUGGCUCCUGUUCUGUUGGUUUCGGGGUAUAUGAGUAUAUAUAGGAGGAAGAAGUAGGUCGGUGGAGCCACGAGGGGCCCACCAGGGUGGAGGGCGUGCCUGGGGGAGGUGGGCGUGCCCCCCUGCCUCGUGGCCUCCUCGGUUCUUUCUUGACGUCCACUCCAAGUCUCUUGGAUCACGUUUGUUCCGAAAAUCACGUUCCCGAAGGUUUUAUUCCGUUUGGACUCCAUUUGAUAUUCCCUUUCUGCGAAACACUAAAAUAGGCAAAAGAAUAGCAAUUUGGGUUGGGCCUCUGGUUAAUAGGUUAGUCCCAAAAAUAAUAUAAAAGUGUAUAAUAAAUCUUGUUAAACAUGCAAAACAGAAUAGAUAAUAGCAUGGAACAAUAAAAAAUUAUAGAUACGUUGGAGACGUAUCAAGCAUCCCCAAGCUUAAUUCCUGCUCGUCCUCGAGUAGGUAAAUGAUAAAAACAGAAUUUUUGAUGUGGAAUGCUACUUAGCAUAAUUCUCAAUGUAAUUCUCUUUAUUGUGGCCUGAAUAUUCCGAUCCAAAUGAUUCAAAAUAAAAGUUCAUAUUGACAUAAAAAUAUUAAUACUUCAAGCAUACAAUGAGUAAUCAUGUCUUAUCAAAAUAACAUAGCCAAAGAAACCUUAUCCCUACCAAAUCAUAUAGUUAGGCUAUGCUUCAUUUUCAUCACACAAGAUACUCCCAUCAUACACAACCCCGGUUUCAGACAAGCAAUUGGUUCAUACUUUUUAACGCGCUUCAGCUUUUUCAACUCUUACGCAAUACAUGAGCGCAAGCCAUGGAUAUAGCACUAUAUGCGGAAUAGCGUGGUGGUUGUGAAGAGGACAAAAAGGGAGAAGAUAAUCUCACAUCAACUAGGCGUAUCAAUGGGCUUGGAGAUGCCCGUUAAUAGAUAUCAAUGUGAGUGAGUAGGGAUUGCCAUGCAACGGAUGCACUAGAGCUAUAAAUGUAUGAAAGCUCAACAAAAGAAACUAAGUGGGUGUGCAUCCAACUUGCUUGCUCACGAAGACCUAGGGCAUUUUGAGGAAGCCAAGUUCCAUAAUGAAAAAUUCUCACUAGUAUAUGAACGUGAUAACAUAGGAGACUCUCUAUCAUAAAGAUCAUGGUGCUACUUUGAAGCACAAGUGUGGAAAAAGGAUAGUAACAUUUCCCCUUCUCUCUUUUUCUCUUAUUCAUUUUUUGGGCCUUUUUUUUUCUUUGGCCUCUUUUUUCUCUUUUUUUAUUUAGUCCGGAAUCUCAUCCCGACUUGUGGGGGAAUCAUAGUCUCCAUCAUCCUUUCCUCACAUGGGACAAUGCUCUAAUAAUGAUGAUCAUCACACUUUUAUUACUUACAACUCAAGAAUUACAACUCAAUACUUAGAACAAAAUAUGACUAUGUGAAUGCCUCCGGCGGUGUACCGGGAUAUGCAAUGAACCAAGAGUGACAUGUAUGAAAAAAUUAUGAAUGGUGGCUUUUCCACAAAUACAAUGUCAACUACAUGAUCAUGCAAAGCAAUAUGACAAUGAUGGAGCAUGUCAUAAUAAAUGAGACGGUGGAAAGUUGCAUGGAAAUAUAUCUCAGGAUGGCUAUGGAAAUGCCAUAGUAGGUAGGUAUGGUGGCUGUUUUGAGGAAGGUAAAUGGUGGGUGUACGAUACCGGCGAAAGCUGCACGGCACAAUAGGAGCUAGCAUUGGUGGAAGGGUGAGAGUGCGUAUAAUCCAUGGACUCACAUUAGUCAUAAAGAACUCAUAUACUUAUUGCAAAAGUUUACUAGCCCUUGAAGCAAAGUACUACUACGCAUGCUCCUAGGGGAAGGGUUGGUAGGAGUUAACCAUCGCGCGAUCCCGACCUCCACACAUAAGGAAGGCAAUCAAAAGAGCACCCCAUGCAACAAAUUUGUUACAUAACUUUUACCAUACGUGCAUGCUACGGCACUUGCCAACUACAACACAAGUAUUUCUCAAUUUCAUAAUUACCCAACUAGCAUGACUCUAACAUUACCACCUUUAUCUCUCAAAACAAUUAUCAACCAUCAAAUUGAUCAUAGUGUUUAAUGCACCAUUUUUCUUUAUACCCAACUUGGAUGCCUAUCAUAUUAGGACUAAUUUCGCAUUUAAAGCAAAUUACCAUGCUAUUCAAGACUCUCAAAAUAAUAUAAGUGAAGCAUGAGAUAUCAAAGAUUUCUAUAAAAUAAACCACCACCGUGCUCUAAAAGAUAUAAGUGAAGCACUAGAGCAAAAACUAUAUAGCUCAAAAGAUAUAAGUGAAGCACAUAGAGUAUUCUAAUAAAUUCCGAAUCAUGUGUGUCUCUCUCAAAAAGUGUGUACAUAAAUGAUGAUUGUGGUAAACUAAAAAAACAAAGACUCAAAUCAUACAAGAUGCUCCAAGCAAAACACAUAUUAUGUGGUGAAUAAAAAUAUAGCCCCAAGUAAAGUUACCGAUAGGCGAAGACGAAAGAGGGGAUGCCUUCCGGGGCAUCCCCAAGCUUAGAAUUUUGGUUGUCCUUGAAUUUUACCUUGGGGUUCCUUGGGCAUCCCCAAGCUUAGGCUCUUGCCACUACUUGUUCCAUAAUCCAUCAAAUCUUUACCCAAAACUAGAAAACUUCACAACACAAAACUCAACAGAAAAUCUCAUAAGCUCCAUUAGCAUAAUAAAACAAAACACACGUUAAGGUACUGUAAUGAACUCAUUCUUUAUUUAUAUUUGUGUUCAGCCUGCUGUAUUCCAACUUAUCUAUGGUUUAUAAGCUCUUUUACUAGCCAUAGAUUCAUCAAAAUAAGCAAACAACACACGGAAAACAGAAUCUGUCAAAAACAGAACAGUCUUUAGCAAUCUGAAUUAAACGCAAACUUCUAGAGCCUAAAAAAUUCUACCAAAUUAGUAAGUCCCAGAUAAUUUUUUAAUUGAUCUACUGAAAAAAAUUCAACUGAUAAGCACGUUUCUGUGAUUUAUGUAAAUUAAUCUCGUGCGCACAAAGUUUCUGUUUUUUACAGCAAGAUCAAACAACUAUCACCGUAGGUUAUCCUAACGGUCCUACUUGGCACAAACACUUAUUAAAACAUAAAAAACACAAUCAUAGCAGUAGCAUGAUGUACUGAUUAUUACUAAACAGAACCAAAAAGCAAAAAACUAAAAUAAAAUUGGGUUGCCUCCCAACAAGCGCUAUCGUUUAACGCCCCUAGCUAGGCAUAAAAGCAAGGAUAGAUCUAGGUAUUGCCAUCUUUGGUAUUUAUCUUUUUAAUGGAGUUAUGCUCGAAUCCGGGAGGUUCUUUACGUUUCCCUUCAUACUCAGAGAUUCUUAGAUCUAGAGCAUCCAGCCGUUUGUUGCAAAGUGUAUUCAUGCGAUUAAGGUUCCCUCCAACAUUUUUAAGAGGUUCAAGAGACUUUUGCAAUUCACAUAGUUUUUCUAAGAUUUGGGUUCCCUCUUGAGUAAGAGUUGGUCCCUUUUGUGGGGGAAGUAUUCCUACUAUCCAUUCUAUCAAAUCAUAAGCAAAACUAGGAUCAGUUUCAAUAAAAUUCCCUUUGGUGGCAAAAUCAAGGAGUUGUCUAUGGGAUACGGUUAGCCCAACAUAAAAAUUGCGAAGUAAAACCUUGAAAUCUCCCUCUAUGGUGCAACCAUGAUAGGAUUCUAUCAUUCUAUACCAAGCAACUUUUAGAUUUUCUCCCUAUUUUUGUUUGAAGUGAAGAACCUCAAACUAGGGGGACAAAGGAGCAGAUAAAGGACUAGCCAUAACGACGAAGCAAGCGAAAAAGAGGCGAACAGAAGAGAGGGCGAAUAAAACGGCAAGGGUGAAGUGGGGGAGAGGAAAACGAGAGGCAGAUGGCAAAUAAUGUAAUGCGAGGGAUAAGAGUUUAUGAUGGGUACUUGGUAUGUCUUGACCUGUGCAUAGACUCCCCGGCAACGGCGCCAGAAAUCCUUCUUGCUACCUCUUGAGCACUGCGUUGGUUUUCUCUUGAAGAGGAAAGGGUGAUGCAGUAAAGUAGCGUAAGUAUUUCCCUCAAUUUUGAGAACCAAGGUAUCAAUCCAGUAGGAGACCACGCUCAAGUCCCAUGCACCUACACAAACAAAUAAGAACCUUGCAACCAACGCGAUAAAGGGGUUGUCAAUCCCUUCACGUCCACUUGCAAAAGUGAGAUCUGAUAGAGAUGAUAAGAUAAUAUUUUUGGUAAUUUUAUAAUAUAGAUUGAAAGUAAAGAUUGCAAAGUAAAUAGAUCGGAAACUUAUAUGAUGGAAAAUAGACCCGGGGGCCAUAGGUUUCACUAGUGGCUUCUCUCAAGAUAGCAUAAGUAUUACGGUGGGUAAACAAAUUAAUGUCGAGCAAUUGAUAGAAUUGAGCAUAGUUAUGAGAAUAUCUAGGUAUGAUCAUGUAUAUAGGCAUCACGUCUGAGACAAGUAGACCGAAAUGAUUUUGCAUCUACUACUAUUACUCCACAUGUCGACCGAAACGAUUAUGCAUCUAGAGUAUUAAAUUCGUAAGAACAGAGUAACGCUUUAAGCAAGAUGACAUGAUGUAGAGGAAUAAAAUCAUGCAAUAUGAUUUAAACCCCAUGUUUUUAUCCUCGAUGGAAACAAUACAAUGUGUGACGUUUCCCUUUCUGUCACUUGGAUCGAGCACCGCAAGAUUGAACCCAAAGCUAAGCACUUCUCCCAUUGCAAGAAAGAUCAAUCUAGUAGGCCAAACGAAACUGAUAAUUCGAAGAGACUUGCAAAGAUAACCAAUCAUACAUAAAAGAAUUCAGAGGAGAUUCAAAUAUUGUUCAUAGAUAAUCUUGAUCAUAAACCCACAAUUCAUCGAAUCUCGACAAACACACCGCAAAAGAAGAUUACAUUGAAUAGAUAUCCAGGAGAAAUGAGGAUAACUUUGUAUUGAGAUCCAAAGAGAGAGAAGAAGCCAUCUAGCUAAUAACUAUGGACCCGAAGGUCUGAGAUAAACUACUCACACAUCAUCGGAGAGGCUAUGGUGUUGAUGUAGAAGCCCUCCGUGAUCAAUGCCCCCUCUGGUGGAGCGCCGGAAAAGGCCCCAAGAUGGGACACGGGCACAGAAGGUUGCGGCGGUGGAAAUAGGGUUUUGGCUCCUGUUCUGUUGGUUCCGGGGUAUAUGAGUAUAUAUAGGAGGAAGAAGUAGGUCGGUGGAGCCACGAGGGGCCCACGAGGUUGGAGGGCACGCCUAAGGGAGGUGGGCACGCCCCCUGCCUCGUGGCCUCCUCGGUUCUUUAUUGACGUCCACUCCAAGUCUCCUGGAUCACGUUUGUUCCAAAAAUCAGGUUCCCGAAGGUUUUAUUCCGUUUGGACUCCGUUUGAUAUUCCUUUUCUGCGAAACACUGAAAUAGGCAAAAAAAAAUAACCAUUCGGGUUGGGCCUCUGGUUAAUAGGUUAGUCCCAAAAGUAAUAUAAAAGUGUAUAAUAAAGCCCGUUAAACAUCCAAAACAGAAUAGAUAAUAGCAUGGAAUAAUCAAAAAUUAUAGAUACGUUGGAGACAUAUCACACUCUGGUGCGGAACGUGUCCUUGUGGACCUACGAAGUUCAGUAGCAACUUGAUCCGAAGUUUCAUGAUCAUCAUCAUUAAGUUCCUCUCUGGUCGUCACAGGCACCACAGAAACAUCUUCCUGUGUUGCGCAACUUUCCGGUUCAAGAGGGGGUAACUCAUCAAGUUCUACUUUCCUCCCACUUACUUCUUUCGAGAGAAACUCUUUCUCGAGAAAGGAUCCAUUCUUGGAAACAAAGAUCUUUCCUUUGGAUAUGAGGUAGAAGGUAUACCCAAUAGUUUCCUUAGGGUAUCCUAUGAAGACGCAUUUUUCUGAUUUGGGUUCGAGCUUUUCAUGUUGAAGUUUCUUGACAUAAGCAUCGCAUCGCCAAACUUUUAGAAACGACAGCUUAGGUUUCUUCCCAAACCAUAAUUCAUACGGUGUUGUCUCAACAGAUUUAGAAGGUGCCCUAUUUAAAGUGAAUACGGCAGUCUCUAAAGCAUAGCCCCAAAAAGAUAGCGGUAAAUUGGUAAGAGACAUCAUAGAUCGCACCAUAUCUAACAAAGUGCGAUUACGAUGUUCGGACACACCAUUACGCUAAGGUGUUCCAGGCGGUGUGAGUUGUGAAACAAUUCCACAUUUCCUUAAGUGUGUGCCAAACUUGUGACUCAAAUAUUCUCCCUCACGAUCUGAUCGCAAGAAUUUUAUUUUCCUGUCACGUUGAUUCUCUAUCUCAUUCUGAAAUUCCUUGAACUUUUCAAUGGUCUCAGACUUGUGUUUCAUUAAGUAGAAAUACCCAUAUCUACUUAAGUCAUUAGUGAAGGUGAGAACAUAACGAUAGCCAUCGCGAGCCUCAACGCUCAUUGGACUGCAUACAUCAGUAUGUAUUAUUUCCAACAAGUUGGUUGCUUGCUCCAUUGUUCUGGAGAACGGAGUCUUGGUCAUUUUGCCCAUAAGGCAUGGUUCGCACGUGUCAAAUGAUUCAUAAUCAAGAGACUCCAAAAGUCCAUCUGCAUGGAGUUUCUUCAUGCGCUUGACACCAAUGUGACUAAGGAGGCAGUGCCACAAGUAUGUGGGACUAUCAUUAUCAACCUUACAUUUCUUGGCAUUCACACUAUGAAUAUGUGUAACAUCACGUUCGAGAUUCAAUAAAAACAAACCAUUGACCAGCGGGGCAUGACCAUAAAACAUAUCUCUCAUAUAAAUAGAACAACCAUUAUUCUUGGAUUUAAAUGAGUAGCCAUCUCGCACUAAACGAGAUCCUGAUACAAUGUUCAUGCUCAAAGCUGGUACUAAAUAACAAUUAUUUAGGUUUAAAACUAAACCCGGAGGUAUAUUUAGAGGUAGCGUGCCGACGGCGAUCACAUCAACCUUGGAACCAUUCCCUACGCGCAUCGUCACCUCGUCCUUCGCCAGUCUCCGCUUAUUCCGCAGCUCCUAUUUUGAGUUACAAAUAUGAGCAACCGCACCGGUAUCAAAUACCCAGGAGCUACUACGAGUGCUGGUAAGGUACACAUCAAUAACAUGUAUAUCAUAUAUACCUUUGGUGUUGCCGGCCUUCUUAUCCGCUAAGUACUUGGGGCAGUUCCGCCUCCAGUGACCAUUUCCCUUGCAAUAAAAGCACUCAGUCUCAGGCUUGGGUCCAUUCUUUGGCUUCUUCAUGGCAACCGACUUACCAGGCGCGGCAACUCCCUUGCCGUCCUUCUUGAAGUUCUUCUUACCCUUGCCUUUCUUGAAACUAGUGGUCUUAUUCACCAUCAACACUUGAUGUUCCUUUUUUAACUCCACCUCUGCUGAUUUCAGCAUUGAAUAUAACUCAGGAAUGGACUUCUCCAUCCCUUGCAUAUUGUAGUUCAUCACAAAGCUCUUGUAGCUAGGUGGAAGCGACUGGAGGAUCCUGUCAAUGACCGAGUCAUCUGGAAGAUUAACUCCCAGCUGAGACAAGUGGUUGUGCAACCCGGACAUUUUGAGUAUAUGCUCGCUGAUAGAAUUAUUUUCCUCCAUCUUACAACUGUAGAACUUGUCGGAGACUUCAUAUCUCUCGACUCGGGCAUGAGCUUGGAAAAUCAUUUUCAGCUCUUGGAACAUCUCAUAUCCUCUGUGCUGCUCAAAAUGCUUUUGGAUCCCCGAUUCUAAGCUGUAAAGCAUGCCGCACUGAACCAGGGAGUAAUCAUCACUAUGCAACUGCCAGGCAUUCAUAACGUCUUGAGUUGCUGGGAAAAUGGGUGCUUCACCUACCGGUGCUUCAAGAACAUAUGCUUUCUUGGCAGCUAUGAGGAUGAUCCUCAAGUUACGAACCCAGUCCGUAUAGUUGCUACCAUCGUCUUUCAACUUGAUUUUCUCUAGGAAUGCGUUGAAGUUGAGGGCAACAUUGGCGUGGGCCAUUGGAUCUAUAGGAUAGAUUGUAAAGACAAUUUUAGACUAAGUUCAUGAUAAUUAAGUUCAUCUAAUCAAAUUAUUUAAUGAACUCCCACUUAGAUAGACAUCCCUCUACUCAUCUAAGUGAUACAUGAUCCGAAUCGACUAGGUCGUGUCCGAUCAUCACGUGAGACGGACUAGUCAUCAAUGGUGAACAUCUCCAUGUUGAUCGCAUCUACUAUACGACUCAUGUUCGACCUUUCGGUCUCCUGUGUUCCGAGGCCAUGUUUGUACAUGCUAGGCUCGUCAAGUCAACCUAAGUGUUUCACAUGUGUAAAUGUGGCUUACACCCGUUGUAUGCGAACGUUAGAAUCUAUCACACCCGGUCAUCACGUGGUGCUUCGAAACAACGAUCCUUCACAACGGUGCACAGUUAGGGGGAACACUUUUCUUAAAAUUUUGUGAGGGAUCAUCUUAUUUAUGCUACCGUCGUUCUAAGAAAAUAAGAUGCAAACAUGAUAAACAUCACAUGCAAUUCAUAAAGUGACAUGAUAUGGCCAAUAUCAUCUUGCGCCUUUGAUCUCCAUCUUCGAGGCGCGGCAUGAUCACCAUCGUCACCGGCAUGACACCAUGAUCUCCAUCAUCGUGUCUUCAUGAAGUUGUCUCACCAACUAUUACUUCUACUACUAUGGAUAACGGUUAGCAAUAAAGUAAAGUAAUUACAUGGCAUUUACAUUGACUCGCAGGUCAUAAAAAAAUUAAGACAACUCCUAUGGCUCCUGCCGGUUGUCAUACUCAUCGACAUGCAAGUCGUGAUUCCUCUUACAAGAACAUGAUCAAUCUCAUACAUCACAUAUAAAAUUAAUCACAUCCUUAUGGCCAUAUCACAUCACAUAGCAUACCCUGCAAAAACAAGUUAGACGUCCUCUAAUUGUUGUUUGCAUGUUUUACGUGGCUGCUAUGGGUUUCUAGCAAGAACGUUUCUUACCUAUCAAAAGCCACAAUGGUGAUAUGUCGAUUGCUAUUUACCCUUCAUAAGGACCCUCUUCAUCGAAUCCGAUCUGACUAAAGUGGGAGAGACAGACACCCGCUAGCCACCUUAUGCAACAAGUGCAUAUCAGUCGGUGGAACCUGUCUCACGUAAGCGUACGUGUAAGGUCGGUCCGGUCCGCUUCAUCCCACAAUGCCGCCGAAUCAAGAUAAGACUAGUAACGGUAAAGCAAGUUGAACAAAUCAUCGCCCACAACUACUUGUGUUCUACUCGUGCAUAGAAUCUACGCAUAGACCUAGCUCAUGAUGCCACUGUUGGGGAACAUAGUAAUAAAUCAAAAAAAAAUCCUACUGUCACAAAGAUCAAUCUAGGAGAUGCUAGCAAUGGGAGAGGGGGUGCAUCUUCAUACUCUUGAAGAUCGCUAAGCGGAAGCGUUACAAGGAACAUGGAUGAUGCAGUCGUACUCGCGGCGAUUCAAAUCGCGGAAGAUCCGAUCUAACGCCGAACGGACGGUGUCUCCGCGUUCAACACACGUACAGCCCGGGGACAUCUCCUACUUCUUGAUCCAGCAAGGGGAGAGGAGAAGUUGAGGGAGAGCUCUGGCAGCACGACGGCGUGGUGGUGGAGCUUGCAGUUCUCCGGUAGGGCUUCGCCAAGCACUACGGAGGAGCGGGAGGUGUUGGAGAGGUGGAGGGCUGCAACAGGGAAGGGGUGAAGGGGAAAGGGGGACGGCCCCCUUAGAUCUCCUCUAGGGGGUUGGCGGCCAAGGGGGGACUUGCCCCCCAAGUUUGGUGGGAGGCACCCCCACCCCCUAGGGUUUCCAACCCUAGGCGCCUUGGUCCCUUGGGGGGAGCACCAGCCCACUAGGGGGCUGGUUCCCACCCUUGUUCAACCCACUUGGCCCACCGGGGCAGGUGGCCCCACCCGGUGGACCCCCUGACACCUUUUGGUGGUCCUGGUACAAUACCGAUAACCCCCGAAAUUAUUACGGCGACUGAAACUGGACUUCCCAUAUAAUUCUUCACCUCCGGACCAUUUCGGAACUCCUCUUGACGUCUGGGAUCUCAUCCGGGACUCCAAACAACCUUCGGUAACCACAUACAAUUUCCCAUAACAACUCUAGAGUCACCGAACCUUAAGUGUGUAGACCCUACGGGUUCGGGAACCAUGCAGACAUGACCGAGACAUCUCUCCGGCCAAUAACCAAUAGCUGUAUCUGGUUACCCAUAUUGGUUCCCACAUGUUCCACGAUGAUCUCCUUGAAUGAACCACGAUAUCGGGGAUUCAAUCAAUCCCGUAUGCAAUUCCCUUUGUCCAUCGGUAUGUUACUUGCCCGAGAUUCGAUCGUCGGUAUCCAUGUACCUUGUUCAAUCUCGUUACCGGCAAGUCUCUUUACUCGUUCUGUAAUGCAUGAUCCCGUGACUAACUCCUUAGUCACAUUGAUCUCAUUAUGAUGAUGCAUUACCGAGUGGGUCCAGAGAUACCUCUCCGUCAUACGAAGUGACAAUUCCCAGUCUCGAUUCGUGCCAACCCAACAGGCACUUUCGGAGAUACCUGUAGUGCACCUUUAUAGUCACCCAGUUACGUUGUGACGUUUGACACACCCAAAGCAUUCCUACGAUAUCCGGGAGUUGCACAAUCUCAUGGUCUAAGGAAAUGAUACUUGUCAUUAGAAAAGCUCUAGUGAACGAACUACACGAUCUUGUGCUAUGCUUAGGAUUGGGUCUUGUCCAUCACAUCAGUCUCCUAAUGAUGUGAUCCCGUUAUCAACGACAUCCAAUGACCAUGGUCAGGAAACCAUAACCAUCCAUUGAUCAACGAACUAGUCAACUAGAGGCUCACUAGGGACAUGUUGUGAUCUAUGUAUUCACACAUGUAUUACGGUUUCCGGUUAAUACAAUUAUAGCAUGAACAAUAGACAAUUAUCAUGAACAAGGAAAUAUAAUAAUAACCAUUUUAUUAUUGCCUCUAGGGCAUAUUUCCAACAAAGUCACCUUAUGAAAGUCACCUUUCCAUCUGGAUGCUCGCCCAGCCUCAUUCUCUAGCGAGCGCUUCCACCUUUUCCUCGUUGUCUCCCCGUGGAAACCUCUUUCCUCCCGUUUUUUGCUCGGGCAAGGACCAAUGCAUGCAGCACGUCCAUGCGGUUAUUAGGCAAGAAAUAAAAGAGGCUUUGCAUGCUAUGAAUUACGUGGGCCUGUAUGGGUAGCUAAUAAGGCAUCCUCUUAACUGCUGUGAUUAAGUGUUGCAUUUAGAAGAGAGAAAGAUUCUCCUUCUCCUUCAAUCUGCUUGCACCUAGGUCGUGCUAUGACUUAUGCACCUGGACGGAGGGAUUAAUAAUAAUUAUAGGACAAUGAUACUAUUUGGAUAGUAAUAAUUACAAGACAACUACAAUUGGAUAGUACCACAAUAAUUAUAUAUAAUGUUGUGCGUGCUAAACAUGUUUUGGCCCUAAACAUUCAUCAAAGUCACUAUAGCAAAAUUUCGUGCGUACAGUUUUGCUUCCAUGGGAAGCAAACUUUAUUUCCAAUGCUAUUCAAAUUUUCUUCCAUCGCAGCUGAGAUUCGCUUCAAUUUAGAAGGAAAUUAUUCCCAAAUAGUUUCAUUUCAACGCGUCAAACCACGCUUCCAUAUCGACUGUAGAUUUUGAUUCCAUGGUGAAUGGAAUUUGCUUGAAUGUAUACACAGAAAUUUAUGUACGAAUAUGUUGGAAAAAUGAGCAAUUUACCAUACAGUUUUAUUAACAGAAAUAGUAGAUAAAACAUGACUAUUAUAGUAGAGGUGAAAUAGGUCAUGUAAUCUAAAGGAGAGAAGGCAAAUAACAUCUGCACAUGUGAACUAGAAUAGAACAUAUGUAUAACAGAUACUAGAAGGAGAAACUGUUGCAAGAUCUUAAACAUAAAGAACAUGAGAACGUACGGAACAACGCAGAAACAUUGGUUUUGGGAUCGACAUCCUCGCUGAUGUCUACUACACAACUUUAUUCUUGUAGACACGUAUUGGGCCUUCAAGCGCAGAGUUUUGUAGGACAGUAGCAAUUUUCCCUCAAGUGGAUGACCUAAGAUUUAUCAAUUCGUGGGAGACGUAGGAUGAAGAUAGUCUCUCUCAUACAACCCUGCAACCAAAUAACAAAGAGUCUCUUGUGUCCCCAACACACCAAAUACAAUGGUAAUUUGUAUAGGUGCACUAGUUCAGCGAAGAGAUGGUAAUACAAGUGUAAUAUGGAUAGUAGAUAUUGAUUUUUGUAAUAGGAACAAUAAAAAAACAGCAAGGUGGAAAGUAACAAAAGUGAGCACAAACGGUAUUGCAAUGCUUGAAAAUGAGGCCUAGGGUUCAUACUUUCGCUAGUGCAAUCUCUCAACAAUGCUAAUAUAAUUGGAUCACAUAACCAUCCCUCAACGUGCGAUGAAGAAUCACCCCAAAGUUCUUAUCUAGCGGAGAACAUAAGAAUAAACUGUUUGUAGGGUACGAAACCACCUCAAAACUAUUCUUUCCAUUCGAUCUAUCCUAGAGUUCGUACUAAAAUAACACAAGCUAUUCUUUUCGAUCAAUCUAAUCAAGAGUUCAUACUAAAAUAACGCCAUAUGACACACAUCAACCAACUGUAAUGUCACCUAGAUACUCCAAUGUCACCACGAGUAUCCGUGAGUUAAUUAUACGAUAUGCAUCAAACAAUUUCAUAUUCAUAAUACUCAAUCCAACACAAAGAACUUCAAAGAGUGCUCCAAGAUUUCUACCGGAGAAACAAAUUAAGACGAGAACGUGCAUCAACCCCUAUGCAUAGAUUACCCCAAUGUCAUCUCGGGAAUCCGCGAGUUGAGUGCCAAAACAUAUAUCAAGUGAAUCAAUAUGAUACCCCAUUGUCACCACGAGUAUUCAUUUGCAAUACAUAUAUCAAGUGCUCUCAAAUCCAUAAAAGUAUUCAAUCCGAUAACAAUGAAAUCUCAAAGGGAAAACUCAAUUCACAACAAGAUAGAGAGGGGAAAACACCAUAUGAUCCGACUAUAUUAACAAAGCCCGCUAUACAUCAAGAUCGUGACAUCUCAAGAACACGAGAGAGAGAGAGAGAGAGAGAGAGAGAGAGAGAGGUUAAACACAUAGCUACUGGUACAAACCCUCAGCCCCGAGGGUGGACUACUCCCUCCUCAUCGUGGUGGCCACCGGGAUGAUGUAGAUGGCCACCGGUGAUGAUCUCCCCCUCCGGCAGGGUGCCGGAACGGGGUCUAUAUUGGAUCUCAUGGAUACAAAGGCCUUGCAGCGGCGGAACUUCUGAUCUAGGGCUACCCCAAAGGGUUUUGGAAUAUUUGGGAAUUUAUAGUGCGAAGAGGGGGUACGGGAGGCCACCGAUGGGCACCACCCACCAGGGCGCGCCUGGGGGCCCAGGCGUGCCCUGGUGGGUUGUGCCCCCCUCGGGGCACCCCCAAGGUGCUGCUCUGGCCCAAUGGAUGUCUUCUGGUCCAUAAAAAAACCACAAAAAGUUUCGCUGUGUUUGGACUCCUUUUGAUAUCGAUUCCCUGCGAUGUAAAAAACAAGCAAAAAACCACAACUGGCACUUGGCACUGGGUCAAUAGGUUAGUCCCAAAAAUAAUAUAAAGUUGCUAUAAAAUGAUUGUAAAACAUCCAAGAAUGAUAAUAUAACAGCAUGAAUACUUCAUAAAUUAUAGAUAUGUUGGAGACGUAUCACUCGCCAGCCAUGUCGUCGAAGAGGUUGUCGACGUCGGGGAAGAAGUUGUCAUUGGGGAAGUGGUUGUUGGUAUCCGGAGCGUCCAUGAUGAACCGGUCAAUAGUCACGCAGAGCGCUCACCAAAAAUCUUAUCGCCCUUCUCCUGCACAUGACUCAAAGAGGUGGGGUUUCAGAGGCCUACUGUCCACCUGCGGUGCACGCCGCAAGCCGGGAUGGGGAAGAACCUUGCAGUAGCUUACAGUUUGGAACUUGGUGGCGAGAGGAAGAUGAUGUUCUGGUGUGUCUCUUUGGAGAGGAGUGGCCUCUCUUUUAUAGGCAUAGGAGAAGGCGGCAAACGGACUGCGACGGGAGGUGAAGCAAAAGAGAGAGACAAAGCGAAUAGCCUAUAGUCGAAGAGGUGCGCCGUUCGGAUUCAAUCUCCACUACAACAAAACGUUUUAGCUCCCAAGUGACCAUUUGUAUACCCGUUGUGCGUGGCAAAAAAUUACACAUCGGCUUGGCUCAUUCCCGCGGCGCGUCUUGACGAGGCGUGGCGAGGCGGGCGGAGGAGGAGGAGCGCGUGUGAAUGUCCCUCUUGUUCUCAUGCUCAUACUUGUGGGGAAACAACCUCCCUUAUAAGGAGGUCCAACUCCUACAAAACUAGCAAUGUGGGACUAAAAUUUAGUUCCACCUCUUGCCUUGCACGAAUGGCCUGAGUGGGCCUCGAGGAUUUAUUAGUAAUUUCUGAAAUUGCUAUUGGGCUAACCCAAAAUAGAUUAAAUUCUAGUAAUCACCCACCAGAUCCUAAAGGCACAUAAAAUUUGCCUUUGGUACAAAACAUUGUUUAUAUAUCGGUACCGUAGUGGAGACUAUUAAGUUGAACUUCCACCUAGAACUUUGCGCUACACUAGUAAGCAACUUGAACAGUGGACUAGGCCUUGAACUACAAGUUUUCUGCGAAUCUAGUUUCACACAGAGCCCUGACCGAUACUGGGCUACCGUGGGACUUCCCCACGAGUGGAUCUUAUGUGUCAUUCUCCAAGACCUUUCAUGAGUUUACUAGAGAGCACCCUAUUCUCACAGAUUACGACGUUUAACAAUCAGACCCAUAUAGGUGUAUUCUAUAAAAGAUGUUCUGUAGGACAACAUCUCUGAUCAAAUAAGACACUUAGAACACAUUAACAUAUACAUCAACCUACCAUGCAGAUUAGGAGAGUAUUGCAUCUUCAUUGAGUGGUAUUAUUAAUAGUAAGGAUACUCUCCUCUCAGUUGAGCUAUAGCUUGUCUUCCACAUCUAAUUCACGGGAUCUUCGAUCAAAUAGACUAGGUUACCACUGUGAACAACUCAUAUUGUGGGUCUCAUACCCAUCUCCUUCGAUGCAUUAUCUAUCACAUUUCGUGAUAGACGAUCUGCCAGAUUUUUAGAUGUUUGGAUAUAAUCCAAUGCAAUAACUCUGGAGUUUCUCAUUUUUUUGACAGGCUUUAGCCUUCUCUAAACAUGUCUUAGUGACUUCAUGUUAUCCUUUGAGCUGCUCACUUUUGUGUCAGUUUGAUUGUCACAGUUCAUAAGGAUACCCGGUACAGGUUUCGCAACUACCGGCAAUUCAUUCAAGAGUCGACGAAGCCAAUCUACUUCGACUGUAGCUGUUCUAGUGUUGUGAGCUCUACUUUCGUUGUUAACCUCAUUAACAUGGUCUGCUUGCAAGACUUCCAAGAAAAAACGCCACCUCCAUGAUUGAAUACAUAUCCGAUCGUGGCCUUUAUCUCAUCAGUAUCUGAGAUCCAGUUUGAGUCAUUGUACCCUUCAAGCACGUUUGGAUGCCAAGUAUAGUGAAUUCCAUAACUGACAAUGCCUUUCAAAUAAUGCAUAUAACUCUCUCUAUAGCUUUUUAAUGAUCAUCUCCCGGUUUUGAAACAGAUCUGCUUAGUUUGCUAACAACAAAAGAGAUGUCAGGUCUUGUAGCACUGGCUAAAUACAUAAGUGAGCCAAUAAUCUGAUAAUAUUUUAAUUGAUCUCUAGCAAUUUUUCGAUUCUUUCGAAGGAGCACACUAGCAUUGUAUGGUGCUGGAGAGGGCAUGCAGUCACUAUAGCCAAAUCAACUCAAGAUAUUUUCCACAUAGUGAGAUUGAAGCAAUGUAAUCCCACCAUCAUCAUCUCUCAGUAUCAUGAUGUUCAGAAUAACAUCUUAUGCUCUUAAAUCCUUCAUCUCAAAACAACAAGAUAGGAAUUCCUUGACCUCCUUAAUAACAUUCAGAUUUGUUCCGAAAAAUCAAUAUGUCAUCACCAUACAAGCAAAGGAUAACCCCAUCACCCCCACCAUGGUGAUAGUACACACAUUUGUCAGCUUCGUUUACAACAAAGCCUGCGGUUAUUAAAGUUCUUUCAAACUUCUCAUGCCACUAAUUAGGUGCUUGCUUAAGUCCGUACAAAGACUUCAACAACCUGCACACGUUUUCUUCCUGACCAUCUACUACAAACACAUCUGGUUGUUCCAUAAAAAUUUCCUCGUCCAACUCUCCAUUUAGGAAAGCAGUCUUAAUAUCCAUUUGAUGAACGAGAAGACCAUGUGAGGCAGCUAGUGAAAGUAGUACUCGAAUAGUGGUGAGUCGAGCCAUAUGUGAGUAAGUAUCAAAGAAGUCUUCACCUUCCUUUUGGUAUAACCCUUGGCCAUGAGUCGUGCCUUGUACUUCUCAAUAGUACCAUCAGGCCUAAGCUUCUUCUUGAAUAAUACCAUUUGCACCCUAUAGGUUUGCACCCAUAAGGACGAUCAAUUAUCUCCUAAGUUUCAUUUGCCAAGAUGGAAUCCAUCUCACUACGGACUGCUUCCAUCCAGUAGUCAGCAUCUUCAGAUGCAUAGGCUUCUGAAAUAGAACUAGGAGCGUCAUCUAUGAGAUACACAAGAAAAGGAAAACGAUUCGUUUCAUCCGGCUGAUGUUAUGCGGAACGUAAGUCACCUCGUUUGUUAGCCACGUGUCCCAUGCCCCCGCACCAUACGUCGCUAGCUUAUCCAUCCGCACCGCAUCUCUUCCUCACUAGCUCUUGCUGCCGCCCACGCGCAGCCGAAUACCAAUAGCACGCCAUGCACCGCCGUCGCCGCCUGCUGCAAGCACCACCAGGAAAGCUACAAGUGAACCAUUGUGCCGCCCGCUGCUGGAAGGCCGCUCGCCGCCAGUGCUCCAAGGGACAACGCUCGACGCCCCUACAAGGGAAGGGGUCACCGGUGCUUUUUAAGGAGCAGCCCAUGGUGAUGUUGAGGCCACAAUUCUGUGUUCGGCCCCCACCACAGCUGCACAGGACAUCCGGUGAGCGGGACCACACCAGCAUGCUGCUGAUAUGCGGUGGACGAUGCUGCCUGGGGCGGCCAUGCAGCGAGCGGCGCCGACCAUGCUACAAAGCGGCGUGCGGUAAGUUCGCGAGACGUGUUCCGGCUGGUGCUGCAAGGGGUCACUCGUGAUACAGGUAUCACCGGCAUUACGAGCGCGGUGGCGAGCGGCGAUGACCAUGUUGCAAGUGGCGCGAGCUUGCGAGCCAUUAUGCAUCUGGUGCUGCAAGGGUUCGCCGGCAUUGCGACACGAGCUCGUGGGCCAUUGAGUAGUGCCAAGUGCUCAAGGGUUCACCGGUGAGACAAUGGAACAUCACCCGGGCCGUUGGAGCAUCACCGUUGGUGUGAUGGAGCAUCGUCGGUGUGCCUGAAUCUCGCGAGUGCUACAAUGGAGCAUCGCCGGGCCGUCAGGGCAUCACCAUUGGUGCGAUGAAGCAUCGUCCGUCUGCUUGAACCUCGCAAGUGCUACAAUGGAGCAUCGCUGGGCCGUUAGAGCAUCGCUGGAGCUGCAAUGUAGCAUCAUCAGUGCUAUGAUGAAGCAUCGUCGGGCCGUCGAAACCUCGCGGGUGCUACAACGGGGCAUCACCGACUGAGGGAACCUCAUGGAUGCUGCAGCGAAGCAUCGUCGGACGUCGGGACCUCACGGGUGCUACAACGGAGCAUCGCCGGCUGAUGGAACCUCACCGAUGUUUCAACGGAACAUUGUCUGACACUGAAACCUCACGGGUGCUGCAAGGGAGAAUCGCCGGCCGGCGGAACCUUACGGAUGGUGCAACGGAGCAUCGUCUGACACCCAAACCUCACGGGUGCUACAAUGGAGCAUCGCCGGCUGACGGAGCCUCACGGUUUUUGCAACGGAGCAUCGUUGGACGUCGGAACCUCACGGGUGCUACAACAGAACAUCGCCGGCUGAUGGAANNNNNNNNNNNNNNNNNNNNNNNNNNNNNNNNNNNNNNNNNNNNNNNNNNNNNNNNNNNNNNNNNNNNNNNNNNNNNNNNNNNNNNNNNNNNNNNNNNNNNNNNNNNNNNNNNNNNNNNNNNNNNNNNNNNNNNNNNNNNNNNNNNNNNNNNNNNNNNNNNNNNNNNNNNNNNNNNNNNNNNNNNNNNNNNNNNNNNNNNNNNNNNNNNNNNNNNNNNNNNNNNNNNNNNNNNNNNNNNNNNNNNNNNNNNNNNNNNNNNNNNNNNNNNNNNNNNNNNNNNNNNNNNNNNNNNNNNNNNNNNNNNNNNNNNNNNNNNNNNNNNNNNNNNNNNNNNNNNNNNNNNNNNNNNNNNNNNNNNNNNNNNNNNNNNNNNNNNNNNNNNNNNNNNNNNNNNNNNNNNNNNNNNNNNNNNNNNNNNNNNNNNNNNNNNNNNNNNNNNNNNNNNNNNNNNNNNNNNNNNNNNNNNNNNNNNNNNNNNNNNNNNNNNNNNNNNNNNNNNNNNNNNNNNNNNNNNNNNNNNNNNNNNNNNNNNNNNNNNNNNNNNNNNNNNNNNNNNNNNNNNNNNNNNNNNNNNNNNNNNNNNNNNNNNNNNNNNNNNNNNNNNNNNNNNNNNNNNNNNNNNNNNNNNNNNNNNNNNNNNNNNNNNNNNNNNNNNNNNNNNNNNNNNNNNNNNNNNNNNNNNNNNNNNNNNNNNNNNNNNNNNNNNNNNNNNNNNNNNNNNNNNNNNNNNNNNNNNNNNNNNNNNNNNNNNNNNNNNNNNNNNNNNNNNNNNNNNNNNNNNNNNNNNNNNNNNNNNNNNNNNNNNNNNNNNNNNNNNNNNNNNNNNNNNNNNNNNNNNNNNNNNNNNNNNNNNNNNNNNNNNNNNNNNNNNNNNNNNNNNNNNNNNNNNNNNNNNNNNNNNNNNNNNNNNNNNNNNNNNNNNNNNNNNNNNNNNNNNNNNNNNNNNNNNNNNNNNNNNNNNNNNNNNNNNNNNNNNNNNNNNNNNNNNNNNNNNNNNNNNNNNNNNNNNNNNNNNNNNNNNNNNNNNNNNNNNNNNNNNNNNNNNNNNNNNNUCCAACGGAGCAUCGUCUAACACCGAAACCUCAAUGGUGCUGCAACGGAGCAUCGCCGGCCGGCGGAACCUCACGGAUGAUGCAACGGAGCAUCGUCUAACACUGAAACCUCACGGGUGCUGCAACGGAGCAUCGCCGGCCGACAGAACCUCAUGGGUGCUGCAACGGAGGAUCGCCGGACCUCACGGAUGCUGCAACGGAGCUGCGUUGGAUGCCAAAACCUCACGGGUGCUGCAACAGAGUAUCGCCGGCCGACGGAACCUCAAGGGUGCUACAACAGAGCUAUAAUGGAGCAUCGCUGAUGCUUCGAUGGAUAGUCGCAGGCUCGCAGUAGCUUCGUUGCUGCAACCCAGUGUUGCAGCCGUGGUCGGUGCGUGGCGAGCUCGUGAGUGUUUUUCUGUGCGAUGACUAGCGACAGUGCAUGGUGCAGGCUGAAGCUGGUGCUGCAUGGCAUGUCGUCCAAAUGUGGCUCAUCGCGUUGGAAGUGUGGAUUAUGUGUUGCACUCGUGUACAUGCCUGCCUGAUGGAUGGCUGGAGUAGCUGUGGGAGAGAUAUGGCGUAUUGGGAUGAAAGCGGUGGCGUGGUCAAGGAAUCAAGCGGGCCAGGCCAAAUCGAUGCUAAUCAACGGAGCGGUUGGCUAUCAUCAAAGGACUUUGUAGUCCUUUGUCUCUUUCUCCUAAUAGGAGGUCGUUGAAAUUAUAAUUACGGAUAGUCAUAAUUACAGGGCAAUGAUGAUAAUAAUCAUGGAUAAUAAUAAUAAUAACAGGACCAUUACAAUUGCAUGCUAAUAAUUAUCACAAUAAUUAUAAUCUUGUGUGUGCUAAACAUGGUAUGGCGACGAAUUUGAUUGCCAGGUUUUUUUAGGAAACUAAAUAAGGAAACUAAUAACUGGGGCAUUUGCUGGAGAUAUUUGACGUUAGCUAUUCCAAAUUUUAUUUCCAAUGCUAUUCAAAUUUGCUUACAUUACUAGGAACCUUCAAUCUGGAGGGAAAUUGUUUCCAAAUGGUUUUGUUUCAACGUGUCAAAUCAAAUCAAACCAUGCUUUUUAUAUUGACUGUAGAAUUUGAUUCCAUGGUUAAUGAAAUUUGCCUCUAUCCCACAAACUCCGCAUGAGUAACAUCCAUCGGCAGUGAAUGCCUCCCAUCUCAUCAUAGCCCAUCUUUAUUAACAAAGGGAAAGCAAGCAUAUAUAUAUAUACAGAGUCGCCAAGGCCACACACUAGGUAACUACAUGUCAUCAGGGGGUCGUGUUACAUACUUAGAUACUAAUCUAGACAAAUCUAAGACAAGAAUUUUGGGACGGAGACGGAGGAAGUACACAACACAGUAGCAAAGGCUACCAGAAAGAAAGAAUAGCCUCCGUCCCUCAGAAGCACCCUACCCUACCUAAACAACAAACAACAAACAACAAACACACAAAGGCAGGUGUGAGGGCCGCCAAUUGCGACGAUAUGUCCACAACUCCAACAGGGUCCUGAGAUGCUUCGGAGCCGAUUUCCUGGCGCUCAACCACCAGGUUGCUGUCGUCGCUGCCACCCCGCUUCUCACGGAAGCAGACACUUUAACAUAUACUACUCCAGACCAGUCUCAACAUAUCAAUCAGCUCAGCUUCAUUGAAGCUAUCUGGGUAGCAAGCUCCAUGGCCUCCUUGACCCGACAAGCAUCACUUCCCUGCAUUCAAAUAUAGCAUUGCAUCGCAGGAUUAUUCACAGAUUGUAUUAGCUAGUAACCAUAAUUACUACUAGUAUUAGAAUUUGACCAAAGUUAAGAUGCCUAAACAAUGAACGAUGCCUCACCUGGCCCUGGGCAAGACCAUUCUUGCCGCUGCCUCCUUUGCCCUUGAGUGGUGCGAUUGAAGGCGUAAGCCAAUCCAACACCUUGAACCCAUUGGGUGCGUCCGGAGGUACACCCGCAUAGAUAGCAGCCUUGUGUGAUGCCUCGUCUGUGCUGAAUACCAUUAUCGGCAGACCCUGGCACCAGCACAUCCAAAGAUUUGAUUGACACAAGGAAUACAAAUUUAAUGUUUUAAUCAUUCAUUGUUGGAGUAAGUUGGAAAUUAUGUUGAAUCUAUAGUUUCUUUUUAGAUGAUGGGAACACUACUAGACAUAAACGGAUUGGAGUACCGACCGACCUUGAAACGGUCCAUGGCUUUCACAACUGCUUCCUGGACAGCAGUGGUAUCAAGACCCACAUCGACAUGAAUAACACAGAAGGGUUUUCCUUCAGAAACAGCAGCUUCUACGGCAUCUAUGGCAGUCUUGACAGCCUUUUGGAUAUUUUCUUUGCCCAUUUUCUUCUUCGCCUCCCUAAGUUGAUCCUGAUAUAUGCAACAGCUAUAAUCAGCUUUCUUCAUUUUAACUACCAAUAGUAGAAUACCAAAUAUAUCUUAAAUAUUUUCUCUUUGACAAUAUGUGAAAAAUGAAUUGAAGCAUUUACAGACCUCCAACUUUGAGACAUUGCCUUUUAGAUCAGCUUUUCUUGCAGCUGGGAUAGCAGCGGCAUCCAGUGUAUUCUUGAUGGACCCAAUUUUCUGAUGAAGAAAUGCCAAUUCUUAGAUACUCCCUCUGUAAACUAAUAUAAGAGCGUUUAGAUCACUACUUUAGUGUUCUAAAUGCUCUUGUAUUAGUUUACCGAGGGAGUACAAUCUAAUAUAAAGCAGAUCAACAGAAAAUGGAUACAAAGUACAACUGACAUCGUCUAUUCAUAUAAAAGUUAAGGACAUCGUAUUUCUAAGAAAACAAACAAGAAUCACAAUAACUUCUAAUAAUAUCCAAUUUAUCGAAGUAUCAUAACCAUAUAGCUCACACUAAGAGACACAAGCACAAAUGGGGAAAGCUUAGUACCUUUUCCAAUGUCGCUCCGUCCAGUUUAGAUGCUUCAUUGAUAUCAGUCUCGAUAGAUGAUGCCAACUUCAUAGCCUGUGAGGCACACUCAGCAGUAACAGUCGUUAUCCUCCGAACACCUUUUGCGAUACCCUCUUCAGAUAUGAGGGCAAAUGCUGCGGCAUCUCUAGUGUUCGAAAUGUGUGUGCCUGACAUACAUAAACGUUAGGGUGACAUAAACACAUAAAUGCAGAAUUACAUAGUAGAACAGAGUAGUAAAUAUACCUCCACACAGCUCUGUUGAUAUGGAUAACCAUUCUUUGCUUUCAGGGUUUGCAAGCAGAUCUUCCACUUUGCGACCAAUCGAUACAACUCUUACAGGGUGAGGGUAAAUCUACAAAAUCCAUAUGUAAAAUGAAUUAACACAAGACAACAGGGCAGGCAAACGAGAUAUGACAACAUGGUUUGUCAAGAUGGGUAAGAGAACGCACUUCACCAAACACAGCUCGCAGACCAUUUAUGCGCUCUGCAUCAGCUAAUUUUAUUUCUUGUGCAGAUACCUCCAGCUCAUCCUCUAUUUGCUUCUUCACUAUAUCCUCAAUUUUUCUCAAAUCUUCAGGCUAAACAGGUUUCCCUGUUAUGUACUAACAAUUGAGUUGACAAGCCGAGGAAAAGCAAAGAGUGCAUGCAAUAUAAAAAGAAUCACAGUAUACCAUGGGAGAAACCAAAUCUCAGCUUCUCUGAAAGAACAAUGGAACCUUUCUGGUCAAUAUGGUCACCAAGUACUUCCUACACUUGCAAUAGUGAAACCAUCAUGAAUACAAAAAAGGCAUGCACUGUAAAAUCUGAGAGGCUUGAAAACUUACCCUUAGAGCAAAGUUCAGCAUAUGGGUACAUGUGUGGUUUGGAGCAAUCAGAGUACGCCGUGUGUAAUCAACCUACCAAGAGUAAUAGAAGCAUCACAGUGUAAUUUAGAAAAUUUCAUAGGUUAACUAAUUCAGUAUAAAGAAUUAGUCAGUACAGAAUGUUACUUUGCAUUUCACUUCAUCGCCAACAGACAAUGCCUUGGAGUCAGGCCCUUCCAGAAAUGAACCGAUGUGCAUGACAUAUCCAGCAAACACUUGGACAUUGUUCACAGUGAAAGAUCCAGAUGCCCCCUCGAUACUCCCAGUGUCAUAGAUCUAUUCCAGAAACAUCAUAUGGCAUGUCAAAAGAAUUCAUACAAUGCAUGGCGCAACUCUUUAACAUGCAGGUGAGCUGCAUAUGUAUAUACAGCCCCAAACCCCACACAGGAUAGAACAAGAAACGGCCAUGCAGCAUGGUGACUUCAAAUAAACAAGAAAACACCCAUGGUUGUUGAAUGCAAAUUGCAAUGUUUGUUUGUAAAGUAUCGGUAUUAACUUGCCAAAUUUUGAAGCCAAUGUAUUGUAUGGGCAACUUCGAAGCCCUCAACACUAUUUUCCUCGAAGUUAGAUUGGAUACAACCAUAAGGUGGUGCUCGAAAUGGUGUUAAUGACAAAAGGCAUUACUUCAACCAUUUAUUAAUGAGCGUUGUAGAUUAUUAGGAUGACAUACAACAAACAACAAACAAUACCAAUCAGGUUUCAAACAAUGGGAGGUAUCACUCCAGGGUGCACUAAUCAUUUUUUGUUCUGGUUACAAUGAAAGAAUAACUUUCAAACAGAAAUUAUGUGUCUACUUUACUGAUGAAUCAACCAACAUGAUUAUGUUAAAAUUAACAAAAUUACUGUCAUGUGGGGCCAUUGCUACAGGAGGACACCCCAUCAGACAUCAGCUCAAUAGUUACUAUAGAAAAAUAUCUAACUCGCAAACUAAGGUAAUUAUCAAGCUGAUGUCAGACGGGGUUUCUUCCUGUAGUAAUGGCCCCACAUGACAAUUACAACAAAAAAUAUAAUGUCAUGCUUAUUCAGUAGGUAAGCUGAUAAUUCAUUGCAUGACUACAACUCGAGAGGUGAUUGCACUUGACAUUUUCAUUCAACUACACUAACAUGCCGUCAAAAGUGAAGUUGUACCUGACCGCCCUGUUCCGCAUAGAAGCUUGUGCUUUCCAAAACAAGACCAAAAUCUUCAUCACCAAAUGCAGUAGCUAUGAACUCUGAGCCAAUAUAGAUAGCUUUUACAACACUGCUAUGUACCUGCAAAAUGUUUUUAGGUGUAUCCGCCAUGAUCAAUAUAUAGGUGUUUACCCACAGUGCGAAAUAUGAACAGUGCAAGAACAAGCAAAGGCAGGUAGCCAGGUAAAUUCACUACUUGAAUGAAAUUCUACAAAAUCCCAAACAGGUACUGAAUAUGGAAGGAACUGUACCUAAUAGAGAAACCACAACUAAAUAAUCUAACUAAGCAUCUAACCUUGUGUUGGAAUUUCGGGCUAUCAUUUGUGCUGGCAAGCCCCUGAUUGCGCAGGUGCGAUGUAGCAUUAGCAUCGAGGACAAUAGACUUGCCACCAGCCUGCAAGAAAAACAUAUAUAACAAAAUCAGAAAGAAGUAUGAUAUAAAAACCAUAACAGGAAGAAGUUGCCCAAUCAAUUGUUGAGCGUCAGUGGCAUAUAAGAGAUGCUAAGUUUAGUUAAUUACAAUAUUAUUAAACAGCAAAGAGCAGGAAUAAUACUUGGAUGGCAUAAAAGAUCACAAGUGAAGAAUUAAGUUUUAUAUUUAAGAAGAAAUAAAUACAACCUUGUAGCGAGCAUUCCUAGCCUUUUGUCUUGCUUCUUCCAUAGAAACAUUAAAACCCUCCAUGUCAACAGAUAGCCCGAAGUCAACUGCCAUGACCUAUGAGAUAGGAAACAACAACGAUACAAGAAAAACAGACAAUAAAAGCUUUAACAACAGCAUAAACAUGAAAAUAUAGCACUGUCAAGCUAAUUUGAAUAGAUUUACUGAUGAAAACAUGAACAAACCUCAGUUAAAUCAAUUGGAUAGCCAUAUGUGUCCCACAGAACAAGUGCAUCCUGAAAUAACAAAUAACGGUUGCAAUACAUGAAAGAUAGCAAUAUAAACUUGAAAAGUUCAGCAGGAUGUAAUAGAACAUUGAUAAACAUAACCGAAGUAUGAUUAAGAGACAUGUUUCUAUGCAGUAAACUCCCAUUCUUAAAAUAAGGACGAUGAAAAGAAUUAUUCCACAUUACUAUAGAGAAUAUGACCAAGUUUACCAAAUAGUCAAAUUCCUUAGUUUUUGACACGUUUCUCGAAUACAUAGAAUUAGAACGACAAAAUAGAGAAUAUGAUCAAGUUAACCAGAUAGUGCCUAUACAAUAUUUAAAAUGACAUCGGAGAAUAACUACCAACAACGUAUCCGACAGAUAUCCAAGUUCUGGUUCCUAAUGCCAUUUUAAGGGGUUCGGUCAGUUUGUAGCUAUCUGAACCAUUUUUACCCCUGCCAGCAAACCAUUUUCAUGACACUAUAGUUAGAUUCUCAGGCAUUGUUCUUAAGGCGGUAAGGCAACCUAAGGUGAGCACCCACUACCCUGACGCCUAAGCGCCUUAGGUGGGCAAAACUGCAAAGCACUGUCAAGACGCCUUGCCACCUAAGCGUCCAAGGUGACAAGCCCUAAAAACAAUGCUCUGAGGCGUACUGGAGAGGGAGAAAAGGCUAGAGAUAUUCAGAUUAAUCUUCACUUCAAGAAAUGCAACCAAUCUAGCAAGGAUAAGAACCUAUUUCAACUAUUUUAAUAUGAAAUGUAUGCAUCUUAUUAAUCACGAUACCUUGUCUCUAACUUCACAAUUUAUAUCAUCUCCUAACUAUUUUCACUUCUCAAUGGACAUCAAUGAGAUAACACAUCAGAUAACAAACAAACUACAAGUCUGCUUAUUAGGUGCAAACAUCUUCUAGUGAAAACAAAAUAAAUCAAGUAUAAUUCAAAACCAAAGCAAUUGCCUGGCCACUAAGUAUUGUCCCGCCAUUCUCCUUGACAGCAUUUGCAGCUUUCUUAAAUCUCUCAUAUCCCUGAAAAUUACAACAACAGCACAAUCAGUUAACUGCCUGAACAGCCACAAGAAUGGACAAUACAUAUUAUGAUGGUUCUAAGAAAAGAAGGGUCAAUUAAACUUCAACUGUAAGCUUUCUUAGUCUCUGUUGCUAUAUAUGAAACACAAUAGCAAGGCACCUAGUAGGAACCACCCUUAAAAUAUAAGCAUGAUAAACAGAAUCAUGCCCAUGUGCAAACCAAAUAAAUUGGAUUACUAAUGGUCAUUUCAUAGAAAAGAUGAGACAAUUUAUCAUGUGUGCUAAUUAUCGUGAUUGAACUAAGCUGAUGUAAACCAAGAUUGAAACUAUCACCCUCGAUGUGUUGCCUCAAAACAAGAAACUAUCUGGUUACUCAGCACAACACGUUAAUAUAUUAUAUGUAUAUAUAUAAAGUAAGGCUUUAGCAGUAUCUCACGAGCAAAACAGCGGUACCUUAGAUACAAGGUAUAAACUGGCCCAGAGCCUCCGGCAACAACAGAAAUUUAGGUUAUCUGAUAACAAACAAGCUAAAUUACUUCGAGACUAACACAUGUUUACAAGGAUAAAACAAUUUAGGUUAUCUGAUAACAAACAAGCUAAAUUACUUUGAGACUAACACAUGUUUACAAGGAUAAAACACUGCCUAAGAGUGUGCAAACACUUGCAUUUGAUUGCAAUGAAAUUACUUCAACAAACAUCACUUGGGCCAAAUUGAUGUCACUGAUAUGCAAAUACUCCUGGCAACCAAUAUUACCUUCGCUAGAGUGUUCUCAAAGCUUGCCUCUUCUUCUUCAAUUAUAUCUUUAAUCUUCUUUUCAUUGUCCUUCAGCUCAGGAAACACAUCACCCAUCACUCGGACAAAAACAUCUACAAGG
rnacentral:lncRNA from 1 species